UUUGUUUUUCGUUUUUCAUUUUAUUCAUGUCAUGCAUAUCAUAUCAUGUCAUCAUGUGCAUCUCAUUUGCAUACGUGUUCGUCUCAUGCAUCCGAGCAUUUUCCCCGUUCUUCAUUUCGCAAUCCGACACUCCCACAUGCACCGGCGCACCCCUCUUGUCUUCUUUCGUGUGCGGGUGUUGAGCGUUCUCGGUAUGGGCUGAGCCUUGCCAAGUGGCCCUGGUAUAGCAUCGGUAGACCACCUGUCAAGUUUCAGGUCAUUUGGAGCUCGUUUGGUACUCCAACGGUUAUCCGCAUAUCCGCAAAGGCCUCUUUUAAGUUGCAGCCCAACACUCCUCCAAAACAGCCCAAUAACCCAUCUAACUCCCUUCCAUGCUCUCCGUCGUUCGAUCACGAUCGUGUGGGCGAAAACUACACCCCAUUUGGACACUCCUAGCUCCCUCUACCUCUAUAUAUAGACCCCUUCCCCGAAAUUCCAGACGAAACCCUAGACGAAUCCCUCUCCGCGCCGCCGGACACGUCCGGAUCGGACUGGACGCGUCCGCCGCCGCGCCCGGACGAAUCGCCCGCUGCCACGUGGCGCCGCCGCGCCCGCCGCCGCCGAAGCCCGCCGCGGCCCGCGCCACGCCCGCGGGGCCCGGAUCCGCCGUUGCCGCCGUNNNNNNNNNNNNNNNNNNNNNNNNNNNNNNNNNNNNNNNNNNNNNNNNNNNNNNNNNNNNNNNNNNNNNNNNNNNNNNNNNNNNNNNNNNNNNNNNNNNNNNNNNNNNNNNNNNNNNNNNNNNNNNNNNNNNNNNNNNNNNNNNNNNNNNNNNNNNNNNNNNNNNNNNNNNNNNNNNNNNNNNNNNNNNNNNNNNNNNNNNNNNNNNNNNNNNNNNNNNNNNNNNNNNNNNNNNNNNNNNNNNNNNNNNNNNNNNNNNNNNNNNNNNNNNNNNNNNNNNNNNNNNNNNNNNNNNNNNNNNNNNNNNNNNNNNNNNNNNNNNNNNNNNNNNNNNNNNNNNNNNNNNNNNNNNNNNNNNNNNNNNNNNNNNNNNNNNNNNNNNNNNNNNNNNNNNNNNNNNNNNNNNNNNNNNNNNNNNNNNNNNNNNNNNNNNNNNNNNNNNNNNNNNNNNNNNNNNNNNNNNNNNNNNNUUGCCGCCGUCCGCGGGGCGCCCGCGCGCUGCCGCCGGCUGCCGCCUCCGCCCGAGCUCCUCCGUCUCCGCUGCCGCGGGACCCCGCCGCCGUCGCUCCUCCCGACGCCGCCCCGCUCCUCCCGUCGCCGCCCCGGCCAGAUCCGGCCGCGGGAAGGCCGGAUCCGGCCCGGAGAAGCUCCGCCUGCCGCUCCUUCCUCCGUCUCCGGCGAGUCGCGCCGCCUCCUCGGUUCGCGCGCCCGAUCUCCAGAUCCGGUUGACUUUCCUUCCCCCCCGUUUUCGUCUAAGUCUUUUACUGGUGUUAAAAUCAUUGCAUCUUCAUCGCAUCACAUCUUCGCACCCGUAGCUCCGUUUCAUGCGUGUAAUAGGUCAAAUUGUUCUCCUCGAAGAGUACAUCAUUUCAUUCCAUUGCAUCGUUUACAUUUGAGGUCAUCUUAAUGCCCGAAAUGCUGUUGGAAGAGGGCUUCAUUUUGUUAGUUGCACAUUCUUAUCAGAACGAGCUCUUUUGUCAUUUUUGCCAUAGUUGAUGUGUGCAUCCUAUGGACUUGGUCCCUAAAUGUGUUUUGAACUAGGCUAUGUCUUCUUUACAGAGGUGCUUACCAUGUAUUUUUGUGAUCAAUGUGGUGGCUAGCACAAGCAUGCAAAUUAGGCUUCGUGUUAACGCUGUUUUUAGUUCCUGCUCUGCUAUAAAUUUGAUGCCAUGUAAACAUGUUGCUACAGAGAAAUCCAUGCAUAAUUUGAGAUACUUCAGUAAGGGUGUUUUGAAAACAUGGUUUUGCUCUAUUCAUCCAUGAUCCUGGUUGCAAUUAUGGAGUAGUUUAGCAUGUCUUUUUCAUGCUCUACUUUUGCUUCAAAUUGUUUCCUGGCAGAUUGCUUACAAGUUAUUCAAUUUUGCCGGGGUUGUUGUAGUUGAUCCGGGUAUGCCAUGAUGUUGUUCCUUGCCAUGUGUAGCUUUUAUGUCGUGUCUUCUUGAUGGAUGUAUGCUUAGUUUAUCAUGAGGAGCUCUGUAGUGAGUGCAUCGAGCUCGCGAAGGUGCCUUCAUUUUUAUUCCAAUGCCAUGCUUGUUUGCUGAAAUCUGUUAAUGAAACUUGCUAUGUUUACGUGGGUUCCAUCAUAUUUUCUGAUCCUUUUUGGCUUAUGGUCAGUAAGGGAUUUUUGAUCUAUGCUUUGAGUAGAUUCAUGCCAUGCCAUAGUUUGCUAUUAUAAGUUCCUGUAGCAUGUUGAUAACCUGCUCUGAACAUUGCUUCGUGCUGCUAUUUAUGCCAUGUCCAGCCUGUUAAAUUUUGCUCUUUCUCCAUGCUUGUUUGAACCUGUUAUGAUGUGAGUGAGCCGUAGCUCAGUGUUUCUCUUUUGUAAAUCAUCUCCUGUAGAUCAUUGCCAUAUGCUUUGCUUUUAUGUUGGGGUGAUGUAGCAUAGUUUCUUGUUGCAUGCAAAGUAGCAUCGUGCUGUAAAUCGCAGCUUUGUGUCAUUGUCUUGCUUGCCAUUUGCAAACCUUGCAUCCGUUCCCGGUGAUCUUUAUAUCGAUUUCGACUGAAAUCAUCUCAUCUUUCCAGCGGCAUACUUGGUUUGCCAAGUUGAUGCCUUGUUCAUCAUCCUUCCUUCCGAAGCACGCACAUGCAUUGCAUAUCACAUCUCGCAUAUCAUGACAUGUUUUGCAUCAUGUUGCUUGUGCAUUGCACCGUGAUUUAUUGUGGUUCCUUUGCUUGUGUUCUUGCUUUGGGUAGAGCCGGGAGACGAGUACGUCCAUGAGGACUCUGUUGAGAACGCUUACGAGGAUCCAGUCUUCGACAACUCUGAGAACCUUGCAGGCAAGAUGAACAUACCUUCGAUACCACUUCUAUCUUUGCUUGCUAGUACUCGCUCUAUCACUAUGUUAGCCCUACCUGCCUUGGUUUACCAUGCCUACCUAUUGCCAUGUUGAACCUCUAACCAUCCUGUUCUAGCAAACCGUUGUUUGGCCAUGUCACCGCUUUUGCUCAGCCCCUCUUAUAGCAUUGUUAGCUGCAGGUGAAGCUGAAGUUUGUUCCUGGUCGGAACGUGGUUACUUUGGGAUAUCACAAUAUCUCCUGUUUAUAUUAAUGCACCUUAUAUACUUGGUAAAGGGUGGAAGGCUCGGCCUUAUGUCUGGUGACUUGUUCCACUCUUGCCGCCCUAGUUCCGUAUACCGGUGUUAUGUUCCUUGAUUUUGCCUUCCUUACACGGUUGGGUGAUUUAUGGGACCCCCUUAACAGUUCGCUUUGAAUAAAACUCCUCCAGCAAGGCCCAAACUUGGUUUUACCAUUUGCCACCUAAGCCUUUUUCCCUUGGGUUUUCGCGAGCCCAAGGGUCAUCUUUAUUUAACCCCCAGGCCAGUGCUCCUCCGAGUGUUGGUCCAAACUAGAGCACCGUGCGGGACCAUUCCUUGUCAACUUGGAUUACAUCGGUACCUGUACGCUUAGCUUAUCCGGUGUGCCCUGAGAAUGAGAUAUGUGCAGCUCCUAUCGGGAUUUGUCGGCACAGCGGGUGGUCUUGCUGGACUUGUUUUACCAUUGUCGAAAUGUUUUGCGAACCGGGAUUCCGAGACUGAUCGGGUCUUCCCGGGAGAAGGUAUAUUCCUUUGUUGACCGUGAGAGCUUGUGAUGGGCUAAGUUGGGACACCCCUGCAGGGUAUAUAAUCUUUCGAAAGCCGUGCCCGCGGUUAUGAGGCAGAUGGGAAUUUGUUAAUGUCCGGUUGUAGAUAACUUGACACUUGACCUCUUUAAAAUGCAUCAACAGCGUGUGUAGCCAUGAUGGUCUCUUCUCGGCGGAGUCCGGAAAGUGAACACGAUUUGUGUUAUGCUUGACGUAAGUAGUUUCAGGAUCACUUCUUGAUCACUUUUAGCUUCUCGACCGCCGCGUUGCUUCUCUUCUCGCUCUCACUUGCAUAUGAUAGCCACCAUAUAUGCUUAGUGCUUGCCGCAGCUCCACCAUAUUACACCUUUUCCUUCCUAUGAGCUUAAAUAGUCUUGAUCUCGCGGGUGUGAGAUUGCUGAGUCCCUGUGGCUCACAGAUUCUACCAAAACAGAUGCAGGUGCCGAUGAUACCAGCGCAGAUGGCGUAACUGAGCUGAAGUGGGAGUUUGACGAGGCUCUUGGUCGUUACUAUGUAUCGUUUCCAGAUGAUCAGUAGUGGAGCCCAGUCGGGACGAUCGGGGAUCUAGCAUUUGGGGUUGUCUUCUUUUCAUUUGAACUUGACCGUAGCCGGUCUAUGAGUGUACUUUGAAUGAUGUAUGAACUUAAUUUAUGUAUUAUCUGAAGUGGCGAUUGUAAGCCAACUCUCGUAUCCCAUUCUUGUUAAUUACAUGGGAAUGUGUGAAGAUGACCCUUCUUGCGACAAAACUACUAUGCGGUUAUGCCUCUAAGUCGUGCUUCGACACGUGGGAGAUACAGCGGCAUCGUGGGUGUUACACAUACUCCCUCCGUUCUAAAAUAGAUGACCCAAAUUCAUACUAAAGUACUCCCUCUGUCCUAAAAUUCUUGUCUUAGAUUUGUUCAAAUACGGAUGUAUCUAGUUACGUUUUAGUGUUAGAUACAUCCGCAUUUAGAUAAAUUUAAGACAAAAAUUUUGGGACGGAGGGAGUAUGAAUUUGGAUCAUCUAUUUUAGAACGGAGGAAGUACAUGUCUACCAUCAUGCCAUGGACGCCUCCAUAGCACACAAUGUGAGGACUGGUCCAACAAGUGUAGUUCUAUGUGUGACGAAUACGGUCAAUCGGCAUGUACUCCCGCUCUUCCUAAAUGUAAGUCUUUUUAGAUAUUUCAAUAUGGACUACAUACAGAGCAAAAUGAGUGAAUCUACAUUCUAAAGUAUGUAUAUAUACAUCUAUAUAUACUCCAUAUUGAAAUAUCUAAAAAUACUUAUAUUUAGAAAUGAAGAGAGUAUUUGUGUGCGGCCACCCCUAACAAAAUGUAUACAUUUUUUUUGAGUGGCAACAAAAUGUAUACAUAUGCGGCUGUUUUACCGACCAAAUGGUCUGGCACUGGCUGCUCCUCCGUACAUAUGUUUAUGUAUAAAAGUACAGUCGGGCGAUGAUUUUGUUUUGUUUUCCUCUAUUUUCUGGGGUAAAAAUACAUGAAUAUAUCUCUUCAGAAACACAGACAUAUUCUAGAGGUACAUGAAUACUUAUUUUUAACAUAUGAAAAUUUUCGUUUAAUGUUUGAAAAAUACACAAACAUUUUCUAAAAUGUGCCAAAAAACAUUUCCAUUUGAUAAAUAUACGAACAUUUUAUAAAUAUUCAAUAAAUUUUACAUAAAACUUAUUAAAAAUAUGUGAGAAUUUUGUUUAUAAACUACUUCAAUUAUUUUCAAAUGGGUGAACUUUUUGUAUUACAUGAACUUUUAUUAAUGCACAAUGAACAAAUUUUGGCAUACAUUUUUUAUUAUGCGAUGGAAAAUUUUGAAAUACAGGAUGAAUGUUUUUUAAUUCAUGAUUAUUGUCUUUAGUUAUGUGUUUUUUUAAGUUAUGUGUUUUUUUCAAUAACGUAGGAACGUUUGUUUAGGUAUUUGAUAACAUAAUUUAUACAUGACAGAGCAUUUAUAUAGUCACAAUUAUUAUAAUUAAAAGAAAUCUAAAUUAGAAUGAAUCAAAUGAUCGGUAUAGAAAAAAACCUAAAUACUAAAAAAAAUCCUAUAAAAUCCUUCGAAUAAAAGAGCCCCUGAUAUGGGAGAGCGCUAGUAACCAACGGCGCCACAAGGGAAAACACAGACCACCACGUCCCUACAGUCUUUUUUUCUGCCGGGUUAAAGGAAUUUCAUUGCUCAACUUGGAGGGAGAUCCUCCAUACAAAGUUGUGGUGCAUUAGCAGGACCUGAUCUGAUCCAUAGUGCAGUACGGCCUUCAGCAUGUCGCUACAGUCUUACCUAAAUGGACUAAUUUAUCUACAGGAAAAAGACAAAGACAAAGAGAGAAUAAACUAAUUGUGUAAUAAAUUUUAUUUGCAUAUACUCCCUAUAUUCUAAUUUAUUUAAAGAUUUAGUUUUGUCUUAACUCUUAAGUGAAACUUCACUAUAUUUAACUAAGUCUAUAAAAACGAGAUACUCCCUCCGAUCCAUAUUAAUUGUCGCUCAACAACUAAUAUGAAUCGGAGGGAGUGAUAAAAACAUAUUUCACGUUAUAAAUGUUGAUAGAUUCUUCUAUAAACCUAGUCAAGUUAGAAAAGCCUGAUUAGGGCAAGCCUAAAGUUUUAACAUAAAAAAGAAUCUCUUGCUGCAAAGAAAAAAAAACGUAAAAGAAACUCUUAAAUUGAGCUUCAUUGCCAAUGGUACGAUUCAAUUGUAAGACCUAAACGGAGUCUUCGAACAGUUUGGAACUGAAACUCAUGACAGAUAGUGAAAGCUGGAACAAACAAGGGUCACAUGCCCCGGUCCCCGGCGCUCCUUGGCUCUUCCUCUUCGUUCCCUCUCAGAUUCCAUAAAUCUCUGUCGCACAUCUGUGGCAGGCAAGGCAGCGUGAGAAUAAAACGAAAAUAGGGCUCGCGUCAUGUAUGUUACAGCGAGCUCUGAAAAGCAGAUAGGCUCACGGGAUGCUACAGCGCGUGGCAUGUACUCAUGUAGAGAAAAUUGCACUAGCCAUCGACUGUUGGGAUGGAAUUUGUACAGAACACACUCUUUGAAUUUGCUAUACAAAACAUCAUCUAUUGCUGUAAUCGGUUGCAGAUAGCUCUAAUUCAUCAUUUGAAUCUGUCGACAAGAUGUGCAAUCGGUGGGUCCUGCCUGUAAGUGCACAUGCGGCCAAAUGAACAUGUCACAUCAGUCGACUCAACCCUAACUAUUUUUAAAUUUUUUUUUGGAUUGCUUACCAAAUUGCCACGUGAUAAACCUAACUAAAACUUCUAGUCCUAUGGUCAGAAUGAGUCAACUUUUCCAGUUCUUUACUCUCUCUCUCUCUCUCUCUCUCUCUNNNNNNNNNNNNNNNNNNNNNNNNNNNNNNNNNNNNNNNNNNNNNNNNNNNNNNNNNNNNNNNNNNNNNNNNNNNNNNNNNNNNNNNNNNNNNNNNNNNNNNNNNNNNNNNNNNNNNNNNNNNNNNNNNNNNNNNNNNNNNNNNNNNNNNNNNNNNNNNNNNNNNNNNNNNNNNNNNNNNNNNNNNNNNNNNNNNNNNNNNNNNNNNNNNNNNNNNNNNNNNNNNNNNNNNNNNNNNNNNNNNNNNNNNNNNNNNNNNNNNNNNNNNNNNNNNNNNNNNNNNNNNNNNNNNNNNNNNNNNNNNNNNNNNNNNNNNAAUAUUAAAUUUUAAAAAGAAAAAAUUGACAAAUUUUAUUUACUCAAUACAUAUAUGAUUUACUGGAUUGCUUUUGUAUUUUCGAAAAUAUUAAAAUUGGAAAAAUAAAAAAUUGAAAAAAUUUGUUGACCGGUCAGGAUAUUUGCCAGUGCGGUCCAUUCACAAGGAAAUCAUGUCAAUGUGACAAUGUAGUCAAGCGAGGUCCAUUCGCAGGAAUCCUGUCGAUAUAGUCAAAUGAUGAAUUAAUGCUAGUUGCAAUGGGUUAAACUAAUAGUCUGUGUAUUUUUUAAACAAAUUAGUCAUUUGUGCAAUUUCCUCAGCCAUGUAGGAGGCUAGCGCGCGGGAUAUUCAAAACGAUGCCCUCAUCUACAUCUGUUGAAUGAUAAAAUAAAAAAACAAAUAGUAAGAAAAUUCAAAUAAUUCUAAAACUUUUUUGCAAGCAAGAUGCUUGCAUGCACCAGGUGCGUGCAAAAUUUCAUGGGUAAAUGACAUUCGAGGAUCUCAUGUUAAAAAAGACAAAAUCAACUAUGAAAAGCGAGUUUUUUCAAACUUCCUCACAUACUUGAAAUUCGUCAUUUUUGCCAUGAGCUCCUUGUAUGUCUAAACUUCAUCAAUUUUUUUUGGAUCUUUUUAGUAUUUUACUAUUUUAAAUGAUUUUAUUACUGUUCACGGAUGAGAGCAUCUAGACCUGACCUGGGUGCAGAAACGCCGCCGCGGGCGUUAUAUCACUGUUACCACGUGAUGCCGAGUUAUACUGUCACUGUUACCACGUGAUGCCGAAUAAUAACGGAUACCUUAUAUUUAUACGCACGAUGCAGGAGGGUAGUGCGAUUUCCUCGGCCAUGUAGUAGGAGGUAGCGCGUGUUAUACUGUCACUGUUACCAGGUGAUACCGAGUAAUUACUGAUACCUUCAUAUUCACUAGUAGACUGCCCGUGUGUUGUCACGGGCUUUUCAUAAUUUGAUUGGUUGCAUGUAAAAUUUCAUAUAGAUAGAAAAUAUAGCCAAAAUAAUUGUAAUGUAAUUCGCUUGCAAUGUAUUUCGAUAAUAAAAUAUAAUUCUACCUUAUACACAAAAGGGUUAUCAUAUCUGAUGCACAAAAUAAAGGUGGUACACAAACAUUGACCUCUUUACUGUGCAUUGCAUUACAAAUGAUAAUAACACUUGAAUGUUUUGUUAUGCUUAAGAUCGAUAUUGCAUAUGAAUUUAGACACUUGAAACCAUACAAUAUACUAUUUAGAAACCGUUGCAGCAAAACACAUCUUCUAGAACAUGCUACUCCUAGCUAUCUUGGGAGAGGUAGAUACAUCAAUCUUUGAUAACAUUUGUUGAUCAAAAAUUUAUUGGCAUUUAUUUAUAUUUUUAUAGUAAUUUUUAGUUUUGUUAGAAUUAUGUAAAUUCAGAUUUAAUGUAUCGGCUCAAAAUGAAAUUCACAUAAGACUCAAAAGGAAAUGUGUGUGUUGUACUAUGAACUAUGAUGUAAAGGGAAGCGAGCAACUCCUAUUCAAAUACCAACAGGAGAAAAACCCUAAUUAUACAUACACUAAGACAUUAAAAUAAAAAAUAAGGGUGAAAGGGUGAUUGACAUGCAGCAUCAAUUGUGAAUAAGUAGGCUAAAACUUGCCCAGAGAAUAUUGCUCAUGACUCACAAGUUUACAACAUACUUUUUUCUGUAUUAGCACAAAAGUCGAAUAAUACAUGGUAGGAUUGAGGAGGAGGAGGUCUAUAAUAUUAGUCUUACCGAUUGUUCAUUAUUCUAUUAGCAACUAAGAGUCCUCAUGGCACCCGCAGGGUUCGGGUGCGGGUAAUGCUUGCCCAAACCCUCACCCGUCCCAUUUUUUUCUGCCCAAACCCGUACCUGUACACCCCGGGUAUCAUAUCGUUCCCAUACCCGUACCUGGCCGGGUGCGGGUAAUACCCGCGGGUAACCCAUACCCGUAUGGCUCACCUUUCAAAUAAAAUUUUGCCAUGUACUUUCAGCAAUCAGCAUGUACAUACCACAUUUCAGCAUUUAUAUCAGUAUAUACCACAUUUCAGCAUGUAUAUUACAGCAUCUGAACACACACAUACAUAUAUCAGCACAUGUAUUCCAGCAUUUCAGCACAUAAACAUGUCAAGUUUUAGCACUUGAACAAUAGUUUCAGAAUUUCAGCACAUAUGUCAAGUUUCAGCACUUGGAAAUAUUUCAGCACAUGCAUAGUCAUUUCAACCACAAAGUUCGACACACAAAUAAGUUCGUAGACCGCAAAUAGGUUCAACACACAAAUGGUAAAUAGGUUCAACACACAAAUAAGUUCAACAUCUCAACACACAAAUAGGUUCAACAUCUGACAUCUCCAACAUGAAACCGAAUGGUCCAGACCAACUUGACUUGCUUUCAUCUUCUCUCCACUUCAUGAGCCUUGACUAGCCUUGACAUUUCAAAGCAUCAAUUCCUAGUAUGGGACAUAUAAAUUGCAAGACAUGAGAACUUGAGAGUAAUGAGUACAAGCUAUGUUUUGUUUGCAAUUCUUAUGUACUACUAAGAUAACAAGAAUAGAAGAUAACAUGAAUACAAUACAAGAUAUCUUUGACGUGCAAUUCUAUAGUAGUAAUAAGAUACAUCAUAACAAGAAUACAAGAUAUGUUUGAUUUGAAUUCUUAAGUACUACCAAGUACUAACCUGCAUCCCUUCUUGAAUAUCUUGAAGACAAGUCCAGAAGCUAGUUUCUGUUGUGUGAGCAUCUACAAAAGUAGACAAACGUCAACAACAUUUCAGCAAGAGAAAAUAUUAACGAAGUGCACUAUUUUGUCACCUUUGUACUUGUUUCGAAGCCAAUCUUGCGAGCACAUUAAAACCUCCACCAUAUAAGGUGUAAGUCGGCUUCUAUGAUCAUUGAGCUUUCUGCCACUUAUACUAAAGGCUGACUCUGAAGCAACUGUUGUUACGGGAAUAGCAAAUAUGUCUCUUGCUACUUUCCUUAAGGUCGGAUACCUUGUUCCAGCCACCUUCCACCAAUCCAGCACAUUGAACUUUUCAACGUAAGGCACUAAACCAUCAGUCAAGUGCUGCUCUAUUUCACCUUGAAGUCUAGCUGUUGCAGGCAUUUGCUGAGCUACAAUGUUCUGAAAUACACUCAUGAUUGCAGGAGCUUUCAUUGUGGUCAUCAUAGACUCAUCAUCUGGUGUACAUGCCUCAUUUUCCACUUCAUACUCCUCCAAUAAUGAAUGCAAACUACCAACUAUGUCAUCAACUUUUUCAAUGCAUUCAUAAGAAGAUGGCUCAAUUCCAUGGAGCAUGGCAAAGAUCGGCUAAAUCUAAUGAACACAUUCAAUCAUUCAACAAUAGAUCUAAUCAACACAAUAAAAAAGGUGAAACUCUUCACCAAAUUGGAUGCUUUGCUGCUGGAUUUGCUGCCCUUCUCGCCGCCGUUGCAGGUGUAGCACUGGCACCACCACGGCCACAACCACGACCACGCCCCACCUUGCAACCGGGAACAGUGGAGCUGCGCCCGGGAACCCGCCCUGUUGAUGGUGGCUGAAGACACACGGGCUUGGAGGUAGGAGAAGGUGUCGGCACACGAGACCCACUGCCAGUGCCUUCUUCAAAUCCAUCCCCGUCCACCGGAGUUGGAUCCGCGCUGGAGUGAAGCGCCUCGUCGGCGUCCUCCUGGUCGAGCGCCAUGGCGGCUGGAGGUGCCAGGACGUGGAGGGAGAUGGCGACAAGAGGAGCUGCAGGUCUCGCGUGGAGGUCGCGUCGAGGACAGGAGGUAGAGGGAGGAGAGGAGGAGAGGAUGGAGGUGGCCGGUCGCGUCGCUGCAGGCAGCGGCGGCGACCUAUGGUUCCUCCUCUCUAGGGUUUGUGGCGAGAGAGACAGAGGGAGGUGGGUUUCUGGAGUGACGGCACGGGGGUGGGUUGGGGUCUCGGGGAGGGAUUUGGGAAUUGGGAUCGAGGGGGAGUGGACUGAUGGGCCUGGGCGUUGGCCGUUGGGCCGCUGGCUGCCGCCUCGGCUGGGUUCAGUUAGGGUUUUGAUGUUUUUAGUGACUGACAUUUAGGGCCUACCUGUCAUAAUGAAUAAGCAUACGGGUACGCAGGUAUGCGGGUAUGGGUAUUGUCGUCCCAUACUCGUACCCGGCUUACUCGAUGGGUAUAGUUUUUUGUCCCAUUUAUAAACCCAUGGGUAAUUUUUCUUCCCAAAUCCUUACCCUAAUAGGGUUUUUACCCGCCGGGUUCGCGGGUAGCGGGUACCCAUUGCCAUCUGGAACUAAGAGAGAAGGGGGGGGGGAGGGAGGGAGAAUCAGAUCUCCAAAUUGUCUCCAUGUGUCUACACUAUCCAAAACCGCCAUAUGUGAGGAGGAAUGGGGUCACGACGUCUCAGGGCAGCAUGCUAGAUCAGGCCGGAUCACAUCACGCUGGAAAAAAUAUAUAGUUUUUUGAAAUAUUGCAAGGCACCCCGAAGAUAUUGACGUUACAAGUUGCUACGAGCUUAAAUGCUUAAAACAAUCAACCGAAAAUACCAACAUACUUCUCCAUUUUGAGCUAGUCCACCUAACGAGGACUUCUUCAUUAAUACCCACAAUCGUUCCAGAUAGCUAACAGGAGGUAAGUCAGUAAAUGUUGUACUCCCUCCCUUCCUAAAUAUAAGUCUUUUUCGAAAGUUCAAUAAGGACUACAUAUAGAUGUAUAUAGACAUAUUUUAAAGUGUAGAUUCAUUCAUUUUGCUCCGUAUGUAGUUCACAUUGGAGUCUCUAGGAAGACUUAUAUUUAGGAACGGAGGGAGUACAAAUAAUAAUUUCAGUUGAGUUGAAAGACUUAAAUUAAAAACCAACAAAUACUGUUAUUUUAAUAGGCACCAAUAACGUCCUUUUCAGCAUCAUAAUAUAUAAUCCAAAAUCAUAUUAACAAUUUUGGGGUAACUUUAUACUACUUAUGAGUAUAAAUAAUAUGAUUAAUUAACAAACCUUGGAUUGUAAUAAUCUGAGAAAACAUUUAUAUGUUUCAAAGAGUCAGAUGAUGUGAGUGUCGUCUGAAAGCUUUCUGGAUAAAUAAGGAUAUAUAGAGUUGUUAAGUUCAAGAAAACAGAAUAGCUCUCCUUACACAAAGUCUAAGUUCACCACCGUUAGAUGUAUAAAAGGGGAAAAGACGCUAUGAAUAAGAGAAAUAACAAAUAAAGAUAGAAAUGUGUUAAGUUCACCACACUCUUUAUUUUCUUGCUGGGUUGAAUAGGUAACAAUAUGUUUUAGAAGAUGAUGACUUCCUAAUACUUAAGCACAUAAUUGUACUCUACUGAACCGUGGGGGACGAAUCGGAGGUACAGUAGAAGACUGAACAAAUAGGUUUUAUUUGUAUUAACCACACCCUACAUGUACAACACUGAGAAGCUCCUCGUGAAACAAGCUUACAAUAGUGAGCAUUGAACAAUCAUGCUCUCUUCUUGCUAGCCAGUGUUGAGAACACUUGUGUAGCAAUUAGUAUAUCAAUGUCCUCGUAGAUAGGUUGAUGAAGAUUGCCAGCAAUGAAAAUAUCAUCCAGUACAUAGGCCUGGAAAUUUCACCAUUGGCACUCAUGGGAAUUAGUUAGUACUAAAAAGAAUUGUAUACCUCUCGCAAGAAAUUUCAUACAACUCCAUUGCUGGUUCUUCAAUGUCAAAAUUUCAGCAUAUAUGUGAACAUUAAAAAGACUUCACAUACCUAAAUAAAUUAUGAAAAACACUCAUGCUGCAGUGCGGCUCCCGUGUCCUCGUCAGUUUUGAUACACCUACCACGUACUUGCAGCUUGGGGCGCGACCCCUACAUCCUUGGUGGCGGCUGAUGAAGUCAUGUACCUAGGGUAGGGUCAUGAACCUAUCUAGGGUACCCUACCCAAGGACAUCAUCCUCAGAAGAAGCUACCUUCCAGUCGACCAAGAGAGACUUCACUUGACGAACUCAAGGACACUCGACUGAAGGUAGCCACUCGACCAUGAAGCUAAUCACUCGACGAGCAGGAGACCUAAAGUCACUCAGUUCGCAACGGCCUGUCAUUAGGUAGCUUUAAUAGUCUUCAUGGCACUUUAUGAGGGCGUUACCAGUAACCCCCUGUCUUAAUGUACUUUAAACCCUGCAUAACUGAGGGCCGGAGGGGUCUGGCGAACUCUAUAUAAGACACCCUCCUCCUUAGUGUAAAGGGUUCGCACCCCUGUAACUCAUAUACACAGAAACCAGUCGACCGCCUCCGGGCUCCGAGACGUAGGGCUAUUACUUCCUCCGAGAAGGGCCUGAACUCGUUAAACACUCGUGUGUACAACUACUCCAUAGCUAGGAUCUUGCCUCUCCAUACCUACCUCCCAUUCUACUGUCAGGCUUAGAACCACAACAGUUGGCGCCCACCUUGGGGCAAGUGUCUUAGCGACUUUUUGGAGAAGUUGCAAUUUGUCCGAUUGCCUUCAUCAUGGUUUCUGGCGGAGCUCUGGUCGAGGGCCGCGAGAUCCGUCUCGGUGCACUCGCUUUCAUCGCCGACGACUCCGCUUGGCUCCAGGAGGCACCACUCGACAUCGACGCGCUCCCCGUCCGCGGGGCGACGCACUUUAGGGCGUGUGUCCGCGGCGUCCUGCUGCGGCAGCCGUCGACCCCAUACCGGUCGACUCCUGCGCCAUCCUCCCACCGUGUCUCCCGCCAGCGCAAGCGCUCCGGUCGGUCGAGGCUUCAGCGUUGGGUGAGACACGCAGUGGCUCGCCAAUCGGCCACCACCCAAGUCGCGGCAAUCGAGCCCGACGAAUCUCUCUACGGCAUGUUCGAUCUGUCGACUAGCUCCGUAGAGACUACAUCCGAGUGCGACAGCAGUGAUCCAGCGGCGGAGGUCCUGAUGGUCAACGGGCCUCGUAGCCCUCCAGGUUUUCCUCGCGUCGAUGGGAUGGACGAUGGAGGCGACCUUGCUCAGGCCCAUGAAGAAUAUCAGCCCGAGCCGCUCACUUCUCAGCAAAGGGAAGAUCUUCGCCGUCGGAACAUGGAUGCCCUGCAUACUCCCAUCGCGGGAGAAACUCCCGAAGCUCGAGCUUUGGAAGAGGCGCGUUUGGCCAACUUGGCUGAACGCAAUCGACUGGAGAAUCUCCAGCGAGAACUCGACGAGCGUGCGCGUCAACGAGUACCUGACUCCAGCCGACGUCAACUCUUUCCGCAACCGACUCAGGUAUACCGAAUCCCAAUUCAGAAUUUAGCAGCUGCAGCCCGUAUAGCAGAGUCAAUUCAGCCCUCUCAGUCAGAGGCUGGAAGAGGCUUGUUGCAGAUCAGAGAUUUGCUCCGGGCGGCAGGAGAUCAGAAUUCAGCUGUGUCGCAGUCGCGCAACAGGAUUCACAGUCGAUCUGUCGCUGCGAAUAUUGUUCAGUCGGCCCACAGCCCAAGGUCGCCUCCGAGGCGCGUGGGACGUGAUGGCCGGCGGGAUCAUUAUGAUGACCGACUCGACCGUGAUGAUAGACGUCGAGUGCCCACUCCUCCGAGAAGUGGGUCUAACGUCCAUCGGCAGCAAGAUGACAGGCGCCAGCUCAGUGUUGGGCGGAGAGCUCCGGUCGACCCCAGAGAACCGGGCUUUGACGCGAGAUCCAUCAUCGUGCAAGGUUUGGUCGACCGGAAUAGAGCUCAUAGAGGUGGCCAUGACAGAGAUGCACCCACUAGCAGCCAAGUCCAUGUUUCAGGUCCGGAAUGCUUUAGUAGAGCCAUCAGAGCCGCAGUGAUACCCCCCAACUUCAGGUUGGCGACUGGGGUAAGUAAGUUCACCGGAGAGUCGAAGCCUGAAACCUGGUUGGAAGACUACCGAGUGGCAGUACAGAUUGGUGGCGGUAAUGAUGAGGUGGCCAUGAAGCAUCUGCCACUCAUGCUAGAGGGUUCGGCCAGAGCGUGGUUGAAUCAGUUAGCUCCUAGCAGCAUUUACACCUGGGAAGAUCUUUCCUGAGUGUUCGUCAGGACAUUCGAAGGAACUUGCAAGCGACCGGCCGGAUUGACAGACUUGCAAGUCUGCGUACAAAAGUCGAGUGAAACAUUGAGAGAUUACAUCCAGAGAUGGAUCACUUUGCAUCAUACCGUGGAGAAUGUGUCGGACCAUCAAGCGGUCUGUGCUUUUAAGGAUGGUGUCAAGAACAGAGAAUUGAGCCUGAAGUUUGGUCGGACCGGAGAUAUGACCCUGAGUCGAAUGAUGGAGAUUGCCACCAAAUAAGCUAACGGUGAAGAAGAGGACAGGCUCCGGAGUGGCAAGUAUAAGCCGAGUCAAUCGGAAAAAGGGAACUCCAGUUGGAAGCAUAAGCGAAAGGCCGAGCCAGCUGCUCCUGGAGAGGCUCUGGCCGUGACUCAGGGCAAAUUCAAAGGGAAGCCCAAAGGAUCUUGGAACCCCAAGAAGGUAAAGGAUAAAGAGGGAAAUGACGUGAUGGAUCUACCGUGUCACAUCCACACGAAGAAAGACGAAGAGGGAAACUUCAUCUACCCGAAACAUACCACUCGCCAGUGCCGGCUCUUAAUCCAGCAAUUUCAAGGAAAACAGCCCAAGGACAAGGAGAAGGAGUCGGACAAGGCCGAGGACAAGGAGGACAGUGAUGGAGGGUACCCUCAUGUCAAUUCCACCCUGAUGAUUUUUGCUGAUGUAGAGAGCAAAAGUCGACUGAAAGUGAUCAACCGAGAGGUGAAUAUGGUCGCCCCGGCGACACCAAGCUACCUGAAAUGGCCGCAAACUCCCAUUACAUUCGACCAGUCCGAUCACCCUACUCACAUUGCCACCCCUGGGAGGCAAGCGCUGGUGGUCGACCCAGUCAUCGAAGGCACUCGACUGACCAAGGUAUUGAUGGAUGGCGGCAGUGGAUUGAAUAUAUUGUAUGCAGAGACGCUCAAGGGAAUGGGCAUUCCGAUGUCCAAGCUCAGCUCCAGCAACAUGAGUUUUCACGGAGUCAUCCCCGGAAAGAAGGCCGAGUCUCUCGGUCAAAUAGCCCUGGAUGUAGUGUUCGGCGACUCGAAGCAUUUCCGUAAAGAGAAGCUGGCAUUUGAAGUCGUGGAUUUCCAGAGCGCUUACCACGCUAUUUUGGGAAGGCUAGCCUACGCCUGCUUCAUGGCUCGACCAUGUUAUGUGUACCUCAAGCUAAAGAUGCCUGGCCCCAAAGGAGUGAUCACUGUCACCGGCAGUCGAAAGAAGGCAGAAGAGUGUUUCCAGAAAGGCUCGAAGAUCGCGGAUGAUCAGAUAACAGUGGUGGAGCUGGAUGGGUACAAGAAAAAGGCAGAUCCGAGUGAUUUGCUGCGGGCCAAGAAGCCUGCCACAGAGUCAGCAUUCCAGUCGUCAGGGGAGACGAAGCCAGUUCACAUCCACCCGACUGACCCAAACGCAGCUCCGACCCACAUUUCCACAACACUCGACUCUAAAUAGGAAGAAGCGCUCAUCCAGUUCCUCCGUGAGAACUGAGACAUCUUUGCAUGGAAGCCAGCUGACAUGCCGGGUGUUCCCAGGGGGCUGGCUGAGCAUCGCCUUAGAGUCGACUCAAAAGCAAAACCUGUUAAAGAACAUCUUCGAUGGUCCGCCGUUCAGAAGAAAAAAGCCAUUGGCGAGGAGGUGGCUCGACUCCUUGCAGCAGAGUUUAUCCGAGAGGUGUACCACUCCGAGUGGCUCGCCAAUGUCGUCAUGGUCCCCAAGAAGGACAACUCGCUUCGCAUGUGCAUUGAUUUCAAACAUAUCAAUCGGGCCUGCCCGAAAGAUCAUUUUCCUCUCCCUCGCAUCGACCAAAUUGUUGACUCGACUGCGGGAUGUGAGAGAUUGUAUUUUCUAGAUGCUUAUUCCGGGUAUCAUCAGAUCCGUCUGUAUGGACCUGACGAAAUAAAAACAGCUUUCAUCACCCCAUUCGGGUGCUUUUGCUAUAUCACCAUGCCAUUCGGUCUCAAGAAUGCCGGAGCCACGUUCAUGAGAAUGAUUCAAAAGUGUUUACUCACUCAAAUCAGUCGGAACGUAGAAGCGUACAUGGAUGAUAUCGUGGUCAAGUCACGAAAGGGUUCCGACCUGUUGACUGACUUAGCUGAAACAUUUGCCAAUCUCAGGAGGUAUGAUAUCAAGCUCAAUCCAUCAAAGUGCACAUUUGGAGUACCUGGCGGAAAGUUACUCGGUUUUCUCGUUUCAGAACGAGGAAUCGAUGCUAACCCAGAAAAAGUUGGCACCAUACUCCGAAUGAAAUGCCCUGUGCGUGUGCACGAUGUCCAGAAGCUUACUGGAUGCUUGGCCGCGUUAAGUCGAUUCAUCUCUCGCCUCGGUGAAAAAGCGUUGCCUCUUUACCGACUGAUGAAGAAGGCAGACAAGUUCGAGUGGACUCCAGAAGCUGAUGCAGCGUUUGCCGAGCUAAAAGCUCUACUCUCCACCCAGCCGGUGAGCCUCUGUUGCUUUACAUUGCAGCCACAGGACAUGUCAUCAGUACAGUACUUACGGUCGAGCGGGAAGAGGAAGGUAAAACCUUCAAAGUUCAGCGCCCAGUGUAUUAUCUCUCUGAAGUUUUGACUCCAUCGAAGCAAAGAUAUCCUCAUUAUCAGAAGCUCGUAUAUGGGAUCUACAUGACCAUGAAGAAGGUUGCUCAUUAUUUCUCUGAUCAUGACAUUACAGUCGUCAGCGACGCACCAUUAUCAGAGAUUCUGCACAACAGAGACGCAACUGGUCGAGUGGCUAAAUGGGCGAUUGAACUUCUUCCCCUUGAUAUCAAAUUUGAGGCAAAGAAAGCCAUUAAGUCCCAGGCUAUAGCAGAUUUCCUCGCCGAGUGGAUCGAACAACAACAGCCGACUCAAGUUCACUCGGAGCAUUGGAAAAUGUUCUUUGAUGGUUCUAAGAUGUUAAAUGGUUCUGGUGCUGGAGUGGUUUUGGUUUCCCCCCGAGGAGAUAAACUCAGAUAUGUGCUCCAGAUCCACUUUGAUUCCUCCAACAAUGAAGCAGAAUAUGAAGCACUUUUGUAUGGGUUGCGCAUGGCCAUUUCACUCGGUGUCCGUCGCCUUAUGGUUUAUGGCGACUCAGAUUUGGUGGUCAAUCAAGUGAUGAAGGAGUGGGAUGUUAGAAGCCCAGCUAUGACUAGAUACUGCAAUGCAGUGAGAAAGCUGGAGAAGAAAUUCGAGGGAUUAUAGCUCCAUCACAUUCCCCGACUGAAAAAUCAAGCGGCCGAUGACUUGGCGAAGAUAGGUUCCAAGACAGAAGCCAUUCCGAGUGGUGUGUUUUUGGAGCAUAUUCACACUCCGUCGGUUCAAGAAGAUCCUUUCACUGAAGAAGUCCCACAGCCCAGAAGUGCCACUGAUCCGACUAAAGUCGAGGUCCCAGCCGUGGUCGACUUGGUCAUGGAGGUCUUGGUCGUCACUCCUGAUUGGACAGUGCCCUAUUUCGCCUAUAUUUUGAGAAAAGAACUCCCUGAGGAUGAAGAAGAGGCUCGAGAGAUUGUCCGCCGAUCCAAAGCCUUCACCGUCAUGAGGGAUCAGUUAUACAGAGAGAGUGCGACUGGAGUCAGCCAGAAAUUCAUAACACCAGAGGAAGGUUGAAUGAUUCUCAACGACAUCCACUCGGGGACCUGUGGCCAUCAUGCGUCCUCUCGGACCAUCGUGGCUAAGGCAUACCGAGCUGGUUUUUAUUGGCCCAGGGCGAAUGAAAUGGCAAAGGAAAUAGUCGACAAAUGUGAAGGAUGCCAAUUUUACUCCAAUAUGUCACACAAACCCGCCUCGGCCCUGAAGACCAUUCCACUUGUCUCACCUUUUGCCGUGUGGGGCCUGGAUUUGGUAGGCCCCUUGAGAACAGGUAGGAGCGGUUUCACCCAUGUGCUGGUAGCAGUCGACAAGUUCACCAAGUGGAUUGAAGCCAAACCCAUCAAGAACCUCGAUGCCGGCACUGCUGUCAGCUUUAUCAGAGAGUUAAUAUUCAGAUAUGGAGUCCCACAUAGCAUCAUCACUGACAACGGGUCAAACUUCGACUCCGAAGAAUUUAGAGCUUUCUGCACAUCUCAAGGCACACGAGUCGACUAUGCUUCAGUCGCCCAUCCGCAGUCGAAUGGACAGGCAGAACGAGCUAACGGCUUGAUUCUGAAAGGGUUGAAACCCCGUUUGAUGCGUGAUCUCAAGCAUGCGGCUGGCGCGUGGGUCGACGAACUUCCCUCGGUGCUUUGGGGGUUAAGGACCACGCCCAACCGGUCGACUGGCAGAACUUCGUUCUUCUUGGUCUAUGGAGCUGAAGCAGUCUUGCAGAGUGACCUUCUCCACAAUGCCCCUCGGGUCGAGCUCUACACCGAAGCUGAAGCAGAACAAGCCCGACAGGACGUAGUCGAACUUCUGGAAGAAGAAAGAGAGAUGGCCUUAAUCCGGUCGACCAUUUACCAACAGGACUUGCGUUGCUUCCAUGCCAGAAAUGUGAAGAGUCGAGCUUUCCAGGAGGGAGAUUUAGUUCUCCGAGUGGAUCAACAAAAACCACACAAGCUUGCUCCUACUUGGGAAGGUCCCUUCAUCGUCACCAAGGUUCUCCACAAUGGAGCAUACCGUCUCUACAAUGUCGAGCAUCAGAUCGACGAGCCCCGAGCUUGGAACGCGGAGCUUCUCCGCCCCUUUUACACUUAAGUUUUUCACUCGGACGAGUUGUAAUAAAAGUACUUCUGUAGUUUAUUUAUCAAAGACAAGAGCUUUAUAGUUUUCCCAAUAAUUGUUAUUACUUUUGUCCACAUAAAUCGAUCCCCCAGCGGGUGGCUUGGCCGCGAAUCCGAUUCGCCUAAGUCUGUAAAAAAAUCCUACCGAGUGGUAAGCCAGCCUUCCACUCGGAGGCUUAGCUGCGAAAUCCGUUUCGCCUAAGAUAAACAAAAUCCUACCAAGUGGUAAGCCAACCUUCCACUCGGAGGCUUAGCUGCAGCCCAGUGCUCGUCCAAGUUUUUGAAAAUCCUACCGAGUGGAGAGCAAACCUCCCACUCGGGGGCUUAGCUGCAGCCCAGUGCUCGCCUAAGUUUUUGAAAUUCCUACCGAGUGGAGAGCAAACCUCCCACUCGGAGGCUUAGCUGCAGUCCAAGUACUCGCCUAAGUUAAACAAAAUCCUNNNNNNNNNNNNNNNNNNNNNNNNNNNNNNNNNNNNNNNNNNNNNNNNNNNNNNNNNNNNNNNNNNNNNNNNNNNNNNNNNNNNNNNNNNNNNNNNNNNNNNNNNNNNNNNNNNNNNNNNNNNNNNNNNNNNNNNNNNNNNNNNNNNNNNNNNNNNNNNNNNNNNNNNNNNNNNNNNNNNNNNNNNNNNNNNNNNNNNNNNNNNNNNNNNNNNNNNNNNNNNNNNNNNNNNNNNNNNNNNNNNNNNNNNNNNNNNNNNNNNNNNNNNNNNNNNNNNNNNNNNNNNNNNNNNNNNNNNNNNNNNNNNNNNNNNNNNNNNNNNNNNNNNNNNNNNNNNNNNNNNNNNNNNNNNNNNNNNNNNNNNNNNNNNNNNNNNNNNNNNNNNNNNNNNNNNNNNNNNNNNNNNNNNNNNNNNNNNNNNNNNNNNNNNNNNNNNNNNNNNNNNNNNNNNNNNNCUUAGCUGCAGCCCAGUGCUCGCCUAAGUUUUUGAAAAUCCUACCGAGUGGAGAGCGAACCUCCCACUCGGGGGCUUAGCUGCAGCCCAGUGCUCGCCUAAGUUUUUGAAAAUCCUACCGAGUGGAGAGCAAACCUCCCACUCGGGGGCUUAGCUGCAGCCCAGUGCUCGCCUAAGUUUUCGAAAUCCUACCGAGUGGAGAGCAAACCUCCCACUCGGAGGCUUAGCUUCAGCCCAGUGCCCGCCUAAGUUUAUGGGAAAACAAGUCGAUUGCAAUGAGCGCUUCACUUAAACCUGCAAAAGACACCUCAGACCAAAAUACAAACAUAUUCAAUGUCGAAUUCAAGUUCGGAUAAAACCUAACGGAACCGAAAGUGCUCAGGCGAUAAGCCUGUUAAGGUUUAUCAGUUACAAAACUCACUCGGCAUACCGAGGCAAAUUUAAAGUAUCAAGCUCAGAAGUUUUUUACCCCUCCUGUGGAGGGCUGGAAGGUGCAACAAAUUCAUCCAGGUCGAUUCCAUCUGCAAUCCGAGUGGCGGCGGCAAUGAAGGUCUCCAUGAAAGAUCGGAAAUCAUGCUUCUUGGUGUUAGCCACCCUGAGAGCCACCAGCUUGUCCUCUCGUGCAUCCUUGCAGUGAACGCGGACCAGAGACAGAGCAACAUCUGCGCCACACCUAGUAGAAGACUUCUUCCACUCCUACACUCGACUUGGAACCUCGUUCAGUCGAGUCAUCAGAGACUCGAGGUCGUUCUGGAGUGUCUCUCUUGGCCAGAGUGUCGUGUCGAUGCGAGAAGUUGCGACCUUCAGCCUUGCGAGAUAGUCGACGACAGCUGCGACGCGAGAUUCAAGUCGGAGCACAUUCAUGGCGACUUUGUCAUUCACGGGAGAGUUGAUGGGAUCCAGGUUUAUCUCCAUUCGACCAGUAUCCUCUUCAAAGUUCUGGCAAAAUUCUGCAAGCACAACCUGUCGUGGUUCUAAGCCUGACAGUAGAGUGGGGGGUAGGUAUGGAGAGGCAAGGUCCUAGCUAUGGAGAGGUUGUAAACACAAGGGAUGUACGAGUUCUGGCCCUUCUCGGAAGAAGUAAUAGCCCUACGUCUCGGAGCCCGGAGGCGGUCGAGUGGAUUAUGAGUAUAUGAGUUACAAGGUGCCGAACCCCUCUGCCUGUGGAGGGGGGUGGCUUAUAUAGAGUGCGCCAGGACCCCAGCCAACCCACGUAGGAGAGGGUUUAAGGUGAGUUAAGUCUGGGGCGUUACUGGUAACGCCCCACAUAAAGUGCCUUUACUAUCAUAAAGCCUACUUGAUUACAGGCCGUUGCAGUGCAGAGUGUCUCUUGACUUUCCGGUAGUCGAGUGAGUCUUCGUGGUCGAGUCCUUCAAGUCAGUCGAGUGCGUCCCUCGUUGGUCGACUGGAAGGUGACUUCUUCUAAGGGUGUCCUUGGGUAAGGUACUUGGAUCAGGUCCAUGACCCUACCCUAGGGACAUAACCCCAUCAUUAGCCCCCGAAUGAAUUGAGGCUUCGAGUGAGGAAGGAGUUGAUGUUGUUUCCGAUUAACCUUUGCGCUCUGGUUGUGCGUUGUCCUGGACCAAAGAAUCUCUUCGUUGACAGGGAGCAACUUGCCUUCAGUUGACUCGAUCCAUUCUAUUUUUACGUCGAGUGAUCUUUCGGGCUUCGACGAUCUCCGAGCGACGGAUUGCCGGAAACACCGCGUCUGACAGACUGAUUUGCUGUUCGCGGAUUCCGUGGGAUGCGAAAUUUGGGGACGCGCGCGAAGCGGGGCGGACCGCGGCGUUCGGAUGGGACGGGGCAUAGACGCCUCGAUCUCCGCGCCGCCUUUUUCGCCACGUAUCCCGUCUGCAUAACUGCUCCCAGAUAUGAUUAGAUCGACGGGCCCACCUGUCAUCCACUCCGAAGGGACCUUAUAAAUGUGCCCGGCGAGGAUUUCUGUGCUGCGCCUCAGCAUUCUCUCCCUGUCUCUGCUUCCUUCUUCUCCGCCCAGCGUGCUCGCUCUCGCCCCCGCACCACUUCCCUUCGCGCAUCUCGCCGGCGACCAUGGCCAAGGAGAAGACGGCGGCGCUGGAGCGUGCAAAGAAGGCGUCGGCGUCGGAGAAGGCGAAGGGGAGAUCCACCAGCCGCGGAGGGUCCUCGUCCAGAUCCCGCCUGCCGAAGGGCUGGGUCCAAGGAGACUGGAUCCAGUCGACCAUCACAGAGAAUGACCUCCUCGACAUGGCCAACGAGGGCUUGAUCCCUCACGGAGCUGCGAGGCUUCCGGGGAAGGAAUGGCAGCCUCAGCCAGAAGAGGGUGAGUGUGUGCUUUUGGCCACCCAUGUUGAUCGUGGGUUUUCCUUGCCGCCGAGUGUUUUCUUCCGUGGCUUCUUGAAUUUCUUCGGAGCGCAGCUCCACCACUUUACCCCAAACUCCAUUGCCUAUCUUGCUGCGUUCGUGUCCAUGUGUGAGGGUUUCUUGGGCUGUCGACCGCACUGGGGAUCCAGGUGAGGAAUAAGAGCACCUUCCCGCCCAUGACCUUUCCCGAGUCGGUCAGAGGCUGGCAGUCGACCUGGUUCUACUGCCGGGACCAGUCGACGCCGGGGCAGUCGAGUGGACUCCCACAGUUUACCAUGGACCGAGUGAACAAGCCCUCCUCUCUGAAGUUGAUUCCGGAGGAGAAAGCUGAUGUGAAGAUGUUGAUGGAGCGCGUGGUGCAGUUGGUUCGGGAGGGAGUGACGGGCAUGGACCUCUUGGAGGUCUUCCUCAGGCGUCGCAUCCAGCCUCUUCAGUUCCGGAGCCACUGCAUGUGGUUGUACUGUGGGACCGAAGACAAGACUCGAGUCCAUCCAGAAGCAGUCGACGAUGUCACUCUGGAAAGAUGGAUGGUAGCCGUUACCGGAAACAAGGACAACCCACGCGGAGCCAGAAGGAUUCCUCCACUCGACCACAACAGCGAUCCAAACAAGGUACAUUUGCUCUGCCCUCCACUGCGUUCUUGUCGCACUCAUUUCUGUUUAUCCUGCCGACUGGUCGACUGAUCCUUGUCUUGAUAUCUGCUAGGCUCUCACCAAGUUGUACUCGAUGCCCAAUGAGGCACAAACUCCGACUGAGGAGGGUGAGGCGAGCGGGGGUGAGAGCCAGGAAGAGGAGGAGUGGGACUCGGACGUUGCAGGGGAUGACGACGACGAUGAUGAUGACGACGGCGAUGACGAUGACGUUGAAGACGAGGAGGAAGAGGAGGAGGAGGUCGUACCACCGCGCUCGGAAAGGCGGUCGAAGCUUGUCCACGACCCUUCAACCGAACGUGGUAAGGGGGUUGCGACCACCACUCAGUCGACCAAGCGUCCUCGGACCAUCUCUCCGGUGCCGACUGAAAAGGCGCCGAAGCAGCCCAGGGCGGCCUCGUCGAAGCCGAUCAAGCUCCUGCCGAAGAUGAAGGUGUCCAUCCCUACCAUAUCAGGGUAAUCGUGUUGUUUGAAUCUUCUCAUUUUGUGUGAACUUUGUCUCUGGUCGACGCUGAAGUUAGUCGACUGAUCCUUUGGAGUUGCAGUGCUGCUACUUCUGAAAACUCGGCCCGGGCUGAUGACCACGAGAUGGAAGACGCAGCAACUUCGAACCCAGGUACUGUAUUCUUAACGCCGUUCUUAGUCGACUGACUCGCGAUCUCUGAUCCUGAUUCUUCUCCGCAGCUCCACCCAAUACUGUUAUCAAUCUUCCUGAUGAUGAUGAGGAUGAAGAGCCGCUGAAGCGCAGGAGGAGUCGGAAAGCGUCCGCCAGUAAGGUGCCUCAGGAUGUGACGGCGCCUGAGAUUCUGACUGUGGAGGAAGAGAACACCACUCGACACACGGUGUCCUUCGCAAAUCCACUGACGAGUGCUCAGCAGCCCUCCCUCUUCACGACGCACCACGUCCCAGAGGACCAAGCUGGCGCAGCGAAGGAGGCGAUACGCCAGGCGGGACUCAUGAUGGAGCAGCUGAAGACCAUCCGGGACGCGAGCCAGGCAGCUUAUGACGCCAGUUCUGCCCUCCAAAGCAAUGUUCAGAUCAGUUGACCACCGUUUGUUCUGUUGGAUAUGCUGCCAAAAACUUUUCUUUUCCAGAAUUUAUAGUAGUCACCCACUGGGUGUUGUCGAUUGAGCUCUGUAUUAGCGGGGGCACGCUGAGUGCACCCGCUGGGUGUAGUCCCCAAGGCUAAGGUCGACUGCUGGCAGUCGGCCUUAGGCUUUAAAAUUUCAGUCUUUCUGUCAGUCGACUAUGUCGACUGGAUUUCACAAACCGGUGGAGGCACGCUAAGUGCACCCACUGGGUGUAGUCCCCGAGACUGUGGUCGACUGCUUGCAGUUGAUCACAGUCUUAGAAAAUGCAUCUCGCACUUUUUUUUGAGGUCGACUGGUCGACUUUGUCUUCAACAGGAUUAGUGGGGGCACGCUGAGUGCACCCACUGGGUGUAGUCCCCGAGACUACGGUCAAAUGCUUGUAUUCGGCUGUAGUCUUAGAAACGUGAGUUUUUCCCUUUUUCACUCGGAAGUGAAUUAUAUUUGACAUUUAGUCGAUUGGUUCUUCGCAGAACUCUUGUGAUCUUGUGGCUCGCUACUCAGAGCUGGAACACAAGCAUACUCAAGUCGAGCUGAGCUUGAAGCUGGUUCAGGAGAAGCUGACAAAGGCAAAGGAGGAGACCGAAGGUAUGUUUGGUGAGACCCUGAUGACUGCUUUUCCCCUUGCUUGUUUCAAAAUCUGAUCUUGCUGUAACUUGCAGGUAAGGUAAGGGAGGCCCAACAGAAGAAAGACCUUGAGCUAGCUGAGAAGAUCAAGCUUGCUGACGAGAAGUUAGCUUCAGUCACCAAGCUCGAACAAGACAAUACCAAUCUGAAAGCUGCUCUUGGGAUUGCCAACAAGGAGGUUAGUCGACUGAAAACUGAUAAAGCUGCCCUGACCGACCAAGUCACCAGGUUGACUGGGAAGAAAACUGAUCUGGAGGCCUUCCUGAGUGGACUUGCCAAGAAGCUGUUUCUUAUGCUUGAAGGUAAACCUCUAUGCUUGGCAGACAUUUCCAAUUGUGAUUUUUCCAUUCGACCAUCCCCUUGACUUAGUGAUCACCCUUGCAGAAUUUUGUCAAAACUUUGAAGAAGAAACUAGCCGGCUGGAGCCAAACCUCGACCCCGUCAAUUCUCCGGUGAACGAUGAAGUUGCCAUGGAUGUUCUCCGACUGGAGUCCCGUGUUGCAGCUGUCGUGGACUAUCUCGCAAGACUGAAGGCUGCCACAUCUCGCAUCGACUCGACGCUCUGGCCUGAGGAGACACUUCAGAAUGAUCUUGAGUCGCUGAUGGCCCGGUUGAACACGAUCCCUGGUCGAGUGCAGGAAUGGAAGAAGUCCUCGGCUUGGUGUGGUGCAGAUGUUGCUCUGUGUCUUGCCCGAGUCCACUGUAAGGAUGCAUGAGAAGAGAAGCUGGCGGCUCUUCGGGUGGCCAACACCAAGAAACACGACUUCAGGUCCUUUAUGGAAACUUUCCUUGCAGCUGCCACUCGGAUCGCCGACGGGAUCGACCUUGAUGAAUUCGUUGCACCUUCCAGCCCUCCACAGGAGGGGUAAAAAACUUCUUCUGGCUCGACGUUUUAAAUUUGCCUCGGUAUACCGAGUGGAAUUGUAACCGAUAAACCUUAACAGGCUUAACGCCUGAGCACUCUCGGUUCCUUUAGAUAUCGAUUCAAACUUGAAUUUGGUGCUUGAAUACGAUUGCUUUUGGCUCGAAAUGUCUUUUGCAGGUUCAAAGCAAGGCGCCUUUAUUGCAACCGACUUAUUCUUCAGUCCUACUUAGGCGAGUGCUUGGACUGCAGCUAAGCCCCCGAGUGAGAGGGUUGCUCUUCACUCGGUAGGAUUUUCGUAACUUAGGCGAGCACAGGGCUGCAGCUAAGCCCCUGAGUGAGAGGGUUGCUCCUCACUCGGUAGGAUUUUUAUAACUUAGGCAAGUGCUUGGACUGCAGCUAAGCCUCCGAGUGAGAGGGUUGCUCUUCACUCGGUAGGAUUUUCGUAACUUAGGCGAGCACAGGGCUGCAGCUAAGCCCCCGAGUGAGAGGGUUGAUCCUCACUCGGUAGGAUUUUUAUAACUUAGGCGAGUGCUNNNNNNNNNNNNNNNNNNNNNNNNNNNNNNNNNNNNNNNNNNNNNNNNNNNNNNNNNNNNNNNNNNNNNNNNNNNNNNNNNNNNNNNNNNNNNNNNNNNNNNNNNNNNNNNNNNNNNNNNNNNNNNNNNNNNNNNNNNNNNNNNNNNNNNNNNNNNNNNNNNNNNNNNNNNNNNNNNNNNNNNNNNNNNNNNNNNNNNNNNNNNNNNNNNNNNNNNNNNNNNNNNNNNNNNNNNNNNNNNNNNNNNNNNNNNNNNNNNNNNNNNNNNNNNNNNNNNNNNNNNNNNNNNNNNNNNNNNNNNNNNNNNNNNNNNNNNNNNNNNNNNNNNNNNNNNNNNNNNNNNNNNNNNNNNNNNNNNNNNNNNNNNNNNNNNNNNNNNNNNNNNNNNNNNNNNNNNNNNNNNNNNNNNNNNNNNNNNNNNNNNNNNNNNNNNNNNNNNNNNNNNNNNNNNNNNNNNNNNNNNNNNNNNNNNNNNNNNNNNNNNNNNNNNNNNNNNNNNNNNNNNNNNNNNNNNNNNNNNNNNNNNNNNNNNNNNNNNNNNNNNNNNNNNNNNNNNNNNNNNNNNNNNNNNNNNNNNNNNNNNNNNNNNNNNNNNNNNNNNNNNNNNNNNNNNNNNNNNNNNNNNNNNNNNNNNNNNNNNNNNNNNNNNNNNNNNNNNNNNNNNNNNNNNNNNNNNNNNNNNNNNNNNNNNNNNNNNNNNNNNNNNNNNNNNNNNNNNNNNNNNNNNNNNNNNNNNNNNNNNNNNGCCCCGUUGUGGAGAACCUUGGUGACGAUGAAGGGGCCUUCCCAAGAAGGAGCAAGCUUGUGUGGUUUGUGCUGAUCCACUCGGAGAACCAAAUCUCCUUCCUGGAAGGCUCGACCUCUCACAUUUCUGGCGUGGAAACGACGCAAAUCUUGUUGGUAGAUGGUCGACCGGAUCAGAGCCAUCUCCCUUUCUUCCUCUAAAAGGUCGACUGCGUCCUGCCGCGCUUGUUCAGCCUCUGCUUCGUUGUAGAUUUCAACUCGAGGAGCAUUGUGGAGAAGAUCACUCGGCAAGACUGCUUCAGCUCCGUAGACCAAGAAGAAUGGAGUUCUCCCGGUCGACCGAUUAGGUGUGGUCCGCAGUCCCCAAAGUACUGAGGGAAGUUCGUCGACCCAAGCUCCAGCUGCGUGUUUGAGAUCACGCAUCAGUCGAGGCUUCAAUCCCUUAAGAAUCAGUCCAUUAGCUCGCUCUGCUUGUCCAUUUGACUGCGGAUGGGCGACUGAAGCGUAGUCGACCCGUGUGCCUUGGGAGCUGCAGAAAUCUCUGAAUUCCUUCGAGUCAAAGUUCGACCCAUUAUCCGUAAUGAUGCUGUGCGGGACUCCAUAUCUGAAUAUUAGUUCCCUGAUGAAGCUAACAGCAGUACCGGUGUCAAGGCUCUUGAUUGGUUUAGCCUCGAUCCACUUGGUGAACUUGUCGACUGCCACCAGUACAUGCGUGAAGCCACUUCGUCCUGUUCUCAAAGGACCGACCAUGUCCAAUCCCCAUACCGCGAAAGGCCAGACGAGUGGGAUGGUCUUCAGAGCCGACGCAGGCUUGUGUGACAUAUUCGAGUAGAAUUGACAUCCCUCGCACUUAUCCACUAUCUCUUUUGCCAUCUCGUUCGCCUUUGGCCAGUAAAAUCCGGCUCGGUAUGCUUUGGCCACGAUGGUCCGAGAGGACGCAUGAUGACCACAGGUCCCCGAGUGAAUAUCAUUGAGGAUGAGUCGACCUUCUUCUGGUGUUAUGCACUUCUGACCAACUCCAGUCGCGCUUUCUCUGUAUAAUUGUCCUUUGAUUACGGUAAAGGCCUUAGAUCGACGGACGAUCUGUCGAGCCUCUUCCUCAUCCUCCGGAAGCUCUUUUCUCAGGAUAUAUGCGACAUACGGAAUCGUCCAGUCGGGAAUGACCACCAAAACCUCCAUGAUCAAGUCGACCACCGCUGGGACUUCAACUUCAGUCGGAUCUGUGGCACUCUUGGGCUGUGGAGUUUCUUCGGUGAAAGGAUCUUCUUUGACUGACGGAGUGUGUAUAUGCUCCAAGAACACACCACUCGGAAUGGCUUCUCUCUUGGAACCUAUCUUUGCUAGAUCAUCAGCUGCUUGAUUUUUCAGUCGGGGUAUAUGAUGGAGCUCCAACCCCUCGAACUUCUUUUCCAGCUUCCUCACUGCACUGCAUUAUCCAGUCAUGGCUGGGCUUCUCACGUCCCACUCUUUCAUCACCUGAUUGACCACUAAAUCCGAGUCGCCAUAGACCAUCAGGCGACGGACGCCGAGUGAAAUGGCCAUGCGCAACCCAUAUAAGAGGGCCUCAUAUUCUGCCUCAUUGUUGGAGGAAUCAAAGUGAAUCUGGAGCACAUAUCUGAGCUUAUCUCCUCUGGGGGAAACCAGGACAACCCCAGCACCGGAACCAUUCAACAUCUUAGAGCCAUCAAAGAACAUGGUCCAAUGCUCCGAGUGAACUUCAGUCGGCUGCUGCUGUUCAAUCCACUCGGCGAGGAAGUCUGCUAUUGCCUGAGACUUAAUGGCUUUCUUUGCCUCAAACUUGAUAUCAAGGGGAAGAAGUUCAAUCGCCCAUUUGGCCACUCGACCAGUUGCAUCCCUGUUGUGCAAAAUCUCUGAUAGUGGAGCGUCGCUGAUGACUGUGAUGGAAUGAUCAGAGAAAUAAUGAGCAACCUUCUUUGUGGUCAUGUAUAUUCCAUAUACAAGCUUCUGAUAAUGAGGAUAUCUCUGCUUGGAUGGAGUCAAGACUUCAGACAAAUAAUACACUGGGCGCUGAACUUUGAGAGCUUUUCCUUCUUCUUCCCGCUCGACCGUUAGCACAGUACUGACGACUUGUCCUGUGGCUGCGAUAUAGAGCAACAGAGGCUCUUUGCUGAUUGGAGCAGCAAGCACCGGCUGGGUGGAGAGCAGAGCUUUUAGCUCGGCAAACGCUGCAUCAGCUUCUGGAGUCCACUCGAACUUGUCUGUCUUCUUCAUCAGUCGGUAAAGAGGUAAUGCCUUUUCACCGAGUCGUGAGAUGAAUCGACUUAAUGCGGCCAAGCAUCCAGUAAGCUUCUGGACAUCGUGCACUCGCACAGGGCGUUUCAUUCGGAGAAUAGUGCCAAUCUUCUUUGGGUUAGCGUCGAUUCCCCGUUCGGAAACGAGAAAACCGAGUAACUUGCCACCAGGAACUCCAAAUGUGCACUUUGAUGGAUUGAGCUUGAUAUCAUACCUUCUGAGGUUGGCAAAUGUUUCGGCAAGGUCAGCGAGCAGGUCAGAACCUUUUCGUGACUUGACAACAAUAUCAUCCAUAUAAGCUUCCACAUUCCGACUGAUUUGAGUGAGUAGACACUUCUGAAUCAUUCGCAUGAAUGUGGCUCCGGCAUUCUUGAGGCCGAAUGGCAUGGUGAUAUAGCAGAAGCACCCGAAUGGAGUGAUGAAAGCUGUUUUUACCUCGUCGGGUCCGUACAGACGGAUCUGGUGGUACCCGGAGUAGGCAUCUAAAAAAGAUAGCCUCUCACAUCCCGCGGUCGAGUCAACAAUUUGAUCUAUGCGAGGGAGAGGAAAAUGAUCUUUCGGGCAGGCCCGGUUGAUGUGCUUGAAAUCAAUGCACAUUCGUAGCGACUUGUCCUUCUUAGGAACCAUGACGACAUUAGUGAGCCACUCGGAGUGGUAUAUCUCUCGGAUAAAUCCUGCCGCCAACAGUCGAGCCACUUCUUCACCAAUGGCUUUUCUCUUCUGGACGGCGGACCGCCGAAGAUGUUCUUUGACUGGUUUGGCAGACGAGUCGACUCUUAGGCGAUGCUCAGCCAGUCCCCUGGGAGAACCUGGCAUGUCAGCGGGCUUCCAUGCAAAAAUGUCCCAGUUCUCACGGAGGAACUGGAUGAGCGCUUCUUCCUAUUUUGGGUCGAGUGUCGUGGAGAUGCGGGUCGGAGCUGCUUCGGGGUCGGUCGGGUGAAUGUGAACAGGCUUCGUCUCACCGGACGACUGGAAUGCAGACUCUGUGGCGGGCUUCUUGGAUCGUAGCAAGUCACUCGGAUCUGCGUUUUGCUUGUAUUCUUCGAACUCGACCGCUGUCACCUGGGAAUCGGCGAUCUUGGAGCCCUUCUGAAAGCACUCUUCUGCCUUUUUCCCGGUGACAGUGAUCACUCCUUUGGGGCCGGGCAUCUUCAAUUUGAGGUACACGUAGCAUGGUCGAGCCAUAAACCGUGCGUAAGCUGGUCUCCCCAAAAUGGCAUGACAUGCACUUUGAAAAUCCACGACCUCAAACGUCAACUUUUCUUUGCGAAAAUGCUUCGAAUCACCAAACACCACGUCCAAAGCUAUCUGGCCGAGUGACUCGGCCUUCUUCCCUGGUAUAACUCCAUGAAAGCUCAUGUUACUAGUGCUCAAUCGGGACAUCGGAAUGCCCAUACCUUUCAAUGUGUCUGCAUACAAUAAGUUCAGCCCACUUCCACCAUCCAUCAGCACCUUUGUCAGACGAGUGCCUUCGACAACUGGAUCGACCACCAAAGCUUGCCUCCCAGGGGUGGCAAUAUGAGUCGGGUGAUCAGAUUGGUCGAAUGUGAUGGGUGUUUGAGACCACUUCAGAUAAUUUGCUUUUGCGGGGGCAACCAUGUUCACCUCUCGGUUAAUCACUUUCAGUCGACUUCUGCUUUCCACAUCUGCAAAGAUCAUCAGAGUGGAGUUGAUAUGCGGAUAUCCUCCCUCACUGUCCUCCUUGUCUUCGGCCUUGUCCGACUCCUUCUCCUUGUCCUUAGACUGUUUUCCCUGAAACUGCUGGAUCAGGAGUCGACAUUGGCGAGUGGUGUGCUUCGGGUAGAUGAUAUUCCCCUCUUCGUCUUUCUUCGUAUGGAUGUGACAUGGCAUAUCCAUUACGUUGUUCCCUUCUUUAUCCUUUACCUUCUUGGGGCUCCAGGAUCCUUUUGGUUUCCCCUUAAACUUUCCUUGAGUCACGGCCAGAGCCUCUCCGGGAGCUGCCGGUUCAGCCUUCCGCUUCUGUUUCCGACUGGUGUUUCCUUUUUUCGACUGACUCGGCUUGUGCUUGCCGCUUCGGAGUCGGUCUUCUUCUUCGCCGUUGGCGUACUUGGUAGCAAUCUCCAUCAUCCGACUCAAGGUCAUGUCACCGGUUCGACCAAACUUCAAACUCAGUUCUCUGUUCUUGACACCAUCUUUGAAGGCGCAGACUGCCCGAUGAUCGGACACAUUCUCCACAGUGUGGUGCAAAGUGAUCCACCUCUGAAUAUACUCUCUGAGAGUCUCAUUAGCCUUCUACACGCAAACUUGCAACUCCGUCAAUCCAGCUGGUCGCUUGCAAGUCCCUUCAAACGUUCUGAUGAACACUCGGGACAAAUCUUCCCAAGUGUAAAUGCUGCUAGGAGGUAAUUGAGUCAACCACGCCCUGGCAGAACCUUCCAGCAUGAGGGGCAAAUGCUUCAUGGCCACCUCGUCAUUCCCGCCACCAAUCUGAACUGCCACUCGGUAGUCUUCAAGCCAAGUUUCAGGCUUAGACUCACCAGUGAACUUGCUGACUCCUGUUGCCAACCUGAAAUUGGGAGGGAUAACUGCGGCUCUGAUGGCUCUGCUGAAACAUUCAGGACUAGAAACAUGCACUCGACUACUUGUGGGUGCAUCUCUGUCGAGUCCACCUCGAUGGGCUCUGUUCCGGUCGACCAUACCUUGCACGAUAAUGGAUCGCGCAUUGAAGCCUGGUUCUCUGGGGUCGACUGGAAUCCUUCGCCCUGAACUGUACUGAUGCCUGUCAUCUUGCUGUCAAGGAGCGUAAGACCCACCCCUUGGAGGGGAGUUGGGCACUUGACGCCUAUCAUCUCGGUCGAGUCGGUCGCCAUAUUGAUCUCGCCGAUUCUCGCGCCCUUCACGCCGCGGAGGCGAUCUAGGGCUGUGAGCCGACUGAACCGUAUUCACAGUGACGGAUCGACUGUGAAUUCUGUUGCGCGACUGAGACACGGCCGAAUUCUGAUCUCCUGCUGCUCGGAGCAGAUCCCUGAUCUGCAGCAAACCUCUGCCAGCUUCCGACUGCGAAGGCUGGAUGGACUCUGCCAUACGGGUCGCAGCUGCUAAAUUCUGAAUUGGGGUUCGAUAUACCUGAGUCGGCGGGAAGAGUUGACGUCGACUGGUGUCGGGAACUCGUUGCCGCGUGCGCUCGUCGAGUGCUCGCUGAAGGUUCUCAAGUCGAGUGCGCUCGGCCAAAUUGGCCAGAUGCGCCUCCUCCAAGGCACGAGCCUCGGGGGUUUCUCCUGCGAUGGGAGUAUGCAGGGCAUCCACGUUCCUGCGGCGAAGCUCCUCUCUUUGCAGAGAGUCGAGUGGCUCGGGCUGGUACUCUUCGUGGCGUCGUGCAGGGUCGCCUCCGUCACCUGAUCCAUCGCCACGGGCGAAGCCAGGGGGACUGCGGGGCCCGUCGACCAUCAAGAUUUCGGCCGCUGGAUCGCUGCUACCGCACUCGGAUGCAGUCUCUACGGAGCCAGUCGACUGAUCGAACAAGCCGUAGAGAGAUUCGUUGGGCUCGAUUGCCGCAACUUGGGUGGUGGCCGAUUGGCGAGCCACCGCGUGCCUCACCCAUCGCUGAAGCCUCGACCGGCCUGAGCGCUUGCGCUGGCGGGAGACCGGGAGGGCGGACGAUAGAGGAGCCGACCGAUACUGGGUCGACGGUUGCCGCAGCAGAACGCCGCGGACACAUGCGCGAAAAUGCGUCGCACCGCGGACGGGGAGCGCAUCUACGUCGAGUGGAGCCUCCUGGAGCCACGCGGAGUCGUCGGCGAUGAAGGUGAGAGUGCCGAGACGGAUCUCUUGACCCUCGACCAAAACUCCAGCAGACACCAUGAUGAAAGUACUCGGAAGAAUCGCAACUUCUCCACAAAAUCGCUAAAACACCGGCCCCACGGUGGGCGCCAACUGUCGUGGUUCUAAGCCUGACAGUAGAGUGGGGGGUAGGUAUGGAGAGGCAAGGUCCUAGCUAUGGAGAGGUUGUAAACACAAGGGAUGUACGAGUUCAGGCCCUUCUCGGAAGAAGUAAUAGCCCUACGUCUCGGAGCCCGGAGGCGGUCGAGUGGAUUAUGAGUAUAUGAGUUACAAGGUGCCGAACCCCUCUGCCUGUGGAGGGGGGUGGCUUAUAUAGAGUGCGCCAGGAUCCCAGCCAGCCCACAUAGGAGAGGGUUUAAGGUGAGUUAAGUCUGGGGCGUUACUGGUAACGCCCCACAUAAAGUGCCUUUACUAUCAUAAAGCCUACUUGAUUACAGGCCGUUGCAGUGCAGAGUGUCUCUUGACUUUCCGGUAGUCGAGUGAGUCUUCGUGGUCGAGUCCUUCAAGUCAGUCGAGUGCGUCCCUCGUUGGUCGACUGGAAGGUGACUUCUUCUAAGGGUGUCCUUGGGUAAGGUACUUGGAUCAGGUCCAUGACCCUACCCUAGGGACAUAACCCCAUCACAACCAUCGAGUCAAGACAACAGUCGGAAGACACAGUUAAAAUUGCUUGUUUGAUACCAAAGGUUACCUUCAAGCAUGAGGAAUAGCUUCUUGGCGAGUCCGCCCAGAUAAGCCUCCAGAUCAUUCUUCUUUCCCACCAACUCACUGGCCUUGUCAUUCAGGGCAAUCUUGUCAUUCUUCAGUCGAGUGACUUCUUGGUUGGCCAUGUCAAGAGCAGCUUUCAGAUUAGCGUUUUCUUCUUCAAGCUUGGCGACCGAAGCCAACUUCUCUUCAACAAGCCUAGUCUUGUCCGCGGCCAUUUUUUGCGCCUCGGCAAGGUCAAGGUCCUUCUUCUUCAGAGUGUUCUUCAGUUUUUCUAUGAGAAUCACAAUAAGGUCAGAAUCGGAGGCAGGUAAGAAGCAAAGAUAGUCGUCAAGAUUCUCACCAAACAUACCUUUUGCUUCCUCCUUCGCCUUCGUGAAGUUUUCUUGGACAAGCUUUUGGUCAAGCUCAAGCUGGAUGAACUUGCUCUCCAAUUCGGUGUAGCGAGAAACAAGGUCACAAGACUUCUGCGAAAGUUCAGUCGACAAAACAUCAACAUCAAUUCACUUCCGAGUGACUAAGGAAAAAUCAUAGCGUUUCUAAGACUACGGCCGAAUACAAACAUUCGACCGCAGUCUCGGGGACUACACCCAGUGGGUGCACUCAGCGUGCCCCCACUAGUUUCAUCAAGAGUCGACCAGUCGACCAACAAAAAAAAUAGGAGGUGUUCUUCAGACUAUAGUCGACUGCCAGCAGUCGACCACAGUCUCGGGGACUACACCCAGUGGGUGCACUCAGCGUGCCCCCACCGGUCUAUGAAUCUAUUCGACCUUGUCGAGUAAAGAAAAAACUCAAGGCAUAAAGACUAUGGUCAGCUGCCAGCAGUCCACCAUAGCCUUGGGGACUACACCCAGUGGGUGCACUCAGCGUGCCCCCACUAACCCGGAAUUUCAAUCGACACACACCCAGUGGGUGUAGGACAGACUCUAGGAAUUUCAAAAAGAAGAACAGGCAGUGACCGACUGACCUGAACAUUACUCUGAAGAGCUGAACUGGCGUCAUAGGCUGCCUGGCUGGCUUCUCGAAUUGCCUUCACUUGCUCCAUCAUGACCCCCGCUUGGCGUAUUGCUUCUUUGGCAGCACUGGCUUGGUCCUCUGGGACGUGGUAGGUUGAGAAAAGCGAAGGUGGAGCAGCACUCGACGAUGAAGGUCGAGCACUCGUCAACGGCACCGCAAAGGUUACGGUAGGCCGAGUGAUAUUGCCUCCCUCCAUGAACAAUGUCUCGGGUGCUGGCACGUCCUGAGUCGCCUCGCCAGCAGACGCUUUCCUGUUCCUUCUCUGCCUCAUUGGUUCCUCGUCGUCGUCGUUGGGAAGGUCGAUAACAACGUUAGAUGAAGCUGCAGAAAAAGAAUCAAAACUAGAGACAAGAAACCAAUCGACUGAAGACGGAGCUACAAGAGUCGUACCAGGCUUUGAAGUAACAGCAUCCUCCAUCUCCUGAUCUUCAGCCCUGCCCGAGGUAUCAGAAGUAGCAGCACUGCAGUUCUAGAAGUCAGUUGAUUAGCUCAUGAGUCAACCAAGAAUACGUUCAUGAGGAACAGACAAACUCAAACUUCGCCAUUACCCUGAGAUAGUGGGGAUCACCAUCUUCAUCUUCGGCAAGACCUUCGCCGGCUUCGGCGGCGCCACUCGAGAUUGCUUCGGAGCCUUCUCAGUCGGCGCCGGAGAAGUAGUCCGAGGGCGCUUGGUCGACUGCACGACGACUGCGACCCCCUUACCACGCUCGGCCGCGGGAUCAUGGGCAAGCUUCGAGCGUCUUUCCGAGCGAGGAGGUGCAACUUCCUCCUCCUCCUCCUCCUCUUCCUCCUCACCAGAGUCAUCACCCUCAUCAUCAUCAUUAGCAUCCGAAUCCCACUCCUCCGGGCUCUCGCCUCCACUUCCUUCCUCCUCCUCAGUCGGCGUUUGUGCUCCAUUGGGCAUCGAGUACAACUCAGUGGUGGCCUGCCGGACAACAAAACAGAACAAAGGUCAAUCGACCAAUUCGCAGCGAAGCAGAGUGAACAAAGCAAGAUUACAAUUGGAGAUAAGUGGUCAUACCUUGUCCGGCGUAUAAGUAUGGUCGAGUGGCGAGAUCCUCCUAGCUCCUCGAGGGUUGUCCUUAUUCCCUGUGAUUGCGGUCACCCACCGCCCCAGCGUGGCGUCGUCGACUGCUUCUGGAUGAACCCGAGUGGUGUCUUCGGUACCACAGUACAGCCACAUCGGGUGGCCUCGGUACUGAAGCGGUUGGAUGCGCCGUCUAAGGAAGACCUCCAGAAGGUCCAUACCCGUCACUCCGUCCUGAACGAGUUGGACUACGCACUCCAUCAACAUUUUUACCUGAGCCUUCUCUUCAGGAAGCACCUUCAGAGAGGAGGGUUUGUCCGCUCGGUCCAUGGAAAACGGAGGGAGACCAGUCGACUGCCCCGGCAUCGACUGGUCUUGGCAGUAGAACCAAGUCGACUGCCACCCUCUGACCGACUCAGGAAGGGUCAUGGCCGGGAAAGUACUCUUAUUCCUCAUCUGAAUCCCGAGCCCCCCACACAUCUGGAUAACCUUAGUCCUCUCAUCACCCGGACUCGCCUUUUUCACUGUCUAUGAGCGACAGGUGAAUAUGUGCUUGAAGAGACCCCAGUGUGGUCGACAACCCAGGAAGUUCUCACACAUGGACACGAAAGCAGCAAGAUGGGCGAUGGAAUUGGGAGUGAAAUGGUGGAGUUGCGCCCCAAAAAAGUUCAGAAACCCUCGGAAGAAAACACUCGGCGGCAGAGAAAACCCACGGUCUAUGUGAGUGGCUAGGAGAACGCACUCACCCUCUUGCGGCUGCGGUUGCCACUCGGUCCCCGGAAGCCUUGCCGACCCAUGGGGGAUCAGACCCUCGUUGGCCAGGUGUUGAGAUCCUUCUCGGUGAUAGUCGAGCGGAUCCAAUCCCCUUGGAUCCAACCCUUUGGCAGACGGGACCUUGACGAAGAUCCGCCCCGACUGGGCGCUCUCCCCUUCGCUUUCUCCGCCGCCGUCGCCUUCUUCGCGCGCUCCAAGGCCACCGUCCUCUCCUUCACCAUUGUCGCCGGCGAAGCACGCGAGGAGGGGAUAAGCGGGGGCGAGAGCAGGAGCAGGCACAGCGGGCGGAUGCAAAGAGGGCAGAGAGGGGAAUGAGAAGGCACUGUUCAAAAAACCCUCGCCCGGCGCUUUAUAUAAAGACACUUCCGAGUGGCUGACAAGUAGGCCCGAGCGAUCCUGUCACAUCCCGAAACAGUCGCGCACGCUUGAUAUGUGGCGAAAAAGGCGGCGCAGAAAUCAAGGCGCCCGCGCCUUAUCCCAUCCGAGUACCGCGGUCCGCCCCGCUUCGCGUGCUUCCCAAAAUUCGGAUCCUGCAAAAUCCGCCAACGGUAGAUCAAUCUGUCAGAUAGUAGAUUUCCUGCGAUCCGUCGGUCGGAAGUUCACUAAGUUCGAAAGUUCACUCGACGGAAGAAAGGAAUGGAUCAAGGCGACUGAAAGAAAAGUUAAUGCCGACGCCAAAAAAGAAAGAUCGCUAAUCCAGGAUACAACAUAGUCAGAGCGCGGGAAACAGGUCGGAGAAAAUUAUCAACCCCUUCCUCACUCGAACCUCGAUCCAUUCGGGGGCUAAUGAUGAAGUCAUGUACCUAGGGUAGGGUCAUGAACCUAUCUAGGGUACCCUACCCAAGGACAUCAUCCUCAGAAGAAGCUACCUUCCAGUCGACCAAGAGAGACUUCACUCGACGAACUCAAGGACACUCUACUGAAGGUAGCCACUCGACCAUGAAGCUAAUCACUCAACAAGCAGGAGACCUAAAGUCACUCAGUUCGCAACGGUCUGUCAUUAGGUAGCUUUAAUAGUCUUCAUGGCACUUUAUGAGGGCGUUACCAGUAACCCCCUGUCUUAAUGUACUUUAAACCCUGCAUAACUGAGGGCCGGAGGGGUCUGGCGAACUCUAUAUAAGCCACCCUCCUCCUCAGUGUAAAGGGUUCGCACCCCUGUAACUCAUAUACACAGAAACCAGUCGACCGCCUCCGGGCUCCGAGACAUAAGGCUAUUACUUCCUCCGAGAAGGGCCUGAACUCGUUAAACACUCGUGUGUACAACUACUCCAUAGCUAGGAUCUUGCCUCUCCAUACAUACCCCCCAUUCUACUGUCAGGCUUAGAACCACGACAGCGGCCACAUCGCCCACAUCCACCUACAUCCACGCUUCGGCAGGAACCAUAUAACAAAAAAAAUAUUGUGGACCAAAUGUUCAUGGAAUUCUGCAGUAUGAUAUAGACUACAAAUUGGUAUGAUAGGCAAGAAUCCUCAAAUUUCUAUUAUACCAUAAUGUCUAGCUUAGGGAUUUUGUUCCGUAUCUUCUUAUUUGGCACCACACCAACAUUUAGCAUGACGUCAACGACCACAUAAUGCCUUCAGCACUGGUUAGCGAUUUGAUCAUGUCUCUUACUACCUGAAAGCACAAAUAUUAAAUUCUAUUGUUAAAGAUAUAUUCUUAACAUGUCAAUAAGAGGGAAAAGCAAUAUGGCAAUUCAAUGUCUCAUCGACCCUGCAGUUGGCAACAUCCCAAGUGAUGAUCAAUUUUAAACAUAAUAUUUAACUACAAGAAUGACUACAAUACAAUUCAUCAUUUCUUUGUUCUGGGGAUUUUUGCCCCUGAAUACGUGAUAAUACAAGGACAAACUUUAAGUAUGCUGAUACGAUGUAGUGCCAUCAAGCAUGGAUAAUUAUGCAAGGACAAACUCAUGUUCUAGGAUUUUUUUUAACCCUAAACGAUGCAUGGAACGACCAAUAAUAAACAGAUUAGAAAAAUUGUGCAUCUCUCUUUGUCCAUAAUAAGUUAUGUUGCUUCUUCCAAGUUAGUUUAUUAUUUAACCAUAUCAUUCGGCCACCACUUUGUCCAUGUAGGGCGAGCGCUAGCAUUAGUAGCAUUUAUGUAAACUCUGAUUACCAGCACGUACAAUGAUUAACACGAAUGUUGGUGCAAAUAGAACUCACUUGUGGUGAGAAACUGAAUAAGUGUUGUCGAAGGGUUGAGGGAGCUCGAAGGGGUUGGUAUCACUAAACAAGCUGUUCGUCAGUAGAGCCCCAAGAAAACUUUAGAAAGGAUGUUUCUGUCCACCCACAUAAAUAAAGAGAUAAAUCUGUGAUCGUUCGGCAAGCCUGAUAAGCCACAUAAAUAAAGAGAUAAAUCUGUGAUCGUGCAUAAAGUAAUUAACAAAUCCGGUGUUGUUUUCUUCUGUCCACGGUCCGCUCGCUCCCCACCCCCGUUCUACCUCACGCCCCGUCCAUCCGCUCCCAGCUUACUCCCUAGCUCCAUGUUGCUCAUGCUUGCCCAUGUGUGCACUAUCAGCCAGCUGGUGGCCCCAACUCGUUCGGCUCUGUCCGCUUGGUGCCAGAUGAUUAGCACAUGGAUGCAUCCGCCGGCCGUACCACCUGCACAUCAAUGAACAGUGGAUUAGUACAUCGACAAGGUUAGAAAAAUAUAAAACUCACACAAACGGAAUUUACAGAAAUCAGCAAACACUAAUCUGAAUACCUUCUAAAUCUCACGUAGUGCAGGGGGUGCUCUGAAAGUCUAAAUAUCAUUGUGUUACAGAAACAAUGUUCCUUUCUCAGCCUACUGGGUGCCCUUAGACAGGGCCACCUCAUUGUCAACCACUCCCGCAUCCCUCACCCUGUCAAAUCGAGUCGCGGCUUACUCGGAAUUCACGAAUGCUCGUGCGACGUCAUCGAAAGAGCUAAGCAAAUUCUCGCCAACCGCAUCACCUUCCAGCAGAUGGUCAUUACGAAGGAUCGAUGCCGCUGCCCCUAUUCCACUUUCAAUAUGAUGCAUCCAGAUUCUUUUUAUAAUAAUUUCUCACAUGUUUCAAUUGAAUAAUUUGAUUAUCCGAACCAAUUAAUGAACCAGAGAUGGUUUUUAUUGCUACCUUUAAGUCAUACUGUAUGUUUUAGUGGUGCUGUUUUUUCUUUAGGCGGCUUGCAGAAUGAAUGAUGAAGUUUUUUGGGCCUGCAUUGCAAAUGGGUUUGGCCAGAUGCUCGACUGGUUUUACGACCAACUAUAGAAGUGUAUUCAUCAUUUCCAUUGGCAUGACCAUAAUUUGUGAAUCAGAAAAGAUAGAAAAGCAAACUUUUAUGUUAAAUAUAAAACGAAAGAAAAAAAGAAUCCAAGUAAUUAGAUUUGUAAAAAGAAAUACAUUCGAGAUGUUUCAUCGAUACAAUAAGCACAUCAGUAGGACAUUAUAAUCAUGGUAUAAACUUGCUCCCUUUUUUAUGACAUAGAUACACGCAUACUGGAAAAUUCGCAACAACAAUAGAUAACAAGAUUAUUUUUAGCUCACGUUCUGAUUCCAUUGUCGCUUUAUCAUCAGUUCAUCAAAAGUGAAAUUAGCCUACGAAGAUAACCAUGUAUACUGAACACACGAGAAAAACACAAGUUUAAUCCAUCGGCUUUAGAGAUCCUUGACAGAUGCCAUCAGGUUGAGAAAUUUGAUGUUAUGAAUAAGGCAUGAAGAAAAUUGUCUGUUGGUCAACAUUUGCAGGAGUAAGGUGGUUCAAGGAUGAGUUUUCGCCAUCGGUAAACAGGGACCUGUUCAUGUACAAGCUGUAGGAAUAAACUUUAGCAUUAAUUACUGAAUAGCAUACAAAAUUGUCUAAUGUACUGCAAACUAUAGAGCAAAAUCACAUCCCUGGUGUUGAAACACCAAUGGCACAAGGCACUUUGUCCAAUUUGUGCUUCCAAGGGUAGUCUCCGACUCUGACACGGUGGCACCAUCACCAACUUACACUCGCUUGUCAGCGCAGCUGUGAUGGCCCUUGCUGGGGCUCAUACCUCCGAGUCGUGCCCCUCUUUCCAGAAUUUGUCCAAGGUGCUUGAAAAAUAAUACUUAAUUAACCUCCAAUGAAAAUAAUAAUGCAGCAUGUCAGCAUGGAUAGCUAUAUGACUGUAUUAAAAAUUACUCUAAUCAUCUAAUGUGACACAAUGGUUUGAGUUGCUAGAUAUUGUGGGUCAUCUAGUUAAAUUCAGGUCUUACUUCCUGCUUGCUGCACGAACUUCCUCGGUGGUAAGCAUCGUAGUCGUCAGCAUACAGGUUCACCACCUGAACUUACGCGCACAAGACAUAACCUGAUGCCCGAUGUAGCCACAUGCAUAGCAGAACCACGGCAAGCGCUCGUACUGAAGUUUAAGCCCCACCCUUGUUCUCUUUUCCUUGAUCCUUGCUAUCAUUGCAACUGAAAUUUCCAGCGCCCGCUAUAUACAGGAAAAGCAACCCGUACACGAACAAAGUUUCCUAACUACUCUCCCAUCAUGUAGUUCAAUUUGGAGGAUUGUUCUCAUGUCCUUGCAUAGAGCACGUACCACCACAUCUGUUCUCCAAUUCAUCGAGACAUCAAGAAUGUGUAAAAUCGAAACACAUCGAAAUGGUACCAGCCGUACUUAAUAAUAGAAGGAUUUGGCAGAAAUAUGUAAAAUUGUCCCUCCUAAAAAAAUUAUUCCAGAAUAAAUGUUGCCCUCCAGAAGUACCAAAGGUGCGCGGAGCAUGAAGUGAGCCUAUUACAUCAAGUUCUUUUUUGACCUUUUCUAUUUGACCCGAAACCGAUCGAUCCAGCCAUGAGUAGGUUGAAGAGAGCUCUAACAGGCCUUGGAGGACCGAACCCACGUAUGUGGCAAAAUACGGGGAUGACUUGUGGCUACCCAUAUCCACAGCCAAAGUGCACAAAGUACUUAUUGCCUCCCAAAAACGUGAACGUCAGAUCCUCUUUGUCCUUAGCCUCCAAGCAUCUCCUAGCUCAUCAAACAGAAAACAUAUUUGCAGGCAAAAGUGAUUCAACAUAUGAGCAAUUAGGACAAGAUUAGUGCUUUGGGAAUUGAGAGAGUUGUCCUCCGUACUCAUCCUUAUGACAACAUGCUUUGGGAAUUAGGCAAGCUCGGGAUUCUGUAGAGAUGUUCGAUAACAUGCUUCUAGAAAGCGUCAUGUUACACCACGCCCAUCCUAGACACCAUAGUACAUUGUGAGGUUGACUCAUGCGCCACAUUUGCCACCUGGUCUGGCCGCCCUGCCAACCGAAGAUCGUUCCAAGCCAAUAUUUCGCUCGGUGUUCUGAAGAUCUGCAGAAGAGGUUGUAAAAAUCAUCAGGUGUGUAACCUGCAUACAGAAGAAAGUUUGAUACGUGCAUGUAAAACUGAGAACAAGCAAAUCUGAUUCAAACACAAAAGAAAAAGGGCAAGCUUAAUUAUGUUAUCCUGCUGAGCCACAACCGCUACUACCCCUCGUCGUUUCAGGAGGAGCAGGAGAGCACGAGCAGAGGAUACGGAUUCAGGGGAUGAGAGGGGUGGGGUGGGGAUCACGAGAGCUUAUCCAUGUCUUGGGGCGGCCAGAGCCGGCGGCGACGCGGCGCCGAGGUUGGUGCGACGGCGAGUUCGGGCGGUGAGGCGGCGGGGCAGAAGCUGCAGGAGAUGGCGGCGGGGACCUCGAGGCCGAGCUUAGGCCAUGGCUUCCCUGGCUCCAGAGGCCGUGGCGGCGUCAGACGCAGCGGCGGGGCGAGGAGGAGGCCGGCCGUCGGGGAGACAGGAGCUCCUCGUCCCCUCGAUCCAGAUCGGGAUCAAGGAGGGAGCAACAGGGGCGCGAGGGAGCGGGCGACCCGCGGGCGGCGGUCGGGGCGUAGGUUUAUUUUCGUAGGUUAACCUUCAUAGAUUUUUUAGGACGAUUUUCGGUCGAUGAACCGUAGUGUUUCACAACGGCAUAGUGGUAGCAUACCGGUUUUUUUGUCGGUCUCGAGGGCGAAAGGGGGGAAUCGCUGGGUUGCGGGAGGUGGGAUCGAGGACGAAAAUUAACCGUCUCUGAUGGGACGAAAAUUGACCGGCAAAGAUUACCAACUGCUCCAUUAGGAGUAAAGAUAUGCACGAUGGCACUUACAAAGUUACAAAGACGGCGACAUGACCAUUCCAUUGCUACUUGUAAGCUCGGUGCGCAUGCUACGUGGCAUUGGCAUACAUACAUGGCCCGCAGGCCUCAGCUAGCCACACUGCUUCAGUGUACACUCAUACAGUGACACACGGAGAACAAUUAGCUACUACGAGUACGUGCUACAACCACAUGGGAGUACACAGGUAGCCACACACACACUUGUUAAUUUACAGGCAGCAAACUCACUCACUCGAGGAUCCCAGCUAGUAGAGUACGUCUACGUAUCAUACCAAUAUUUAGCACGAGCACACAGCACAGGGAAGUUACAUAAGCACGCGCGUCCAAUAUCACACAGCCAUUACUCUUGUCGGUACUCGGUAGGAUGGGGGUUGAAGCCGGUGGUCCGUUCAGACGGUCGACCGACGAGGAUCACGGGCACUUGGGCCUCUUCCUGGGCCCGGCGGUGAGCAUGUCGCGGUAGCAGGGGCACUCGUCGCGGCUGCCGCUCCUCCCCGUCGGCACGCAGGCGCACUCCUCGCAACACAGCCCGCAGUACUUCAUGCACGCCCCCCGCUUUGCGCGCGACCGCCCGCACCGGACCGCGCACUUGCCCGCGCAGAACCCUGCACACCGCAGCACCGGCGCCCAACGCAUACAGCCAUGGAUCAGGCCCGCACGCUGCUUGAUGGAAAGAGGACACGACACGACGCGCGUAUGUAAGCUAUAGGUACGUACCUGAAGCAGCGUCGCCGGCCUGGAGCAGGGAGGCAGCGACGAGCAAGAGGAGGAGCAGGGCGACCUGCGUCUGCACUGCCCUGCACCUCGAUGGCUUGCUCAUCCUGGUCGAGCUUCGAGCUGCAGCUGAGAUGGAUGCAGGAGCUUGCAGAAGGAGCUAGAUAAGGUGGUCGCAGAGUGGGAGUGUGGGUAUGAGGGUGAGUGAGCGAUGAAUGAGUGAUGAUGUAGCUCAGGUCCGGGCACCUUUGUACCGGUCGAUCGGGAAGCCUCUGGAGAACGGGCGACGUGUCGCGCGGUCACGUGCACCUGCUCCUAGAAUUGAUGGGUUUUUGUUGGUGCCCGGAUUCGAGUUAAUGCACGGCGACGGAGGACAGGGCUGCUGGUCUGCUGGGUGUGUGCUGCACUGCGCCGCGGCAGAGGAGGAGCCGGUCCGUGACCACCGUGUUUGAUGAUCAGUGGCGCGCGCUGGCGGCCGUGGUCGCGUCUGCUCCGUGCAUGGCCCGGCGCGCGUGUCGGGCUCCGCCAGGGUCGGCACCACGGGACACGACGUUUGUCCUUUCGCACUGCAUGGUUCCGAGAAGCAUGCAGCGCCCGGAGAGGACAAGCACCCGUGCAUGUCCCGGACAGUACUCAAACAACGGAUCACUAUCCGUGCAAGAGCGGUGAAACUUUAACGUCUCCUUACAGGAUUAGGAUAGAAAUAUUAUAUGAAAUAGAAAUUUAUAUAAAUUGAGAUGACAUGUAUAUUAAUCUCUAUUUUCGUGAAGGAUAUGAAUCAAUCCAAUACAGAAAUACGAAUUCCUUCCUUCCAAAGGACUUUGGAGGAAAAUUUUGUGUAAGAAUCCUAUCAAGGGCGAUGCCUUCCUCAUGGUGGAGGUGGAUGGCAGCGCUCGACCGGGUGACGUCGAGGUCGCCCACAUGCCGAUCUGGGUGCGCAUCUUUGAACACGUUGCUCGGGAGCUUGGAGUAGAACUUGGUAAGGUUCUGGAGGUAGAUGCGGAUAGGGAAGGUAGGAUUUGGGGGGACUACAUGAGGGUCCGCAUAAACCAUGAUGUCGAUGAACCCCUCUGUAACGAACUAGAAUCACAUGAUCUGGCCAAGGGCAAAGUGUAAGUAUGAGAGGCUACCUAGGUUUUGUUGUUAUUGUGGUCAUCUUGGACAUGGGCAGCGCGACUUGAAGCUGCCGGAGGUCCUCCAAGAGAUGAGGUUCCCGGUAGCAAUGCGCUCGUCCCCGUUCAGAAGGAGCAACCACAGGGGUGGGUUUGUAGUGCCAGAGGCAAGUAGCACCCGUCGAUUUCUGCACUUUGGGACAGAAGACACCGGACCGGCAAAGACUGCACAGGCAAGGAUAACAACCGAGAAGUACAACUCCGUGCCGGAUGAUAUGCUGGCUGAUCCGCUGGUGCAAGAGGCUAUUGCAGCGGUCAGCGCACUCAGGUUGGAUGCAGAAAGGAACAGGCAAGCGGAGCAAGGGCUGGUAUCACAGUAUGCUGGUCUGAAUGGUGCUAAAGCAGCUGCUGCUAUAACGAAGACGUCAGAUGAAGACGGGACGAGCUCUAUACCCACCACCCCAAUACAUGAUCCAGCAACAUGUCAGGCCAAAGAAGAAUAGAUGAGCCUCCCCCAAGGUCCACCGCCUCCACUCCAGGCCGCUGGGGAAACAAACGGAGAUGGGAAGGCUGUCAAAGCCAAGGUAGCUGAGAACACGAAACAAAUCAAUCAAAGCCCUAUGCACCCCCCGGGUUUUGAACCAGGGGCGCAGGUGUGUCUUGGGGGAACAGAUGCGAAUGGAGUUAACAGGACAUUUAUGCAAGAUGGAGGCAAGGAGAUGGUGCAGAAGGAGGGUGGAGGAACAAAAGAGAACAGGGUGGAACCGAUGCAGGGAGGAGUGAAGACCCGGGAGCAAGUUCAGGACAGGAACCUGAAGAUGGCAGAGGGGGAUACAGUCACAGUGCUGGGAAAAAGAGGUGAACGUACGAUAGGAGCAAACUUAACUGAUGUUGCUGGGGAUGGUACAAAGGGCACUAGUCAAAACAAGAAGAAGAAGUGGGCCAGCAAGAACAAUGGAAAGGAUGACAAGGGUAAGCCAGGUGGAAAGGAAGCAACCGAGCUUGGGGCUCUCGGUCAAUUGGUGGAUGCCAAGUAGGGCGUCCACUAGGAGCCAUGACACUCCUAAGUUGGAACUGUCGGGGCCUAGGGCAACCCCGCACGGUUCAUGAACUCGUGCAAAUAGUGCACAAGCAUAGGCCCAAAUUAGUUUUUAUCUCGGAAACAAGGCAAAGCAGUGAGAGUGAAUAAUUUAAGGUGGAGGCUUGGCCUCAAGCAUUGUAUUGUGCAGCCGGGCUCCGGUAAAGGUGCCGGCAUUGCACUCUUCUAUGAUGAGAGUGUUGAAAUAAAAGAACUUGGCGUUGGCCUGAGGUACAUCGAUGUGUUGAUCCGCCUGUGUCCAAAUGGGGUUUAAUGGAGAGGUACUUUUGUGUACGGAGAGCCGAAAACACAUGAGAGGCACCAUAUGUGGGAACUUCUGAGAAGAAUCCGAAAUAAUGCAGCUGAACCGUGGCUAAUGAUAGGAGAUUUUAACGAGGCUAUGUGGCAAAGUGAGCAUCUAUCCAGAGCUAGGAGAUCAGAGAAAGGUAUGGCUGAGUUUAGAUCACUGCUGUCAGACUGUAAUCUGCAUGAUAUGGGUUUCAAAGGUACCGUAUGGACCUACGAUAACAAACGACGGGGCCAGAAAAAUGUGAAGGUUCGGCUAGAUAGAGGAGCAGCGAGCCCAGAUUGGAGCUGUUUAUUUAAAUAGGCUAUGAUAGAGCAUCUAGUCACAUCGAGAUCUGAUCACGUACCUCUACUACUCCGCUUUGGGGCAAGAAAAGAGUGGCGACCAAUCAAAAGAAAUUUCAGGUAUGAGUGUAUGUGGGAACGAGCAAGAGACCUGCCGGUGGUGAUCAAUGAAGCCUGGACAGGGGGUGGAAAGGGAUGUUCACUAGCUGAUAUCACAAAGAAACUGAGAAACAUGCAGGAUGUAUUGAGCAACGGGCUAGCAGAGAAUUCAAUUAUGUACAGAGUAAAGUAAGGGCUCUCCGAGAUAGAUUGAAGGGGUUGUACUCGCUGCAGCUUACACCAGAGGUCGAAGAUAAAAUAAAAAGAACAGAAAGUGAGAUUGAUGAAUGGCUCUAUAGGGAAGAAAUGAUGUGGAGACAACGCUCUCGAAUAACUUGGUUGAGGGAAGGAGAUAGGAACACUGAGUUUUUCCACAGAAGGGCCACCUGGAGAAGGAAAAAGAAUAAGAUUACAAAACUUCGCAAAGGAGACGGAAGCUGGGCGGAGAGGGAAGAGGAGAUACACCAAGAAAUAAAUAGUUUCUUUAAGGAACUGUACAAAAAAGAUGAGCAAGUAGAACCUACCGAGCUGUUGGAUUUGAUUCCUCAAAGAGUGGAUGAACGGAUGAAUGCAAGCCUCACAAAGGAAGUCACGGAUGACGAGAUAGGAGAUGCACUGUUCCAAAUCGGCCCACUCAAAGCCCCCAGGCCGGAUGGAUUUCCAGCGCGGUUCUAUCAACGAAACUGGCUGAUUCUGAAGGAAGAUGUCGCGAGAGGAGUUAAACUGUUUUUUGAAGAUGGAGUAAUGCCCGAAGGUGUAAACAAUAUUGUUAUUGUGCUGAUUCCAAAAGGAAAGAAUCCGUCAAGCAUCAAGGACUACAGACCAAUCAGCCUGUGUAAUGUCCUUUAUAAAGUGAUCUCCAAAAUCCUAGUAAACCGUCUACGCCCUUUCCUUGAUGAUCUCAUAUCAGAAACACAGAGUGCUUUCAUCCCGGGGAGGAUGAUCAUGGAUAACGCCCUCAUUGCCUUCGAAUGCUUCCACAAAAUUCAACACAGUAAAAAUCAGAGGGACAAUCACUACGCGUAUAAACUGGAUCUGGCAAAAGCAUAUGACAGAGUUGAUUGGAACUUCCUGGAAGGGGUAAUGGGGAAGCUAGGCUUUGAACAUAAGUGGAUCAAGUGGGUGAUGACAUGUGUUAGAUCGGUUUCUUUCUCAGUCAGAUGCAAUGGGUCUUUACUGGAAGCUUUCUUACCGACCAGAGGACUACGACAGGGAGAUCCCUUAAGCCCUUAUCUUUUCCUAUUUGUGGCAGACGGACUUGCCACACUUCUAAAAAAGAAGGUGGAUAGCGGGGGAAUAUCACCUCUGAAGGUAGCACAAGGAAGCCCGGGUAUAUCCAACUUACUUUUUGCUGAUGUUAGUCUCCUAUUCUUCAAGGCUACCGAUGAGCAAGCAAUACGGGUCAAAGAGACGUUGGUUCUGUUCCAAAAAUGUACAGGACAACUAUUGAGCGAGAGUAAAUGUUCCCUACUAUUCAGUGAAGUGUCCAGUGAACAUGAGAGGGAGGCGAUCAAGAUGAGACUUGGUGUGGAGUCAACUACGUUUGAGAGCAAAUACCUAGGGCUACCAACACCGGAAGGAAGGAUGAAAGAUGAGAUUUUCCAGCCAAUAAUGGAUAGAUUUGGGAAGAGAUGCAAUGAUUGGAACGAGAGAUUUAUGUCCAAAGCAGCUAAGGAAGUUCAUGUUAAGUCGGUUGCUCAAGGACUGCCAACCUUUGUUAUGGGGGUGUUUAAACUGAAUCAAAGCUUCUGUGAUAGCUAUGAGAAAAUCAUAAGGGAUUUCUGGUGGGGGGAUAAAGAUGAUCACCAGAAAGUACACUGGAUGGCGUGGGAGAAUAUGACAAAACCAAAAAGAGAUGGGGGUAUAGGUUUCAGAGAUAUGCAUCUAUUUAACCAAGCACUUUUAGCGAGACAGGCAUGGAGACUACUACAAAACCCGGACAAUCUAUGCGCCAGAGUACUUAAGUCUAAGUACUAUCCCAACGGAGAACUUAUGGACAUAGUCUUUGCCUCAGAUGCAUCCCUAGCCUGGCGUGGGAUCGAAUUUGGCUUGGAGCUGUUAAAAAAAGGACUGAUUUGGCGCGUUGGAAACGGAAGGAAAAUACAAAUUGUAAGAGACCAGUGGAUCCCAAGGAGUUCUGGACUCAAAACUGCUAGCUACAUUCGUAGAUCAAGGUUAAGAUGGCUCAACCAACUGAUACUACCAGAUUCUAGAGAGUGGAACACAGACCUCAUCAGACAAAUAUUCCACUCCUUCGAUGCAGACAAAAUUUGUAAGAUUCGGAUCCCGGCGAGAGAAGUGGAAGAUUGUAUAGCCUGGCACUAUGAAAAGACAGGGGUGUUCACUGUAAAGAGCGCUUACAAACUUGCAGACAUGCUGAAAAGAAACGGUACAGAGGGUCCAUCAAGCUCAACUAGUGAACCAGGAGAUAGAACUGUUUGGGAUGUGAUAUGGAAAGCAAAGAUCCCGGAAAGAAUUAAGAUAUUUGGGUGGAGGGUUGCUACUCAGUCUCUUGCAACCAAACACAACACACACAGAAGAACAAUUGUGCCUGAGGAUAUAUGCGACAUAUGUGGAACUGAACCAGAAGAUGAGUUCCACGCUGUUAUUACAUGCACUCGCAGCAAGGCGUUGCGGAAUGCCAUGAGGACAGUCUGGGAGCUGCCAAAGAGCAAGACUUUAGUAAAACUGGGAAAGACUGGUUGCAAUGUCUGCUCAUCCCACUUCCAGAUCAUGUCAGGAAUAGAACACUAAUGAUUCUAUGGAAAGCUUGGCAACUAAGGAAUAAUGUUAUUCAUGGAGAUGGAAAGGAUACAGUGACAGGGGCCAUGAGACAGCUGGUAAAGCUGGAUGAAGACCUGGAUGUAGCCGCAAGUGGCGAUGAGAAGACAGGAGACAAAGGUAGUCUGUCAGUGUAUGCACAGAGGAUUUGCAAACCAGACGGGUCUGGAACAAACCAAUGGACACCCCCACCAAGGCAGUCAGCAAAGCUGAAUUCUGAUGCAGCAUUUUUACUAGAGUUUGCAAGAGCUUGGGGUGGAGCAGUCGCCCGAGAUCACAAAGGAACCCCAUUCCUAUCUGUGGGCUGCCAGCUACAUCAGUGUAGGACGGUGGAGGAAGCUGAAGCCUCGGCUGUUCUACUGGGCCUAGAUGAAAUGAGCAAAUAUUUUGAUGGGCAUCUAAUAGUAGAGACAGACUGUGCUACUGUAGGGCAUGAACUACAAAGAGAAGGAAGGAGCAGAUCGCCCUGGUGUGGAGUAAUAACAGACAUAAAGGAAUGGAUGAGACACUUUGCCAGCGUGCAGAUUAGCAUUGUUAAGAGGAAUCAUAACAAGCUAGCACAUGAGAUUGCAGCGACGGCUAGAGAAUAUGGAAACCACUUCUUCCUAUCUGAAGUGCAUGACAACGUUAGACAAAGAAUAUUGUCGGAAUGUAACACCACCAUUACAUGAAUGUAUGCUUUGGUUCUAAAAAAAAGAAUCCUAUCAUAUAGAAAUUAUCUAUAUUCCUCUAAACCGAAGGAGGUGCAGGUAGGCGAGCACCACAAUACAAUCAUGACUCCUUUGAUUCACAGGAUAUGUAAACUUGUAGGAUAUAAGACGUCAUGCAUCUCAAAUUAUAUAAAUAGGAAUAAGAAAAUAGAUGACCUUUGAUCUAUACAUGAUAGGGAUUUUUCCAUCGAGUCUUGGCUAAGGUUUAUUUUUGUAUGAAAUCUGAAGAACAGAAAGUAUUCCGUCAUAGAAGUGUGAUUCUAUUCCUACAAACUAAAGAACCCUAAAGAAAAAAAUUCUAUAAAAUCCUAUCCUAUGAAAUUCCUACGAAAUACCUCCAAACCAAAGGAGGCAUCAGAUAUGAUGGAACCGCCUAGCCUCAUGUGCGCCUAGUGUGUGUAUGUAUGUAUUUACUGUAUUUCAUAAAAAAACCAAAAGGCCAAGACUUCAGUUUUUUUUAAAUUGUUGGAAUCAGACGAUUUAGCCAAAACCGUUGGAUUACAAUCCAAUAGUUGGGACCCCUUUCUUUUUUGCCACCACCUCCAAACAAUGUCCCACCCACUGUACCAACCAACAGACGACAACUCCCACCACCCGCGGUCGGCGGGGUUGUCACUAUGUUGCUGUUAACCUUGUCUCCCCCUCCUCCCCCCCUCGAACAAGUUAACAUCUUGUGGCUCCUCCACCGGUGACACGGUGGCAAGCCACAUCGUCCUCAACUCCAGCACGAUCCCGACGAGGCCACAACAUCCCCUACUCGCCUAGGGUAUUACACCCCCUCUUCCACCAGAAUCGGUUGAGGCGGAGAUUUUUUUCCAGCAAAUAUGGAUAAGAUCGCAUUCAAGAAAACAGAUAAUUGAGAUUGGGAGGAGUCUUGAGUAAGGGGAAGAAGGGGUCUAGAAUGUUUUCAUUUCUCCCUCCAUAUAUUUUCGGGCAUCAUCACAUUAUAUAUUCGCAGUCCACUAGGCAUCACAAGUUACCUCGGCCCAGGUUGUAAUAUUCCAAAAUUCUAAAUUUCAGAAUGUUAACUACUCCCUCUGUAAACUAAUAUAAGAGCGUUUAGAUCACUACUUUAGUGUUCUAAAUGCUUUUAUAUUAGUUUACGAUGGAGUAUUGAAGUAGGAUUAACUAAAACAUGCAUGUGCUGCUUGACAUUAGCUAACUUUGACUAGUAUUUGAAGCUUUGGGAGUUUAAAUGGAUAUUGAAUUGAGAGGGAAUAAAAGGAGUUUCAGAAAUAUUCAUUUUUUGAUUUAAUUGGAUCUUUAAAAAUACUCAAAGCAACCGCGAGAGAAGAUUAUAUUACUCUUCAAAAUAAUAGGCUAAAAAUACUUUAAAUAUUAAUUGGUUACAUUUGGAAUUCAAAACAUUUUUGUAAUUAUUUAUAAUCCUAAAAUAACAAUUUAGGAAAUAUUUAUAAAGCCCAAAAUAUAGAUUUAUAAAUUAUUAUAUGUAAUGAUAUUUUGGGACGGAAGCAUUAUUCCCGAGCUCUAAACACUAUAUUGAAUUUAUGUGAUUUUUCUAGAGUUUCCGGAAUUGAAUUGGUUUGAUUUUAAGAUCAAAAUCUAAUUCAAAAGUAGAAAACAAAUAAAAACUGAACAAAAUCUACCCAGCCUGAACAACCGAGUCACUAUCCACCAGGCUAACUGAUCCAAUUCAAGCAAUCAAUGAGGAUGAUUGAUGUGACAAAUCGCUUAAGAUUCAUUGUGACGUCAUCCACAACCGCGGCGCUUCGGUUUCCCUUCAGUUGGAAAACUCAGAUUUAUUUAGUUAUAUGUCAAUAUUGUUGUUGAGUCGGUCGUCCCUAGAGUGGCACAAGUUGCAUCGUUCGGGGCAGGCCUGCUUCUACAAAUGGGUGCCGAUAAUUCGCCUCAACGAGGUCGUCAGAUUGCUCAGCAACACCCUGAACAAGGGACACAUUUAGCAUCCUCUAUGGCACAAACUGGACUCAAACAAAGAGUUGAAUGCUAAAUUUUGUGGACUCGAGGCCGAUUCGGUAAUUGAACGAUGUUCUUCUUAGCGCGAAUAAGCUCGUGCAUCAUCUUUAUCAUUCGGAUUUCAUGAUACGACCUUAGUCGGGCCACCAAUCAACCUCUUCCGAGAGAUGAUAGAGUAUCACAGAGCCUUUCAGUAUCUCUUUUAUAGUUAACCUUUACAUCCAAUUUUGCUCUUUUGAGUCCAUCAGGAUCUCUUCAUGAGCAAGUCCAGCGGUUCUUUGAGUCUGAUUGACAAUCAGAAUCCUUUACGAUCGAGGACCCAGUCGGUUUCCUCAGCGAAACCCAGAUAGAGUCGGGGGCUAAUGACAAGUUCAAUCCUAUGGGGUAGGCCCGUGAAGACCUAUGUCCUAGCUAGGCCUAGGCGUAGAGAUGUUGUGGUACACUUAAGAAUGACAAAGAAGGGUCGUAACCAAUCGGAGUGGUGUUACCAGUCACACACGAUUUUUCAAUCACGCAUGAUCCAUCAGCGAGUUUGAAAGUGCAUUUGGCACUUAAACUAUAUUUUGGUGUGAUGACAAUGUGGUUAGUGGAACUAAUAUCGGUUGCUAAAGUUUAUCUCGGGAUAUUGGUUCCAUAUUGCGUUUGAUGGAGAUGUGUGACCCCCAAUUCAAAAAGAUCAAAGGCGUGGUGAUACGGGGCUAACCCAGUGUAGGCUGAUCUUUCACGAUUGGAGUGGAUUCCCUCGAAGAACAUGAACAACACGAUGAACACGGGGAAGAAUGGAGAGAAAUCACAAGGAGGAAACACUCAAGAACGAGUCCAAUCACACAUCCACUAGACAAUUAAACACAAAAGAUCCACAAGGUACAUGAACAACAAAAGGAAAGAUACAAGGUAAAGUUCAUCUCCAAGAGGAGCUCUUGAGGGGGGUCCUCCCGUGAGGGGGGCUUGACGAUAUCCUGCAGGAUCUUCUCCUAGAUGGAGGUCUUGGCCUCCAAUGGAGUAGUGGUCUCUCUCUCUCUCUCUCAAGAGGAGGAGCGGUAGGAGCAUAGCUCACAUACAAAUGAGCUAUCACUUUGCUGACCCUAACUAGGAGGAGGAGGUCUAUUUAUAGCCUUAGUGCAAAUGGGGGCGAAGUGAAGGGGUACAUGGGCCUCGGGCCCGAAACUGUGCGUAGAUAGGUACCGGACAUCCGGUUGCUCGCGGGCGUCCGGACGUCUGGUAGUCGCUGGACUUCCGCUAAUUCGGCUUGGUUGAAGUGGCACCGGACGUCCGGUCGCGUUGGACAUCCGCUGAUUUGGCUCGGGUGUGGUGGUGCUGGUCAUCCGGUGGAGGCCGAACGUCCGCUCGCUGGGAGGUGUGGCCGGUCGUCCGGUCCUGGACAGACGUCCACUCGCUGUAGCCUGCGUUGGCUGGGACUUGGGUAGGCUGGGGCUUCAAGCGUCGGACGUCCGCUCCCGACCGGUCAUCCGGUGGCUGGAGCUUCUUUGGUAGCUCCUUCUUCUUCCAACUUCGCUUCCACGCUUCCCUCGCAGGUGGUGUAGUUGUACACUUGCGCUUGCACUCCUCCUCAUCGUCCGUAGCAUUCCAACAAUACCUAUGCAUGCACACGAGUGGAGUGUCAAGUAGUAUACCAUCCUCGAAGGGGUCAAGUGAGCACGUGUAAAGGAGAUGAUUGACCUUUGUUUAUGUGAAGUAGAUGUGGCACGUGUCACUUGCCAAAUGGACUCUUGAUAUGGUGAUGUCCGUAGGAUGCUCCGCAUCAUCCCCCCCCCCCCCGGGAAAGAUCCGACCUCGGAUCGAAAACCAAAUCAUCAUGGGAAAGAGAUGGCUUCGCCAUGUAGAAGUGGACAAUCACCGAGUACUCAUCAUCUUCAAGCUUGAAAUGGGCACUCUCCAAUGUCACACCGUGUAGUGAUUCCUUCAAAAGGAGCAAAGACAACAAACACUUGCAAAAACAAAUGUGGUUAGCGUUAGUGCAAAACCAAACAUUCAAGAGGUGAGUCACCAAACAAGUGUCAUCAUCAAGCAUAGCAUAAGGUGUGACAAGGGAUUGUGUCAUGACAUGUAAGCAUAUGAAUUGAGCACAAACAAAGGCAUCAUGGAAACAAACAUGCAAAUGGGAGGUAGAGAUGCUAAUAUUUGUGACAAGAGAGUAAGCAUCAACCUCAUGGUCAUAGCAAUCAUGCACAAAUUGCUCAACGAAAGGUCUAUGGUAGGCAUAAGAAUCAUUCACAACACCAAAUAAAAUGAAAUGUCUAAACGCAUGGGUCAAGUGCAAGACAAUCCAAGCAUAACGUGCAUACGGUGUAGUGAAGAUAGUGUGGCACUCAACCCAAAUAGAAAGAGCAAUUGUUCAUCAUGUGUGAGGCAAUCAAGGCAAGCAUGUAGCAAUCAAUGGGGCAUGGCAUAUGUGACGAAAAGACAUUGUUGCAACCAAACAUAUGAGAGGAGCAAGUAGUCCAAGAAUUGGAUGCAACACACAAGGUAUAUAUAUGUCAUGAGGCAUGGAACGGUGAAAAUGAUAAGUCGAAGCAAGAUCUCUAACAUGUGUGCAAUCAAGUGGUCUAAGAUGACCAACAAGUCUCAUGGUGCAAGAAACACAAGUAGUAUGAUCCACAAUAUCCAUGCUCAAGAAAGAUGUCACAUUGAAGGUGUGUCCUUGUGCAUCCUUCACAAUGCUGAAGCGCAAGCAAGUGCGAUGUAGAAGCGAGUCGUGGUAGAAUGUAUGAGGUUCGCUCUCAAGAGCUCGAAUGGUCAACUCACAUGAAGUGGAAGUCGACACAAAGUCCAAGUAUCCUACACAUGCACACAACAAAGCAAAGAACGCAUGCGCAUGGUAGAUAAACACAUCAUCCAUCAUGAUGGUUCUCUUCUCUUGCACAUAACCAUUAGAAGAACAAGUACAUGAACAAUAUGAUGCAACAAUGGCUAUAUUCAUGGCACUAGGUAUAUGGUGCAAAGAAGCAAGGCAAGCAUGCUUCACAAGAAAUAUGUCAAAAUCUCCAAAUAUAUGCGAGAAUGCUAUGGGGGCAAUCUCAUUAGUAAGACUAAAAGCAUUAUUGCACUCAAUACAUGUCAAAUCAUCUAGCAUGAGAGAUGCAACACAUGGAGAGGUAUGACAAUAAGCAAUAACAAUCAUGUGCAAAGCAUGUAGAUGGUUCUCAUCAACCGCAUGAAAUGAGCAAGUAUGAAUCAUGGGUGAUGCAACAUGAGAAGGAAUAGAGAUCAGGUCUUGCAAACUAGUGGAGCGAAGAUGCAACACACUAGAGGAAAUCAUGGCAAUCAUGUCAUGUGAGCAAAUAAUAGGCACAGACAAUGCACAUGACAUAUCGCAAUCACGAACGCAAAGCAAAAUCAUAGUAUCAUCAUAGGAAUGGGUCAUAAAUGGAACAUGGCAAUAACAAGCAAUGUCUCCACCAAGCUUGAGAAUACACAUACAAGUACUAGAAUCAAUCAUCAUAUGUAAUGCAAAGCAUGGGUCACAAAUGCAUGGCAAAGGCAUAGGAAUAAGCAUAUCGUGCAAAUUGAACAUGGCAAGAUGGGUAUAUAAUAUGUAAUGGGCAUAACCCAUAGCCAAGUGAGGGCCAUGUAGAAGAACUGCGUGAAGUUUUUGCGCAACGGGGACGGCGGUAAGGAUAAUCCACGGUAUUCCAAGUCAUCGUUGCUCUCUAGAGCUCGUUUUGUCAACUCAUGGGAUUGUGAGGUUGACAAGUAUUCAUGGGUACCUACACAAAAUAGACAUAAACCAAAGAAAUUGUACGCAUGGUAAAUGUACACAUCAUCCGUCAUGAUGUGUAUGUGCACGUGAUGCAAUCAUCCUCUCCCCCUUCAAGCGAAACCGUCCUCGGUUUCAGGGCGGUCUUCAAAGGCUCCUUGUGUACAUCAAACACAUGAUCAAUCUUGAUAGCAUGGUUACCCAUAGGUUGCAGCACCCGUUUGAUGCCAACAUCUCGGAACACAUAAGUGUUAGACCUUCCCUCAUGUAUAGCAUUGCGACCAUAUUGCCACAGACGACCCAAUAGCAACUGGCACACAUCCAUUGGCACAACAUCACAAAUCACCUCAUCGUAAUACGUGUCAAUAUUAAACUUUACACGUACCUUGUGAGUCACCUUCAAACGUCCGGAGUUGUACAACCACUCAAUGCAAUGUGGCUGCGGAUGUGGCCAUGCCUUCAGUCCUAAAGCAUCCACCACACGCUUGCUUAUGAUGUUGGUGUAGCUCCCUCCAUCAAUAAUCAACUUGCAACACUUGUUUUUGAUCUUGCAUUGUGACUGAAAUUUUUUCCACCGCUGUCCCGAACUUGGAAUUUGAUCCUCUUUAGCUCGCUGCACCAUGAUGCAUGGCAGAUCAUCAUAAUCUAAAGGAUAGCACAUGAUAGGAUUAGAUUCACUUUCCCCUUCCUUGGGCUUAUCAGACUCUGAGUCAGUUUUGUCUUCGGAAACAUAUCCAUCAUUAACAAGGAGCACUCUCUUCUUGUUCAGACAAUCAGUGCGUUUGUGUCCCCUACCUCCACAUGUGUAACAAACAAUCUCACUAGUACGCAUAGCAGACUGCGCACUUGAAUCAGCCCUUGAAGCCACUUUACUCGCGGCCAUAGAUUCUUUGCUCAUCUCCCUGUGAUCGGUAGCAGCUGACCUAUAAGAUGAAGCUGGCUUGACAUUAUCAUCGUCAUGCGAAUAGGAAUGUCGCCCCAUGCUGAAAUUGGUGCGGCCUUUGGAAACUUGCUUGGCUUUGACCCACUGUUCGGCAUGCUCCGCUUGAUGAAGAAGUUCUUGCAUAUCAUUAUACUGCAUAAAAUCAACACGGUCACGUAUAUCCUCAUUCAGGCCCUCAAAGAAACGUGUCAUUGUUGCAUCAUCAGACUCAUGCACAUUAGUUCUGAUCAUUAGAACUUGCAUCCGUUGGUAAUACUCAUCCAUCGUCAUGGCUCCUUGGACAAGACGUUGAAGCUUUGUGUGUUGCUCCUUCUGAAAAUAAGCUGGCACAAAGCGAGCACGCAUUGUACGCUUCAUCUCACGCCACGAUUCUGGUCGUGCGUCAUUGCGGUUGAGUUGAUCCCACCAUAUUAAUGCAUAACCUGAAAAUUCAAGAGAAGCAAAAUGAAUCUUCCGCUCCUCGGAGUAACGGUGGUUAUCAAAAAUCUGCUCCACAUGCAUCUCCCACUCAAGGUACUCCUCAGGACCGGCCUUGCCUGUGAACGAAGGUAUAGUAAUUUUUAUUCUACCAAUACCUCCGUCCUCGUCCUCAUCACGGCGCCGCCUUGGUCCAUCAUCACGGGGACGAGCAUCCUGUCGUGGUCGGCGAGGCAAGUCACCGCGAGCAUCAGCACCAUCCUCGGACUCAGCAUCAUUGUCAUCGUUGGCAACGUCUGCGUCACGGACGUGUAGAGGUGCUCGCUGCUGCAGGGCAUGUUGUGCCCUUGCUGGAGCAGCCGUGCCGGUUGCCCUUGCCUCUAGGCGACGGAGGGCUUCCUGCAUGGCCUGGAACCCGUCGGUCACCGUCUCAUCGAGGGCCUUCACGCAGUUGUUGAAGUGCUGGUAUGUAGCCUUGAACAUAGCACGGACACUUGGGUCCAGAUCAGGACCAUAUUGCGGCGGCCCAUCAUCCUCCUGCACCUCAUCUGCGUCACGCUUGCUUGCAGUUGACAUCGCACAGUGAUAAACCUGGUGCUCUCUGAUACCAGUUGAUACGGCUCAAAUAGCUUUGAGUCGAUUUUAUGGGGUGGCCCUGAUCUUUCACUCGUGCAAAGAGCUAGCAGAAUAAACUUGAUAGGGCAGAUGAAUUAGAACAGUCCAAAUAUAUCUAGCUGUAGUGGUGAUUCUGCCAUGAAGUAGUAGUAGCUAGCUAUACCAGAUGGAUUAGUAGAUGUAGGAUGGUAUGUGCGUAGACAUAUAGUAACUAGAGGGAUUGUAGUGGAUGGAAGAAGGAGCGUGGGGUAGUACUAGAAUAUAUGGAGGGAUUAAGCUAACGAACGAUUAGCGGCGGCGGCGGCGGAGUAAUUAGCAGAUGAGAACUAAGGAACAGUACACGGAAAGAAAAGAGAUGAGAUCGAUCCUUGCAGGUCAAGAACCGAACUAACUAGUGCCCUGGAGAUCAAGUCACCGGAACACAAGCAAUCACGAAUCCAAUUAUGGAACGCAGGAAACAGACUGGCUCAUCAUCGGAUGCAUCUGAGAAUAUUUUUCAUCAACUAAAACCACCCUUUUACAUGGCCAUAUGGCCUUUAUUUAUAGGCACACGCAUGCACCUAGGCUAAGCUCGUAACUAACAGAAUCACAAACUGGACUUAACAAGGAAAAAAAUAUAAAGCAUCCAACUAGGAUACGGCUGGGACAAAACUAAAACUAGGAGACUUUGACCUUCACGUAAGCUUGCUUUCCUGACCAGAGUUGUACAAGUAGUUGCAUGGAGUUCUAAAACAAGGCACCACUUCAUCUGACGGAAUUAGCUCAAUAGGCAUCUCACCAAUACUUGGACCCCUGAAUAAAACGUCUUGUUUUUGACUUCCUUGGAUAUUUUGUGAGCAAGGCAUGGAGCCUAAUAUACCUCUUUGAUUUGUUGAAUGCAACACCUUCCUUUGACAUAAAGCAGGCACAACAUAUUUUGAUGUAUUUUCCUCACUAUCAGAGUCUUGUUUCGAAGGUAUCUUAUUUAGCACCAAUGGUGAAACAACAAUAUUACCUAGGGUGAUUGCAUCAACACGUGUGAGUUAGCACAAGAUAAUCACUGCUCAAAAAAUUUGAUGCAUGGUAUAAGAACAUGUCAUCCAUCAUAAAAGAAUAGGUAUUGUGUAUGACACGAUGGGGAUAUAAAUUGAGAAUGCAAGUAUAUGGCACAUCAAUAGCAUGUUUAUUCAUGGGGAGCAUAUGGUGCACAUAAUUAUUGGGAUCAUGCAAAGGAUGGGAUGGAUCACAAUCUCCUAACAUGUAUGAGGGAACUAUGGGGGUCUCCUCAUGAGCAAGAUUGGAAACAUCAUAUGGAGAAAAUGGACAACAUCCAAAACAAUGCAUAUCCGAAGCUAGGUGGUCAUGGCAUGGCAUAUGAGAUAAAUGAUGCAAAGGGAGCAUACCAAUAUCAUCACAAGAAAAACAAAUGCAUGGGCUUGUCAUCUAUGCCAUAAGUGCAAAUUGGGUUUAUUUUAAUGGCAUAUGCAUAGUCACUAUGAAGAGAUUGCAAAUAAGACAUAUGGUUGAUCUCAUGCAUAGCAUAUUACAAGUCAAGCAGAUUGUCAAACAUGAUGUGACCUAAAGAAUUGUCACAAGAAAUCCUAUGUAACAUGGCAUCACAACUAAUAGACUCCACAUGGCAAUCAUCAUACUCAUCAUAAAUGGGCAAAUCAUCGCAUGAGAAAAUCAUACUAGCAUGAAGCAUGGUACUAGGUGGAUCAACAUCAUGCAAGCAAUCAGUAUCAAGAAUGUCCACUAGUGGGACUUGAGCAUCACCUUCAACUAUGUUACCUUUGUCAUUCCACUCAAGUGGUGUAGGUGAGGUUGGAAAGACUAAAUGGUGGUCAUCUUCAUCUUGAUGGAACCAUGUGUGUGUGGGGGGGGGGGUGCAUCAUAUUCCACCAUGGCCAUCGUCUUGUCCAAAGGAAGGACGAAGUCGUCGAGGAUUGACGCGUCAUCAUAAAUGGGACCUAGCACCAAAUGAGAAGACACAAUAAAGGUAGAGGUCAAGUUGUUAGAAAUGCAAAUGUCCUCACGAGACCUAUCAACUGUCACACUCUCUCUAUGUGGUGGUUCACUCACUCCCUCAAAAUAUGUGCACUCAAAGUCACAUAUGGUGGAGUCACUCAUCUCACUCAAGUGGUGGGGGUUGUGGCUCUCCUCACAUGAAAAGUGGGGCAACUCAUCAUAUAUAGGGAUAGUGGUGAAGUCACUCUCACUCUCAAUAUGGUGGAAAAAGUCACUCAAGUCAUCAUACGUCGCCGUGGUCGAAGGAAAAAUCCCAUGCUCAACCAUCUCGUCGCCAUCGCCAUGGAUGAAUGCCGAACAUGGCACAUCAUCACUCUCCUCCAUGACCGAAGGGAAAAUCCCAUGCUCAAUCAUAUCAUCAUCGUCAUCGUGGAUGAAGGCCGAAGAUGGCACAUCAUCACUCUCGCCUCCAAAGAUGGAAGCAUCAUCCUUGCUCGCCACCUUGUCGCUCGCCUCCAAAGCUUGGUCCUUGAGAGUCUCCAUAGUCGUACUCGUCGCUGCACCAUCUUGAAAAAGAUUCGAGGUAGACUCGGCAUCAUCAAUGCCACAAAGAGGGAUGGCGGUGAAGUCGAACUUGGGAGCAUCGUCUUGGAGCUCAUCGGGCUUGGACAUCUUGGUGCUACUAUCCUCAUGCUCAUUCUCAUGGAGCUUGGUCGUCGCGAAGUGAUCUUGGGGUGGAGAAGCCUUGGCCUUCAUGAGUUCUUGUUCCGCCUUGAGAGCACCAAUGUAGUUGUCGUCGAGGGACUUGUAGUUCUCGAGGAAGAUAGUCUUGAAGGUGUCGUUGGUCAAUCCCAUCAUGAAGUGGAACUUCAUCGAAAUGGGGUCGUCCACGCCGGCUCGUCACAAGGCAUUCUUCAUCUCCUUGAAGUACGCAUCAAUGGACUUGGAUCCUUGGAUGGUGUUCUCCAAUUGGCGUCGAAGUUGUUCCGUGUAGGUUGGAGGCAUGAAAUCUCGCCUCAUAGCUCUCUUCGUCUUGGGCCAACUCAUGUCGUAGCUCUCCGAAGGUGUGUGAAGCCACCAUGUGGACGCGUAGUCAUGGAAGUUUCUUGUGGUGCACUUCACUUGAUCUUCGGAAGGGACUUGAUGUGGCUUGAGGUAGUCAUCCAUCAAGCGCUCCCACUCGAGAUACUCCUCGGGUUCUUGAGUCCCAUAGAAAGGAAUCUUGUGGUCGGUGUCGAGGUCAUAGUAGCUCAUGGAAGUCGCGGACUUGAGCUUGGGGAGCUUCUAUUGAGCAUAGUCUUGGGGUGCUUGUUGGCGAAGAUGUCGUAUGUCCGUAGGCGAAGAUGCCUUGAAGUCGUUUGGCGAAGAUUCCAAGGGAGAUGGUGAAGUCGUUGAGCGGUUGUGGUGUUGAGCUCUUGACCUUCACAUUCUUUUUGGUGAUGGUGUCGAUGUUGAUGUGAUCUUGACGGAGGUGGUAGCUUGUAGGCAUGUGCUCUUGAGCAUCUUCUCGAAUAUGAGAAAGAUCGCUUGUAGGACUUGAUGAGGGCCUUGAUCUCCUCCAUUUGAGAAUCCAUCUUGGCAUUCAAGUUGUUCGUGGCAUCAAACUCGUCGUUGUUGUUGUAGACCGAAGGUAAAAUGCUUUGCCCAUCCAUCACAAGACUUGAGUAAAUGUGAGUAGGAAAUGAGAUAAACAAUACCAAGUUACCUUUCCCAAAGUUGAGGAUGUAUCCCGUUUCACUUAAUGUGAAAUGAAAGAAUAGUGGAAUUGGUACCGGACUUGUUCACUCACACCUAUGAAGUAAAGCUUAUGGAGUAGCUUGCUAAGGAUAGUGGCACAAAAUUUGAUGCAAAAUGUUAGCAAGAGUCAAUAAUGUUGAAAGAGAUUCACAAAUUUGCAAGUGAAACAAGUAGACCAAUAGAAAUAUGUGGCACACAGAAACACACACACAGAUAGAUAGAUGGAGUCAUGCAACCAAGGAAUGAGCACAAAAUGUGGAAUCCACAGAAAACGCUCGUCUCGCACAACUCUAGAGAGACGCUAGCACGAUUGCUCUAUAGGCAGAUAUGACACUUGUGCACAACCUAUAAGAUGCAAAAUGGAUAAACUUUCUAUCCCAAGUAUGCUAUGUAUGUAUGUUUCGGUGCUUUAGCACAAGAUGAUCCAAGAUGAUCGAGUAUGAUACAUAUGAUACAUUGUGAUGCUAUGGCUAUUGCUUACAAGCUCUUUGUUCACUCGUUUUCUUUGCUUAAAAGCUUAUUCUUUUUUUUUCGAUAUGGCUACUUAUGCAAAAUGCAGAAACCAAGAUAGCAAUAGUGUAUAUGCGGGGACAAACUUGUGACACAAGAUAUAAUAUGAUAGCAAGAUGAUACCAAUAUGAUAUGGUAUAUAUGCAAUGGAAGGUGUAGAUCAAUGAUGACUAAUGUGCACAAGUAACGUUGUCGGCAAUACUCAAAUGCCUAGUCUCAAUAGGCAAGUGAUGCAAAAUGAGCUAGGGGUUAUCAAUGCAAUGGCAAGGGGAAUAUACAAUGGUGUCAUCGAGGUUACCGUCAAUGGUUUGUCAAGUGUACAUAAGGACGAAUAAUGUUGAAGUGGUCAAUGUCAAUGACGACCUUGCGGCGAUGAAGAGUGGCGGUGUGCUCGAUGUAGACCCGUCCCUAAUUAGCCAAAACACCUUAGGAAACGGAAAAACCACAACUCAAAAUCUCAAGGACAAAAGUCAAAUGGUGGUAGCAGAAAGCAGUGGUAGUGGUUGAUGAAGAAGAAACCAUCCCUAAGUAGCUGAAACACCUUAGGAGACUUGAAUCACUACUCAAGCAACCACUAAUUCUAUGGGGAUCAAAAUGGGUUAGGUUGCGGAAGGCUAUUGUGGUAAUGCGAAUGAUGUGGUGGAAGGCCUAGGCAAAGAUGCCAAAGUUCGGAAAAUUUGAUGGUGUCAAAUGAUGUUGGUGCUAUUUGUGUGGGAUGGAGGAUGUCAAUAGCUUCAAAAGGAGCUAAAGAACAUCGAAAUCGGAGUUCGGAUGAAUUAGUUAUGGGCAAAACAAAAUCAACCGAAGUUGAUACCUAUAGGUGUCGGACGUCCGGUGGGGCUUGGAAAUCCGCUAUUUCAGCUCGGGUUUGGGGUUCCGGUCAUCCGGUAAAGGGCGGACGUCCAGUGGGUCGGGGUCAACACAGGAUUUGAGUUCCGGGACGCGAUUUUGGGGUCAAAAUUGAGCGAAUUUCAUGGAUAAAAGAUGGAGAAACUUGGGGAGAUGCUAGAUCCACUCGAAACCAAGAAAAUCCAUGGAUCAAAAUCAACAAAACAUCAUCAAACCAACAAAUCACCAAAAAUUUUGGGGCUAUUUUUGGUGUGGAUUUUCAAAAUUUAGGAAGAAAUCAAGCAAAAGAAGGCUAAAAAACGGUGGGAGGGACUCCAAAUUCAUGAUCAACGUGGCUCACAAUACCAUAUGAUACGGGCCAAACCCGGUGUAGGCCGAUAUUUCACAAUUGGAGUGGAUUCCCUCGAAGAACACGAAGGACACGGGGAAGAAUGGAGAGACAUCACAAGGGGGAAACACUCAAGAACGAGUCCAAUCACACAUUCACUAGACAAUCAAAAUCACAAGAUCCACAAGGUACAUGAACAACAAAAGGAAAGAUACAAGGUAAAGUUCAUCUCCAAGAGGAGGUCUUGAGGGAGGGGGGAGGGUCCUCCCGUGAGGGGUUCUUGAUGAUAUCCCGCAGGAUCUUCUCCUAGAUGGAGGUCUUAGCCUCCAAUGGAGUAGUGGUAGGAGCAAAGCUCAUAUACAAAUGAGCUAUCACUUUGCUGACCGUAACUAGGAGGAGGAGGAGGUCUAUUUAUAGCCUUAGUGCAAAUGGGGGCGAAGUGAAGGGGUACAUGGGCCUUGGGCCCGAAACUAUGUGCAGACAGGUACCAGACGUCCGCUGGUACCAGUAGUCCGGUUGCUCGCACGCGUCCGGACGUCCAGUAGUUGUCAGACUUCCGCUAAUUCGGCUCGGUUGAAGUGGCACCGGAUGUCCGAUCCCGUCGGACAUCCGCUGAUUUGGCUCAGGUGUGGUGGUGUCGGUCGUCCGGUGGAGGCCGGACGUCUGCUCGCUGGGAGGUGUGGCCGGUCGUCUGGUCCUAGACGAACGUCCGCUCGCUGUAGCCUGCGUUGGCUGGGACUUGGGUAGGCUGGGGCUUCAGGCGCCGGGCGUCCGCUCCCGACCGGUCGUCCGAUGGCUGGAGCUUAUUUGGUAGCUCCUUCUUCUUCCGUCUUUGCUUCCACACUUCCCUCGCGGAUGGUGUAGUUGCACACUUGCGCUCGCACUCCUCCUCGUCGUCCGUAGCAUUCCAAUGCAUGCACACGAGUGGAGUGUCAAGUAGUAUACCAUCCUCGAAGGGGUCAAGUGAGCACGUGUAAAGGAGAUGAUUCACCUUUGUGUAUGUGAAGUAGAUGUGGCACGUGUCACUUGCCAAACAGACUCUUGACAUGGUGAUGUACGUAGGAUGCUCUACAUCACGUGGUCUACUGGCGAUUUGACGAUUUAUUUUUUGGUUUGAUUCGAGUCGUAGGAUAGACCGCACUAUUAAGAGGGGUCUCUAACGAAGUCUGUCGUGGGGGAAUGCUAUUGCCAAAACCUAUACACCUAGCCUACCUACUCCCACCACCCUCCUAUACAUUGUGUGUUGUCGGGUACCCAGAAAGCUUGCAACAGAAUGUUUCUGGAUAACUCGUGUGCACGGGGUCUUUUGACCCCCGUGCGCACGGGGUAGUCAGAAACUCUCUGAGUACCCCGUGCACACGGGGUCAUUUGACCCCGUGCGCGGGGUGCUUGCAAACUCUCUGAGGACCCUAGUGCGCACGGGGUGGUGCGUAUGUCUCUAAGUACCCCGUGCGCACGGGGCUGACAUAGCGCAUGCACACAGGGUCCAAUGGGCAGAAACAACCGCCCACUCAAGAACACUAUAUAAGCCCCCUUCUUCCACCUCCAUCCCCAACCCUAAUGUCUUAUUGAGCUCCACCAUUUCUACACUCCAUUUUGCUCAAUACUCUCAAUCCCUCCACCCAAACUUGUUGAAACUUUGGGGAUUGGGAGAGCAAGACCCGAUCUACAUCUUGACCAAACCAAAUCGCGUUCCCCGCAACAUUUCUUCCCCAUUGACUUGUUACUCUUGGGGCUUGGGCUCCUAGGAGGUUAGAGGUUGCUCCGGAAGUUUCCUUGGUUUUGGUGUGCUCUGGAGAAGUUUGUAAAGGUGUGGUGGUCGCCUUCAAAACCAACCCUGAGUGAUUCGAGGUCUGUUGGGGGUGACUUGAAAGAGAUUAGGUGAGCCUUCGGUGGCGUUCUGCAAGCUUUGGCUCCGGCACCGCUCUAAACGGAGAGUAGCUCUUCCCCAAGGAAGAAUGAACUUCGGGAUAAAAUCCACGUCCUUGUCUCACUUGUGGUUAAUCCUUUCCCGCACUUUACUUUGCCUUGUAUGCUUGUCGGCUUGCUAUUUAGAUUGUUGUCUAGCAUACUUAGCUUUAAGCUUGCUUGUCAUAUAGGUUGUGUUCACCUAGUUGCAUAUCUAGUGAACCCUAUUUAUCCGCUAAACCUCAAAAUUAACAAGAAAGAUUAAAAUUUGUAGUCUCCUAUUCACCCCCCUCUAGUCGACCGUAUCGAUCCUUUCAAUUGGUAUCAGAGCCUUGUGCUCUAAUAUAAGGUUUUACAAUCUUAGAGGAUAUGGUCGAUCCAGGGAAUGUGGUAGGUGGCACACCCAUUGUGGAGGAUGGUGAAAACUUACCCCCCCGAUGCACUUGGUGCUCCGGUCAUUGCUCCCGCCGCUCCUAUUAAUCCGGGUGCCCCUUGACCGCAACCGAUAUUAUUUCAAUGUUUGUGGACCUCAAAGCCGCUAUGUUGAAAGAAGUUCGUUCCUCGGUCAAGGAGGAAUUUGAUGCUCGCUUAAAGCCCUCGAUAUCCGCAUCAAACUCAUUUGAUCCAAAUGCUAUUCAUGAUGCAUAUGACUCGAGAGAACCUCUUCCAUUUCCGUCUCGUACUCAAGUUCCCAAGUACAAUGUCGUGGAACCCUUUUACUCUCCUCAACCCUUGCAACAUCCUCGCAUUAAUCCUGUUGGGCCUCUGCCCCCUUUGAAAGCUAAUGCGUUUGCUAAGUGGAAGCUAGAUAUGGAGUUUCAUGUUCGCAGUGCUUCAACACAGCUUUGGUAGAUUGUGGUCAAUGGAUUCAACCCCAAGGACCCAAUCAAUCUCACUCCAAUAGAAGCGGUUGAUGAUCAACUUAAUGCAACCACCCACAACAUGUUGUGCACCGCGGUGACCGAAGACUAUAGUGACUCCAUUGCUCUCCUUAAGACCGCCAAGUAAAUCUGGGAUUGCCUCGAGGAGGCUCUCGAAGGAGAUGAAGCAAUUCGAAGAUCUCGGUUGGAUUUGCUCAAGCAAUAAGUCAAUCUCUUUGUGAGGAAUGAGGGCGAGUCCGCGGAAGAGGUUUACCGAAGGCUAAAGUACCUUGUGCUCAACUUGAGAACCUUUGAGUGCACUUGGGCAAAUGAUGAUUUCAUCAAGGACAAGUUCAUAGAUGCUAUGGUUCUCAUGAAACAUACCAUGGCCACGAUGAUACAUCAACGUCCAGAUUAUCACAAGUUGACCGCGGCUCAAGUUAUCUCCACUUUCUCCACUCGUGUUCUUUUGGAGACCAAGUCCAAGAAGACCUUUGCAAUUGCUCAAGCAACCAGAACUCCAAUCUUGCCUUGAAGGCCAAGAAAGUGAUUAGUGAUAGCCCACAAGUAUAGGGGAUAGUUGUAGCCUCUUUCGAUAAGUAAGAGUGUCGAACCCAACGAGGAGCUAAAGGUAGAACAAAUAUUCUCUCAAGUCCUAUCUGCCACUGAUACGACUCUACGCACGCUUAGUGUUCGCUUUACCUAGAACAAGUAUGAAACUAGAAGUACUUUGUAGGUGUUGUUGGAUAGAAUUGCAAGAUAAUAAAGAGCACGUAAAUAAAAAGUAGGGGCCAUUUAGAUAAAGAAGCAAUAAAGUAAAUAUAGCGAGUGUGGAAAAGUGGUGGUAGGAGUUGUGAAAUUGUCCCUAAGCAAUUGACUACUUUACUAGACCGAUAGCAAGUUUUAUGUGGGAGAGGCCACUGCUAGCAUGUCAUCCCUGACUUGGAAUUCUAUGCACUUACAAUUGGAACUAUUAGCAAGCAUCCGCAACUACUAACGUUCAUUAAGGUAAAACCCAACCAUAGCUUUAAGAUAUAUUGGCCCCCCUUCAAUCCCGUAUGCAUCAAUUUCUAUGCUAGGUUGAAGCUUGUGUCACUCUUGCCCUCCAAUACAUAGUCCUAUCAACAUACAACUAACCCUAUGGUGUGAUCCACGCACACGCUCAUAUGAUGGGAACCAAAGGACAACAACAUAACCACAAGCAAAUUAAACCAAUCAUAGCAAUUCAUCAAUCACUGAUAGGACAACGAAAAUCUACUCAGACAUCAUAGGAUGGCAACACAUCAUUGGAUAAUAAUAUGGAGCAUAAAGCACCAUGUUCAAGUAGAGGGUACAGCGGGUUGCGGGAGAGUGGACCGCUGAAUAUAGAUGAGGGAAGGUGAUGGAGAUGUUGGUGAUGAUGAUGGAGGUGUUGGUGUAGAUCGCGGUGAUGAUGAUGGCCCCCGACAGCGUUCCGGCGCCACCGGAAGCAAAGGGGAGAGAGCCCCCCUUCUUCUUCUUCUUCCUUAACCUUCUCCCUAGAUGGGAGAAGGGUUUCCCCUCUGGUCCUUGGAUCCCAUUGAGGGAGUCCUGGAUAAGGGGGUAUCCGGACAGCCGGACUAUAUACUUUGGCUGGACUGUUGGACUAUGAAGAUACAAGAUUGAAGACUUUGUCCCGUGUCCGGAUGGGACUCUCCUUUGCGUGGAAGGCAAGCUUGGCGAUCCAGAUAAUAGAUCUCCUUCUCUGUAACCGACACUGUGUUACCCUAGCCCCCUUCGGUGUCUAUAUAAACCGGAGGGUUUAGUCCGCAGGAUAACAACAUUCAUACCAUAGGCUAGCUUCUAGGGUUUAGCCUCUACGAUCUCGUGGUAGAUCAACUCUUGUAAUACUCAUAUCAUCAAGAUCAAUCAAGUAGGAAGUAGGGUAUUACCUCCAUCGAGAGGGCCCGAACCUGGGUAAACAUCAUGUCCCCAGCCUCCUGUUAGCAUUAGCCUUAGACGCACAGUUCGGGACCCCCUACCCGAGAUCCGCCGGUUUCGACAUCGACAUUGGUGCUUUCAUUGAGAGUUCCUCUGUGUCGUCGCUGUAAGGCUCGAUGGCUUAUCCAACCUUCAACAAUGCCGUCCGGGGUGAGGCCUUCCUCCCCGAACAGAUCUUCGUGUUCGGCAGCUUCGCACUGCGGGCCAACUCGCUUGGCCAUCUGGAGCAGAUCGAUAGCUACGCCCCUGGCCAUCAGGUCAGGUUUGGGAACCUAAACUGCAUUGCCGACAUCCGCGGAGACUUGAUAUUCGACGGACUCAAGCCCACGUCAGGAGCGCCGAACGAUCGCGAUGUGCAUGACUUAGAUCUGCCGUCGGACAAUAUUCGGGAUAUCGCACGUGCUACCGCUCCGGACUUCGAUCCAGAGCAGAUCGUGCCAUCCGAGGACGGGGGGAUGGACCCCGCCACGGAGGUCACACACUCAUCAAUGUUAGAGCCGAACAUAGAUUCCACUCCUAAGGAAAUCUGUGUCGCCGAACCCCCGGACUUGUCUCCGGCCGCCGGUUCCGGACCGCGCGCAUCCGUGCCCGUCGGAACUGAUCAGGCACCAAUCAUGGAAUUCACUGCCGCGGAUAUCUUUCUGCACUCCACCUUUGGCGAUGUGCUAAAUUCGUUAAAGUCUCUCUCUUUAUCAGGAGACUCUUGGCCGAACUAUGCCCGGCCCGUGUGGGACACGGAUGAUGAAGAAAAUCGCAAACCACCCACCACCCACUUUAGAGCCACUAUCGAUGACCUAAUAGACAUGCUUGAAUUCAACUCUGACAACAUCGAUGGUAUGGACGUCGAUGCAUUGGACGAUCUGGAACCACCGCCCAUAGGGCGCUGGACUGCCACUUCAUCAUAUGACGUCUACAUGGUGGAUACGCCUAAAGAAGACAAUGGUGACAAAAAGUACACAACGGAGGACAAACCCCUGGGAAAAAAAUCAAAACGACGACGCAGGCGCCGCUCUAAGUCCAGUCACAGUAAAAAUAGCGAUAACAACGCAAAAAAGGAUGACACUCCGGUUGACUCCAAAGGCAACAACGACCAUAGGGACCCAGCGAUGGAGCAGGAUAAGCCAGGUCGUGUCGAACACAACCCGGAGCAGACGCCCGACCACAGCGAUCCCGAGGGCCGAAAUCAGCAAACUGCCUCCGGAGAGGAGGACAGUCCGGUUGAUGAUGCAUUCAUCAUCCCGGAAAGACGCUUGGAACAAGAUGACCUUCGUAGAAGGCUUAUGGCCACAACGAGGAGCUUAAAGAAGCAGAAACAGAGGCUUAAGGCCGCACAUGAUACGCUCAACCGAAGAUGGAAGAAAGUGCUAGACACUGAAGAAAGAUAUGGCGACGAUCGCCACACAAAGAGCUACCCAAAGCGCAAGCUGCUGCCGGAAUUCGACGAAGAGGCUGCAGAGCCCAUUCCGCCAAAGAACAAUACGGCCAAUCGGCCGGACCAGCCACUUAAUGGCCGCAAUAGAGCAGCCACUGACGCCGCAUACGAUUUACGUGAGCGCCUGGACAAAAAGGCUGGUGCAACCAGGUCCGUCUAUGGAUCCAGAGGGCGCGCUCCAGCACAGGAUUAUGGUCACCAAAAUGAUCAUACUGAUCAAAUACCAGUUCGGAAUCAAACCCGGAUACAACAAUCGUCGACAACAUGCCACGACAUGUCCAGGUUCAGAGGGGCCGCGCACCCCCUGUGUUUCACCAACGAGGUGCUGGACCACGAAUUUCCACAAGGGUUCAAACCCGUGAACAUAGAGGCAUAUGACGGAACAACAGACCCGGGGGUCUGGAUUGAGGAUUUUAUCCUUCACAUACACAUGGCCCGUGGGGACGACCUCCACGCCAUCAAAUACCUUCCCCUCAAGUUGAAAGGGCCAGCUCAGCACUGGUUGAAAGCCUCCCCGAAAAUUCAAUUGGAAGUUGGGAGGAACUUGAGGACGCUUUCAGGUCCAAUUUCCAAGGGACCUAUGUCCGACCUCUGGAUGCAGACAAUUUAAGUCACAUAAUACAACAGCCCGGAGAGUCAGCUCGCAAGCUUUGGAACAGAUUUCUCACUAAGAAGAACCAAAUCGUCGACUGUCUGGAUGCCGAAGCCCUAGCGGCCUUUAAACACAGUAUCCGGGACGAGUGGCUAGCCAGGCACCUCAGCCAAGAAAAGCCAAGGACGAUGGCGGCCUUAACAAGACUUAUGACCCGCUUUUGUGUGGGCGAGGACAGCUGGUUGGCCCGUAAAGGCACCAGCGACCCGGGCACAUCCGAAAUUCGAGAUGGCAAUGGGAAGCCACGACGCAACAAGAAUAAGCGUCGGAGCAAUGAAGAUAGUCUGGACAACAUGGCAGUCAACACUGGAUUCAGGGGCUCACGACCCGGUCAAAGAAAGAAGCCAUUUAAAGGCAGUAAUGAAGGACCGUCCGGCCUAAAUAAAGUCCUGGACAGACUGUGCCAAAUCCAUGGCAUCUCGGAAAAACCUGCAAAUCAUACUCACAGAUAGUGUUGGGUCUUCAAGCAGGCCGGCAAGUUAAACGCGGAACACAAGGGAAGGGGAAACACCAAGUGAAGACGAGGAUGAGCCUCGCCAGCCGAACACUGGGGAAUAGAAAAAAUUCCCGCCAGAAGUUAAAACAGUAAACAUGGUCCACGCAACCCACAUGGAGUUCGUUGCCCCCAAAUUCAACCCCUGGGCGGCCUGCCCGAUCAUUUUUGAUCACAGGGACCACCCGGCCAAUAUCCGGCACGGAAGAUCGGCUGCCUUGGUGCUCGACCCAAUAAUUGAUGGAUACGAUCUCACUCGAGUCCUAAUGGAUGGCGGCAGUAGUCUUAAUCUGAUAUAUCAGGACACCAUCCGCAAGAUGGGGAUAGACCCAUCCAAAAUAAGCCAGAGUAACACCACCUUUAACGGAGUGAUACCAGGCGUUGAGGCCCGCUGUCGGGGCUCCCUCGUAUUAGAAGUAACAUUCGGUUUUCCCGACAACUUCAGAAGCGAGGAAUUACUCUUCGAUAUUGCUCCUUUCAGCAGCAGUUUUCAUGCAUUACUCGGAAGAACGACCUUCGCUUGCUCUAACGCAAUACCGAACUACGCUUGCCUUAAACUUAAGAUGCCCGGCCCACGUGGCAUCAUAAUGGUUAGUGGAAACACAGAGCAGUAUGCGGUAGCUCCUGUAGCCGGACACUAAGCGGCCUCUCCCACCAGAACGCAUGAUCGGUCAUUAAGACCACAGACACGGCUAGACGAGUCCGGUGCACCACCAUCAACAAUAGCCCGGAUAAACCCUGGCUGGGUGCUAUACAUAUAUCCCCAUAAAUGGUACUAGGGGCUGUCAACACAUAAUAAAGCCCACAAUUCGGCUUGCCUUAUCAAUAGGCCAAUAUCUCAUAUUUCUAAUAUCCAUUGAGAAUAACCAACUUCCCGCACGCUUACUCCUCUAUAUGAUUUUUCGUUUUACAGACACUACUCAUGCGACACCCUUCCAGGAUACGGCACAAUGAAGACAAAGGUGGAGACGUGCAGUAGGGCCCUGCUCAAAGGUUUCUCUUUAGAUUAAGCCCCUGUGUAAACCUUCUUUACUGUCUUUUGUUGCUUGACAUCUCAUGGGUAUUCCAUACACCAACAAGGGACACUGGCGUUAUAGGCUUUUCGCCACGACAGAGCAAUGCACGUACCUGGAAAUACAGGGUCAAGGGCGUUACUCAGCCCAAUAUUUGUUAUAAAGUCCGAAUACCUUCGGGAGUGUUCGGCGUCGGGAGUUUGGCCUUAUAUGCAUCAUCUCUGAAUCAUGUCUUUGGUCAAAUGUUGGGUUAGCCCGGCUCCUGGGUUUGCUGCCUUACGUUUCGUUCUAUCAGCUAAGGUGCCCAAAGGAGAACUACUGCGAUUGUGCCCUGGUUAUUCUGGAUGAGCACCUCAGUAGAGAAAGCCCAAAACUGACUGUCAUGAUACAAAGAGAGACUGGUCAACCACUCGAGGACUCAUCGGAAUCUAUAGGAUUCCUCCGCAUCAGUGAAGGACCGAUUUCCCGGUCAAGUACGUACGUGCAUCAUAUCCGGAUGCACGCGGAAGUACUAGGGGCUACAUAGUAGCCCCACCUUUCAACUCCUAUAGCUAAGUGAAAGUGUUACAGCUAUAUAGUCCGGUUGCCUGGUUCGACGUGCGAUCACCUCCUUAAUGGACCAAGACGUUGGAUCAAGUGUGUUUACGCAUAUUUUUUCGAACACCCCGCAUCAUAUGCGUGGGGGCUAAAGCCAACGACUGCUAACUUUCAUGUUAUAUGCAUACAUAAACGGCCACACAGGAGACAUUCUAAUACUUUCAGGCAAAAGUAUAAAAACAGCCUCUAUAAUUAACACAUAAUUGUUUACAAUCUAUAGACUUGUCACUCGAACAUGACAUUCUUCGAGCACCGAGCCUCUAUUCUACGGGCACCUUCUAUGACCUACUCAAAAUAGUGCUCGGCUGGGUCUUGGCUCCCUGCCGGACCCUGGGUUGCAAUGCUGGUGGCCUCCAUAUCCGCCCAAUAUGUCUUAACACGGGCAAGAGCCAUCCGCGCACCCUCUAUGCACGCCGACCUCUUCACGGCAUCGAUUCAUGAUCUGGCGCCAAAUAAUUGCUGCACUAAACCAAAGUAACUGUCCGGCCUCGGUCCUUUCGGCCACAUAUGGUCUAUUAUAGACCUCAUAGCAAGACCGGACAACCUAUGGAGCUUGGCUAUAGCAGCCAUCUUCUCACUUAAUGGCAAUAAGCGCGUUGGAGCGCUAAAUUGCGACCAGAAUAGCCUUUCUAUUUCAUUAUCUUUAUGAUACUUGAAUUAGUUGGUCGCGUCAGCCGUACUCUUCGCCAAGUCCGCAUACUCAUCUGCAGCGCUCCAAACUUGAUCCAAAGGAGCAUACUUUGGAUCUAAGAACUUCAUUCACAACAAAUAGGGGUUUCCAGCCGCGAUUUCUCCGGCUUGUCGAAGUUCCUCUUGCGCGUCUCUAAUGUCAGAGUGCAUCUCCUUAGCUGAAUCCAGCGCCUUCUUCAGGUCAGCUGCCUUUGCCUGAUUCUCCUUCUCGAGAAGCUCAUACCGGCGCUCAAUUUUCGCUUUACCUAGAACAAGUAUGAAACUAGAAGUACUUUGUAGGUGUUGUUGGAUAGAAUUGCAAGAUAAUAAAGAGCAUGUAAAUAAAAAGUAGGGGCUGUUUAGAUAAAGAAGCAAUAAAGUAAAUAUAGCAAGUGUGGAAAAGUGGUGGUAGGAGUUGUGAAAUUGUCCCUAAGCAAUUGACUAUUUUACUAGACCGAUAGCAAGUUUUAUGUGGGAGAGGCCACUGCUAGCAUGUCAUCCCUGACUUGGAAUUCUAUGCACUUAUGAUUAGAACUAUUAGCAAGCAUCCGCAACUACUAACGUUCAUUAAGGUAAAACCUAACCAUAGCAUUAAGAUAUAUCGGUCCCCCUUCAACCCCGUAUGCAUCAAUUUCUAUGCUAGGUUGAAGCUUUUGUCACUCUUGCCCUCCAAUACAUAGUCCUAUCAACAUACAACUAACCCUAUGGUGUGAUCCACGCGCGCGCUCAUAUGAUGGGCACCAAAGGACAACAACAUAACCACAAGAAAAUCAAACCAAUCAUAGCAAUUCAUCAAUCACCGAUAGGACAACGAAAAUCUACUCAGACAUCAUAGGAUGGCAACACAUCAUUGGAUAAUAAUAUGAAGCAUAAAGCACCAUGUUCAAGUAGAGGGUACAGCAGGUUGUGGGAGAGUGGACUGCUGAAUAUUGAUGGGGGAAGGUGAUGGAGAUGUUGGUGAUGAUGAUGGAGGUGUUGGUGUAGAUCGCGGUGAUGAUGAUGGCCCCCGGCGGCGUUCCGGCGCCACCGGAAGCAAGGGGGAGAGAGCCCCCCUUCUGCUUCUUAUUCCUUGACCUUCUCCCUAGAUGGGAGAAGGGUUUCCCCUCUGGUCCUUGGCUCCCAUGGCGUGGGAGGGGAGAGAGCCCCUCCGAGAUUGGAUCUAUCUCUCUGUCUCUCUCUGUUUCUGCGUUCCCCGAUUCUGCCCUGGCACCAUUUCUUUUAUAUCUGAAGAUCUGUAACUCCGAUUGGAUUGAAACCUUCGCCCAAAUAUCUUUCCAAAAUUUAGCUUUCUUGUGGCCAAAGUAGAGCAUCAACCGCCUUAGGAGGGGCCCACGAGGGUGGGGGCCGCGCCCACUUAAAGUGGUGGUGUGGGCCACCCUCGUGGCCACCUCGGGCACCGUCUCGCGUUGAUUCUUCCUCCCAAAAAUCACAAAUAUUCCAAAAUAAGUCUCCGUCCAUUUUUAUCCCGUUUGGACUCUAUUUGAUAUGGGGUUUCUGCGAAACAUAAAACAUGCAACAAACAAGAACUAACACUGGGCACUGGAUCAAUAUGUUAGUCCCAAAAAAUAGUAUAAAAUUUUACCAAAAGUAUAUGAAAGUUGAAUAAUAUUGGCAUGGAACAAUAAAAAAUUAUAGAUACGGCGGAGACGUAUCAAUUAGCCAACCCACAAGGGAUGAAGAAGUGAGUGAGGAGACUUGUGAUGAAGAUGUUGACACCUCAUGCCCGGCAAAUGACUUUGCGGAAGACUUGGCUCUCUUAAUCAAAAAGUACUCCGGGACCAUGGCAAACAAAGGGAAGAAUCUUCAAGGAAGAUCAUUUGGACGAAGGAAAUGCUACAAUUGUGAUAUCCCAAGACACUUUGUGCAUGAUUGUCCGUAUGAGAGAUGUGAAGAGAAAUCCGAGAAGCUUGUGCUCAAGAAUAAGAAGUUCACCAAGUUUGCAAAGAGGAAAGAUGACAAGGCUCUUGUUCUUGAAGAAUACAUGUCCGGAGAUGAAGAUGACGGUGAUGAUGAGCAAGUGGCACGACCGCCAUUGCCAUGCAUGGCACUACCUCCUCCUCCACCACCGGCCUCUUCGACUCUCCAAACGAGGACAAGCCUUUCACUCGUCGGUGCCUUAUGGCCAAAGAGGUAAAAACUAAGUCCAAAUCCCAAAAACCCGCCAUCUACACUCCCAAUGUCUCAUGUGAGAAAGUGGUGGAUGAAUGUGACGAAGGCGUGGAUAAUGAUGAGGAAUCCUUGAUGGCUUUCAUGGUAAAAACUAAGUACAAAUAAAAAAAACACCGUCUACACUCUUCAUGGUGAAGCUCAUGCUCGCUUUGGCGAUCUCCUUAAGUCACUCGCCGAACGUGAUGACUUCAUUGAGAACGUUGAAAACCUCCUCAUAGGGGAAAAAGAGAGAGUCGAACUCCUCGAGCACGAACUACAUGAAGAGAGUAUCAUGAGAUCAUCACUUGAGGAAGCCUUGUCGACUAAUCAAAUUGACUUUGUUAAAAACCAAUGAUGCUUUGCAACUUGCUCUUGAGAACAAAGAUGCCCUUAAUGUUAAAUAUGAAAAGCUUCUAGUUGAUCAUGCGAGACUUUGUGAGGAACACGAGUUCCUUGUGACUAGUUCCAAGGUUGUCAAAGGCGACCUCAUUGCCUUCAUUGAGUCUUAUGCUCAACUUAAAGCUACCACCAUUAAGGCACUCACUUCCGUACCUCAUAUGGAGUCAAAUGAUGGUUAUUGUAUAGCUAGCUUUGUUCAUGAUUGCACCUCGCUCCAAGAGGAGAAUAAGAAGUUAAUGGCCCAAUUUGAGAAAGGCCUUGUGUCAUGCAUUCAAGGGGAGAAACACCUCAAUGACCUCUUGAGCAACCAAAAGGAGUGUGUUGCCAAGGAGGGAAUUGGGUUUAAUCCCGCAUCCAAGAAUGGUAAGAACAAGAAGAAGAGUAACAAGAAGAAGACCAGUCCUCCUCCUUCUCCUCCUCAAAAGGUGGUGUUUGUGCAAGAGGGGCACAAGGAGAAGGAGAAGUAAAAGGUGUUUUUGGGAAUGGCAAGGUCACUAGGGACAAGGCCAUUCCCAAGGUUUUCGCCGGCAAGAAUAAUCCAUCUUAUGUCCUCAUGAGAGGAAAUGAUGGCUAUACCUUUGCAAAAUUUUGUUGGCACUAACUAUAAUGAUUAUGCUUGGACUAUUUGGGUGCCUAAGACCCUUGUUGCUAACUCUCUAGUACCCAUUGCAAAAUGGGUACCUAAAACCAAAGCUUGAUUCUUGUAGGACUAUAACACUAGUGGAAAACAAUGGGUGAUCGAUAGUGGAUGCACCAAUCAUAUGACCGGGGAAAGGGAGAUGCCUAUGGAGUUCGUUGAUUCUCUCAAGGCCUCUUUGAACAUCUCCUUUGGUGACAAUAGCAAGGGAAAUGUAUAGGGGUUGGGAAAAGUGGUAAUCUCUAACGAUUCCUCUGUUUCAAAUGUCAUGCUUGUCCAAUCCCUUCACUACAAUUUACUUUCAACAAUUCAAUUGGCACGUGUCGGUUACGAUUCUCAUUUCAGUGAAUUCCAUGUGACCGUAUUUAAGAGAAGCAAUCUCAAAGUGGUCUUUGUUGGGAAUUUUGAAGACAAUGUUUAUGUGGUUGAUUUCUCAAAACAGAGAAGUCAUCUUGCAACAUGCCUAAUGGCCAAGACCGACGUGGGGUGGCUAUAGCACCGACGCCUAGCCCAUGUUGGCAUGAGAAAUUUACAAGCUCUCUUAAAGUGGGAGCACAUCCUUGGACUAACCAAUGUGUAUUUUGCCAAAGAUCGUCCUUGUAGUGCUUGGAUUGCCGGGAAACUACAUGAAAAGCUCAUAAAGUGAAGACUAUCAUCACAACCUUUAGGCCCCAUGAGCUUAUCCACUUGGAUCUUUUUGGGCCUCCAACUUAUGAUAGUUUGAGUGGGAGUAGGUAUUGCCUUGUCAUUGUUGAUGACUACACAACAUGUACUUGGGUGUUCUUUCCCAAGACCAAAGAUGAAACUCAAGAAACAUUCAUCAACUUUGCCAAAGAAGCUCAACGUUAACAUAAUUGUGAGAUCAUGGCAAUUCAAAGUGACAAUGGUACCAAGUUCAAGAACUACAUGAUGGAUGAAUUCUUGAGUGAAGAGGGGAUAAAGCAUCAAUAUGCUGCGCCAUAUACUCCCCAACAAAAUGGUGUUGCGGAGAGGAAGAAUAAGACUCUUAUUGAGAUGGCUAGGACAUUCUUGACGAGUACAAGUCUCCAUACAAGCUUUGGGCCGAAGCAAUCAACACCACGUGUCAUGCUUCAAAUCGCCUUUAUCUUCGCAAGCUUAUGAACAAGACCCCAUAUGAACUCCUAAUCGGGAGAAAGCCUAGCGUCAAAUACAUUCGGGUAUUCGGUUGUAAGUGUUUAAUUCUAAACAAGAAAUCCCAGUUAGCUAAGUUUGAGCCUAGAACUUAUGAGGGCAUAUUUGUUGGAUAUGCAUCAAACUCUCAUGCUUACCGAGUUCUCAUUAAAUCCACCAGAUGCAUUGAGGAAACGGUAAAUGUGGAGUUUGAUGAAGAUAACGGCUCCCAUGUGGAGCAAAUUGUUCCUAAUGUUGUAGAUGAUGAGGCUCCUUCACAAGAUAUAAGGACGAUGGGGAUAGGCCACAUUCUUCCACAAGAAACACCCCAAGUCCAAGUAGAAGAAGGAGUAAGAGCCCCUCUUGUGGAGUCUCCACAAGGGAAGUCAUCACUGGCACCACUUGUACAAGAUGCUAUGGGAGAUCAUGAACCUAUCCAAGAACAAGAUCAAGUCCCUCAUAUUCCCGAGCAAGAUCAAGGGCAAGCUCAGUCAAAUAGUGAAGAACCAAUUAUUGAGGCUCAAGAUCAAGCUCAAGUUCGUGAUCAAGAUCAAGAUCAAACCCAACCACAAGGUUCUUCAUCAUCGUCACUUCCCAACAAACAAGAACUUGUGGUUGCAAAGAGAAAGGUGUCUCCAGGGUUAAAACAAUCUCAAGGUCAAGCUUCUUCAUCAAGUCCAAAACCAAGUGAAUAAGAGCUUGCAAUCAAAGAGCAAAAAUUGGCCGCCAAGCUAAAGCAUCUUCAAAAUCUCACCGAGAACAUCUAUGGAAGCAUCAAAAAGGGGGUAACUACUCGUAGACGUUUGGAAAACUUUUGUGGGCAUCACUCGUUUGUCUCUUGUGUUGAGCCCCUAAAGGUAGAAGAUGCACUUGAGGAUCUGGAUUGGAUAGAUGCCAUGCAUGGAGAACUCAACAAUUUCACCCAUAACAAAGUAUGGACCCUUGUGGAAAGACCCAAAGAGCAUCAUAAUGUCAUUGCAACAAAGUGGAUCUUCAAGAACAAACAAGAUGAACAUGGACAAGUAAUAAGGAACAAGGCAAGGUUAGUGGCACAAGGUUUCACCCAAGUUGAAGGUUUGGACUUUGGUGAAACUUUUCCCCCCGUUGCUCGUCUUGAAUCCAUUCGCAUCUUGCUUGCAUAUGCCUCUGAUCAUGAUUUUAAAUUAUGUCAAAUGGAUGUGAAGAGUGCAUUUCUUAAUGGUCCUCUUAAGGAGUUGGUGUAUGUCAAGCAACCUCCCGAUUUUGAAGACCCUGAUCACCCCUCUCACGUUUAUGAACUCCAUAAGACGCUCUAUGGACUCAAACAAGCACCGCGUGCUUGGUAUGAUCACCUUACGACAUUCCUAAGUGAGAAGGGGUUCCAGAUUGUGGUAAUAGAUGCCACUCUCUUCACAAAGAGAGUAAAAGGAGAGUUGUUUGUGUGCCAAAUAUAUGUUGAUGAUAUUAUCUUUGGGUCCACUAACCAUGCUAUUAACAUUGAAGUUCUUCCUCAGUUUUCUAGUGAAGCAAUUGAGAGGAGGAACCUUCACCAACCAAUCUAUUUAUAUUCAACACAUGCUCAAGAGGUUCAAAAUGCAAGACGUUAAGCCCAUGAAGACACGAAUGCCCACAAAUGGCCAACUUCAUCUUGAUCCCAAUGGUAAAGAAGUGGAUCAAAAGGUAUAUCGCUCCAUGAUCAGUUCCUUGCUUUACCUUUGUGCAUCUAGACCGGAUAUUAUGUUGAGUGUGUGUAUGUGUGCAAGAUUUCAAUACACUCAUAAGGAGAGUCACUAUUCGGCGGUGAAAAGAAUCCUUUGAUAUUUGGUUCAUACCCCAAACUUGGGCCUUUGGUAUCCCAAAGGAUCAUCUUUUGAGUUAAUGGGAUACUCAGAUUUGGAUUGGGCCGGAGACAAGGUUUACCGCAAGUCCACUUCCGAUUCAUGUCAAUUCCUAGGGAGAUCUUUGGUAAGUUGGUCUUCAAAGAAGCAAGAUUGUAUAUCUCUCUCAACAGCCGAAGCCGAGUACAUUGCCACCGGAAGUUUUUGUGCUCAGUUAUUAUGGAUGAGGCAGACUUUGAUGGAUUAUGGUGUCAAAUGUGGCAAAGUGCCUCUUUGGUGCAACAAUGAAAGUGUAAUCAAGAUCAUCGAGAAUCCAGUACAACAUAGCAAGACCAAGCAUAUUGAGAUUCGUCAUCAUUUCAUUAGGGAUCAUGUGGCCAAGGGAAACAUUGAACCACUCCAUGUCAACACACAGAAUCAACUAGCCGAUAUUUUCACCAAGCCUCUUGAUGAAGCAAGAUUCCGCGAGUUAAGGCAUGAGCUAAAUAUCGUGGAUAUAAGUAACUUGGUUUGAAAUUCUUGCUCAUGCACACAUACUCAUAUAAUAUCUUGCUUAGAUGUAGGGACAUGUCUAGGGGGAGCUAUGUAACACCCUAAUAGUUAAGUUAUAGUAAACCCCUGUUAAUGAUGCCAGGUCAUCAUAAUUUAAAUUUUGCUAAACCUCACUCGUUCCAAAAUUAGUUCAAAUACAAAUUCAAAUAACAAGUCAAAUUAUAGUUUCAUAAAGCAGUGAAUUAAAAACGUUCAUUAGGUUGCAAAUAUUCAUUGGAUAAUUGUCAUGCAUUAACCAACAUUUUUCUAAAGGUUUAAAAUGCCACUGGAUAUGAAAACAGUACCCAAAAGAGCCGCAUAUAGGUCAUUUCCAUUUAAUAAAAAUACAAACAAUCCUAAACUUUUUGUGACAGUGGGGUAUGUAGUAUGUUGAAUACUAAAUACAGAGACCGGCCACACAUUUUACUAAAGUGAAUUAUUGAUCAAAGUGCAAACAGAACAUAGAAUAGAAAAGAAACAAACAGACAGAAAAAAAGGAACAGAAGACCAGCUCCCCCCUCCUGGGCUGAGAGGCCCAGCUGUCCAACCGGCCGGUCCAGUCUGGGGCCUACUUACCCCAACCUUAACCUAACUGCCCGCUACAACCCACUCCCCUGAUUCUCCCCACUCCUCUUGCUCGAUUCCUCACCUUCCCCCUCGCGCCGCCGCACACCAGACAAGAGGCAAGCCGCCUCAUGCCCGAGCCCCCUCGUAGCCUCUCCUCCCUCCGUUUGCUCCUGCUCCACCCCAUCGCCCCUGGACCUCCACCGAGCAGCAAGUAGCAGUCGCCAUCCUGGCCACCAUCUCGGACCUCUCCUACAACACGGCUACCGCGCCUCCGACCAACCUCGGACCGCACCCCUGCCUCAACACGGACGACCUCGACCUUCCAUGGCUUCACCGAGCCCUCCACGAGCUCUGUAGUGAGCCUGUCUGAUAAUCCCCCCACCCCCCUCAAUCUCGUUGCCAUAACCAACAUCCGCGUCCUCCUGUUGCCGCGCCCGAUGCCCCGCUCCACGCACGACCUGGUAUUCAACCCAUAUUUAUUGAUUCGACACAAGGGGAGCCAAAGAAUAUUCUCAAGUAUUAGCAGUUGAGUUGUCAAUUCAACUACACCUGGAUAACUUAAUAUCUGCAGCAAAGUAUUUAGUAGCAAAGUAGUAUGGAAGUAAUGGUAAUAGUGGCAAAAGUAACAGUAGCUGUUUUGUAGUAAUUGUAAUAGUGGCAACUGUAAAGUAACUAAGCAAAGACCAAUAUGUGAAAAGCUCGUAGGCAUUGGAUCAGUGAUGGAUAAUUAUGUUGGAUGCGAUUCCUCAUGCAAUAGUUAUAACAUAGGGUGACACAGAACUAGCUCCAGUUCAUCAAUAUAAUGUAGGCAUGUAUUCCGAAUAUAGUCAUACAUGCUUAUGGAAAAGAACUUGCAUGACAUCUUUUGUCCUACCCUCCCAUGGCAGCGGGGUCCUAUUGGAAACUAAGGGAUAUUAAGGCCUCCUUUUAAUAGAGUACCAGACCAAAGCAUUAACACUUAGUUAAUACAUGAACUCCUCAAACCACGGUCAUCACCGGGAGUGGUCCUGAUUAUUGUCACUUCGGGGUUGCCGGAUCAUAACACAUAAUAGGUGACUAUAGACUUGCAAGAUAGCAUCAAGAACUCAUAUAUAUAUUCAUGAAAACAUAAUAGGUUCAGAUCUGAAAUCAUGUUCACUCGGUCCCUACUGACAAGCAUUAAGCAUAGCAAAGUCAUAGCAACAUCAAUCUCAGAACAUAAUGGAUAAUAGGGAUCAAACCCUAACAAAACUAACUCGAUUACAUGGUAAAUCUUAUCCAACCCAUCAUCGUCCAGCAAGCCUAAGAUGAGAUUACUCACGCACGGCGGUGAGCAUCAUGAAAUUGGUGAUGCAGGAUGGUUCAUGAUGACGACGGCGAUGGUUUCCCCUCUUCGAAGCCCCGAACGGACUCCAGAUCAGCCCUCCCAAGAGAGAUUAGGGCUUGGCGGAGGCUCCGUAUCGUAAAACGCGAUGAAUCCUUCUCUCUGAUUUUUUUCUCCCCGAACGUGAAUAUUUAGAGUUGGAGUUGAGGUCGGUGGAGCCUCAGGGGGCCCACAAGGCAGGGAGGCGCGCUCAGGGGGGUAGGGCAUGCCCCCCACCCUCGUGGACAGGGUGUGGACCCCCUGGCCUUGGUUCUUUCGCCAGUAUUUUUUAUUAAUUCCAAAAAUAAUCUCCCUGGAGUUUCAGGUCAUUCAGAGAACUUUUAUUUCUGCACAUAAAUAACACCAUGGCAAUUCUGCUGAAAACAGCGUUAGUCCGGGUUAGUUCCAUUCAAAUCAUGUAAGUUAGAGUCCAAAACAAGGGCAAAAGUGUUUGGAAAAGUAGAUAUGAUGGAGACGUAUCAACUCCCCCAAGCUUAAACCUUUGCUUGUCCUCAAGCAAUUCAGUUGAUAAACUGAAAGUGAUAAAGAAUUUUUUUUACAAACUCUGUUUCCUCUUGUUGUUGCAAAUAUGUAAAGUCAGCAUUCAAGUUUUCAACAAAGAUUAUGAACUAACCAUAUUCACAAUAAUACUUAGGUCUCAUGUUUACUCAUAUCAAUAGCAUAAUCAACUAGCGAGCAAUAAUAAUAUAUCUCGGAUGACAACACUUUAUCAAAACAAUCAUAACACUACAACAAGAACCCCCGUAUAGCAACAUAUGUGCAGCAACGAUGAUGACAUGUGUUGUUGCGUUCAACCUCCCACCUCCCCACGAACCUCCCCGCACCCCCACCUCCAGCCCUGUACCUGCUUCCUCCUCAUAUCACGCAGAUAUAAGGAUAAAAAAACAAAUAUUUUUUCUCUGCCACAUCUCUCCCCCAAUUCCCCUCUCUCACGCGAGCUCCAUGGCCACAACCUUGCCGCCGCCUCCAAAUCAGGGCAGCUCCGGCGCAGUUCCGCGGCCCUGCUCACCGCCCCCUCCCUGCUCACUGUUCUUAUCCUAUCUUCCGUCGCCGGAACGUCGUCCCCGUCCCUGCACACGCCUCCGCAGCAACCCUAUUCGCCACGGGUCGCUGGCGCGGCUCCUCCGCCUCCGGUUUAUCUGCCAACUACCCCUGCGUCUCCGCACCCACGGACGCCCGUUCGAGCUCAACGGUGCUACUCCGCCAGGGUCACCUCGACUCCGAUACCGUCUGUUCUGUAAGUCACUCCUCCCCUCCGCUGCUUUGGGUGGCAUGGCCAUCGCGCCAUGGCUGAUUCCUUGCCGUCCAUCGCGAUGAUGACCUACACUAUAUAGUCAGAUCAUAAUAAACCAAAUAAUCCUGUUCAAGAAUUCAUCCGAUUAACCAGUUAACUUGCCGAUUAAUCCCUACUCGUUGGGUCACCGAGUAGCCGAUAAACCGAUAAAUCGUCCGAUUAAUUGAUUAAAUGGCCGAUUAACUUGCCGAUUAGCAGAUUAAUCCCCUACUCGCCAGCUAACCGAGCAGCUACCAGUUAACGAUUUUCUCAACAAUGCCAAAUAUUACUCUGUAGAAGCGUUACUUUUGUUGAGGUCGCUGCCUGAAUUUGUCCUUCCACUCAUACGUAAUUGUGGUAUAUCUUGCUAGUAAAAGUUAUGUCAGUUGGUGUACUAGCAUAGACGUGUGUGAACCCCGGACGCCCAGCAGUUAGUUUUUUUAAACCAUUUUCUUAUCAAAGCCGAUUGCUUUACUCUCUGAGUUUUCUUUGUGUGAACAUAUAGUAGGGUUGUGGUAUAGUUACAUUUAACCUGAAGAAAAUACGUUAUAUUCACUCUCCUAACUUACAUAUUUGUUAAUAGAAAUUUUUAUGUUUGUUCCAAGUGACAUUAAAACAUACUUGCAUUAGUUAUACCGUGUUUAUAUGAGGAUGUGUGCAAUAAACAGUGUGUUUUUGUCCUUUUGUAUACACAACUAUUUGUAUUACUGCCUGAACAUGUAAAUUUCCUUCGCAUAUGUUGUAGAACCAGAUCACAUCCUUGAUCCAGUGCAUCGCUCCAUGGUCUGAGCUCCACUGUCGUCAUCUGCAAGUGAAAUAUGACUACCUAGGGAUGGCCGUUGUGUCAUCAUAGAUCACAGGUGGACAACAACCAUCAUGGUGAGCGACCUUACUCGAUCCUGGAGGCCCAACAUUCCACUUCACAUUUCUAGGUAUUUCAAUUUUGGGCUUGCAUAUUUCAGUUUGUCAUUUAGUUCUGCCCAUGCAAGUUGUUUCUAGUUAGGUAUGUGUUAAUCCAGGAAAAAUAUCUCUGUCUCAUUUUUCUCAAUAAUUCUUUCUUGUGAUGCAUUAGGUUUCAUUCUCUUUUUGCUAUGUGUGUGGAUAAUUAGUUAUAUUUUCGUGAAGAUUUUCAUGGCAGAUCAAGUAAAUAAGAUGUGACGGUAUCUCUGGAUAUCUGAGCUGUGACCCUGUGACAAACUUACGAAAGAAGAUUCCUUCAAGUAUCACUUAAUAGGUGAGCGCUAUUAUCUAUGACAUCAUUAUAAUUUCUGGGAAAGAAAAUGUACUUAUCAGUGUUUAUGAAUCCUCCCACAUAGGAGGUGUUUGGCAACAAAAAUGGUAACGUAAAUGGUAGCGUAAUCAGAUCGCAGCGUUUUAGGAGGUGUAACGAGUUAUUUCUCAAUUUGUUUGGUUGGCCUAGGUAACGUAAUUGGAUAACGUCGCUCCUCCUCUUCUUCCCUAGCGCGUCUGUCUCCCCGACUCAAGACUGCCGCCGUCGCUCGUGAGCUAUGCUCCUCCCGCGCCGCCAGCUGCUGCGACCUCACUGCCUGCUCAGUUAAUCUAGCGCGCCGGCGGCCGCUGGAUCUCGCGCUCUGCCGGCCGCCGCAUUUCACGCGCCGCCGACCACCGUCUGACCCAAAGCAUGCGUGCCGCUAGCGGCUUCGAUCUCGCGCUGCGACGGAUGCCGGCGAAGCAUGCCGAUGGGCGACGGCUGGCGAGCUGUGGUUGCCGCUGCUCUUUUUCUCUCGCACCCUUUGAGCGGCUUGUGCAGCUGCGGGAACAGAAGACGGGGUCCCGAUACAGCCGAUUUGGGGCAUAAUCAGUUUUGUAUAGUGAUGGGACAUGAUUACAUUGUAUCUGAUUACAGCCGCGGCGAAACAAACACGAUUUGGCGGUAACUGAUCCCGUUGUAAUCAGAUUACGGUACAAUCUCGGUAACCAAACACCUCCAUUGUGUAGUUCUAUAGGAAUAAGCCUCACAUGCAUCUACUCAUCCUAAUAUUCCUCUUUAUUGUAUAAUCGUUAAUUUUCAUCUUCCUUCACAGGUUCUGAAGUGAUUUUGCUUCAGCUAACAUGCUUGCAUUAGCUUUUCUCUUACAGGUAAAUCUUCAGGACAUAUGAGUAUUGCAAUUAGCAAAUAUAUAAAUCAAUAAGUUUACAGAAGAUGCCUUAAGAAUGAACUCAGAGCUUUGUCUUUAUUGCAUGGAAUUCUUCGCAAGUUGAUGAUUGUGCCACACCACUCCUUUAAAUAAAUUAAGUUCUUUUUAAAAAAUAUACUGUUUUUAUUUCUUCAUUUUCGCAUUCUAUAGGUGAAUUUUCAAUGGAAGACUGGCAUACAUGUUAUCUAGCUUGAUAUUCUUGGCUGAUGUAAGAUAAAGCAUUCAGAUCCAUAUUUUGUACAACUCUAUACAUCAUAAUCUGGAAUCUUAUCCAAAAUCUUAGGAUGGAUAUAGUUCUUUGUGUUCAUGUGUUAUACAAGAUAAAUCAUUACAGAAUCUAAAUGCAAGAAUAUUCUAACCUUUGUUUACAUGAAUCACAACUAUCAACACGCAGAGAUAUGAAACAUAUUUUUGAAUUUUCAAAUAUGAACUCGUUUCAUGCAUUUAUUUUAUUUUCAGCUUCCAGUACAUCCGAUUUCCCAAGCUUUCUGUACCUAUUUGUAUUGUUGAUCAAUCAUUUGUCAAUCGUCGAGCUACCUUAAGCUGCACCAAAGGCGCACCCCCGCAUUGGUAAGCUUCUCUCUCUCCCUCUACGUUGGCAUACUUUACCUUGGUUUGGUGAAUCUGAAAGAUGACUACUACUACCAUUGUAGAAAAGGGAAAGAUCAGGAAAAAACUGCAUACAGUUGAAAACACACCUCUUCCUCUAGUGGAUGUUUCCAACUACUAGAACUAGAUGGUUCCUAUAUUGAGUUCACCACUAACCUGCUAGAAAAAGAAAGGACAUUUUAGCAUUCUUAAAUAGCAAAACAUACAUUGUGUAUACUUAUAAGUUGUAACAUGACAGGAAAUUUCAAACAAUAUUGCGCAGAAUUACUAUGGAGGUCUGAUUUCUAUCAUAAUUUGCCAGGCUUGGUGACUCAUGCCAGUUUUUGUUAUUGUAGAUUGCAAGAUAAAUAGAUGGUCCAUGGCUAAGCUGCUGAUUGCAAGAUAAAUAGAUGGUACAUGGCUAAGGUCCUGAUUGCAAGGCGGAGAAUGGGGCAACUACCAGAUAGUUCUACAUUAAUGUUAUUGAGUGUUAUUUUCAUUUCGAUGUAUAGGAAAUCAUGUGUAUAUUCCUUGGAUCGUGUUCCAUGUAUUGCAAACGAGUUGAUUUAAUAUAUGAGAUCCUUCUGUUUACUGGAUUGCUGGUCUUGUGUACUAUCUAUAUUGAUCUAGUAAUUAUUGAUGGAUAUAUAAAAUACUUCUAAUUUUUCAUGAUAUGUAGGUGUUAUCCCCAUAUAUAAAAUGGAAGCAUUGCACUGAUCUGUUAAUUAUGCCUAUUUCAAAUCAGCCUGUGUAGGUGUAACCACCAACGCAUUGAAGUGUUGUUAGGCUACAAUUAUAUACGUUGCUAGUUUGCAACGCGUAUUCGUGUUGAUUACCAAUGCAAUUAUAUACGUUGUUGUAGGCCCUAGCAACGCCAUCAAAGGCAACACAUAAAAAUCCGUUGGUGUAGACCCUAGCAACAUUUAUAUGGACAUUCAACAACGAGUUGAUGCGUUGCUAAAGGGGGGUUCCUGUUGUAGUGUAAUAUGAUAUAACAAGAUGGUAUCUCGCUAGCCCUUUCUUAGACCGCAAAACAUAAAUGCAGAGCACCCCUGAAGAUCAAGGACUGACUGGACAUUGUAAUUCAUGGUAAAAGAGAUUCAGUCAUAGUCAUACUCAAUAUAAAUUAAUUGUAAUGCAUGCAAAUGACAACGGUGCUCUCCAACUGGUGCUUUUUAAUAAGAGGGUGAUGACUCAACAUAAAAGUAAAUAGAUAGGCCCUUUGCAGAGGGAAGCAGGGAUUUGUAGAGGUGCUAGAGCUCGAUUUUGAAAUAGAGAUAAAUAAUAUUUUGGGUGGCAUACUUUCAUUGUCAACAUAACAACCAAGAGAUCUCGAUAUCUUCCAUGCUACACACAUUAUAGGCAGUUCCCAAACAGAAUGGUAAAGUUUAUACUCCCCCUCCACCAACAAUCAUCAAUCCAUGGCUUGCCCGAAACAACGGGUGCCUCCUACUAACAACAAUCCUGGGGGAGUUUUGUUUGCAUUUAUUUUGAUUUGAUUUGAGCAUAGGACUGGGCAUCCCGGUUACCAGCCAUUUUAUCGUGAGUGAGGAGCAGAGUCCACUCCUCUUGAGAAUAACCCACCUAGCAUGGAAGAUAUAGACAGCCCUAGUUGAUACAUGAGCUAUUCGAGCACACAAAACAGAAUUUCAUUUGAAGGUUUAGAAUUUGGCACAUACAAAUUUACUUGGAACGACAGGUAGAUACCACAUAUAGGAAGGUAUGGUGGACUCAUAUGAAAUAACUUUGGGGUUUAUGGAAGGGGAUGCACAAGCAGUAUUCCCGCUUCGUACAAGUGAAGGCUAGAAAAAGACUGGGAAGCGACCAAUUAAGCAUCUACUACCAAAUAUUGCAAGGUAACGUAGAACAGGAAAAUGUAUGCUAGUAAUUCUUUCAUCGGAAACCUUCCCCGUUUCCCCUACAACAAUCAUAUCGAUAAAUCCAUCCACAUCACUACGAUGUGGUUCCUCUAUGCUGCCCAUAAAGGGUAUCUUGCAAACCCCACAAAAAUCAUUUAGUGACAUCUCCGUAACCUCAUCAUAUAAAUGAAACUCCACUGAAGGUGGUGAUUUCCUAGCAUAAAAGUAAAAAAAAUUGCAUGAAAAUAUUAGUGAGUAGGAGAUACUGAUCGAGCUGGUCGUGGAGGAAGUCGGCGAGGCCUGCAUUCUCAGCAAAAUAAUAAAAAUCAUCAUGAAUCCCGGCUGCUCUCAAGAACUCAUCACAAGGCCAUUCACACGACCGAACUUCCGAUGUGCGAGGGAGAUUAUAUUUGGGCUUUUUAUCCUCUUCACUUUGCUUAUCCUCCGAGCUUUGACUCGAAGAGCCCCUCAAUAACCUCUUCAUCUUUUUCUGAAAAUUUCUGAAAUUUUUAGUAACUCAAAAUAAAAGUGAACCAAACUCAACAAAAUUGAUAGCAACUACUCCCACAACUGCCUAGAGACUAUAUCAUGCAUUAGAACUACUUGGGACCAAAUAAAUUUGACUUGCAAGCUCAAGAACAGGGUCACCUAGGCAGUAAAAGUUUGCAAUGAAUAAAACACUAGAACAAAAACUAAUUGGACCAUUGGAGGAGUCACAUACCAAAGAACAAUCCCCCAAAGCAGUUUUGUGAAUGGAGCUUUGAGCAAGGAGAUCAAAAAUUGCAGCAAGAUGAGCUAGAACUCGUGCUUAAGUUGGUUGGUGAAUUUUUUGGGAGGAAUAAGGAGUGUGUGGGUGCAGGAAUGAGUGGAGGGGGACCACCAGGGGCCCACGAGGCAGGGGGGUGCGCCCCAGGGGGGUGGGCACACCCUGGACCCUCAUGGCCAAGUGCUGGCUCCCUCUAGUGUGUUCUCAGUGCCAAAUAUUCUUAAAUAUUCUAGAAAAAAAAUCAUAUUUCAUUUCCAGGGCAUUUGGAGAACUUUUAUUUUUGGUAUUUUUUUAUUGCAAGGAUAAUUCAGAAAACAGACAGAAAAUACUAUUUUUGCUUUAUUAAAUCUAAAUAACGGAGAGUAAAAGGAGGGUACAGAAGGUUGUGCUUUCUAACUUCAUCCAUCUCAUGCUUAUCAAAAGGAAUCUACUAACAAGGUUGAUCAAGUCUUGUUAACAAACUCAUUCCGAAUCGCAUGAAACUAAAGAAUUUUCGAAUAACACUAGGUUACCUCAACGAGGAUAUGUACAUCCCCAACAAUAAGAAUAUCAUAUUUCUUCUUGGCAGUAGGAAUAGGAAAUUCAAAACCUCCAAUAAUAAUCGAUGGAAUCUUUCCAAUAGAAUUUAUACUGUGGACUUGAGGUUGUUUCCUCAGAAAGUGUAUCGUAUGCUCAUUACCAUUAACAUGAAAAGUGACAUUGCCUUUGUUGCAAUCAAUAACAGCCCCUGCAGUAUUCAAAAAGGGUCUACCAAGGAUAAUCGACAUACCAUCAUCCUCGGGAAUAUCAAGAAUAACAAAGUCCGUUAAAAUAGUAACAUUUGCAACCACAACAGGCACAUCCUCGCGAAUACCGACAGGUAUAGCGAUUGAUUUAUCGGCCAUUUGCAAAGAUAUUUCAAUAGGUGUCAACUUAUUCAAAUCAAGUCUACAAUAUAAAGAGAGAGGCAUAACACUAACUCCGGCUCCAAGAUCACAUAAAGCAGUUUUAACAUAGUUUCUUUUAAUGGAGCAUGGUAUAGUUGGUACUCCUGGAUCUCCUAGUUUCUUUGGUAUUCCACCCUUAAAAGUAUAAUUAGCAAGCAUGGUGGAAAUUUCAGCUUCCGGUAUCUUUCUUUCAUUUGUAACAAUAUCUUUCAUGUACUUAGCAUAAGGAUUCAUUUUAAGCAUAUUAGUAAAACGCAUACGCAAAAAGAUAGGUCUAAUAAUUUCAGCAAAGCGCUCAAAAUCCUCAUCAUCCUUUUUCUUGGAUGGUUUAGGAGGAAAAGGCAUGGGUUUCUGAACCCAUGGUUCUCUUUCUUUACCGUGCUUCCUAGCAAUGAAGUCUCUUUUAUCAUAACAUUGAUUCUUUGAUUGUGGGUUAUCAAGAUCAACAUCAGGUUCGACCUCUACAUCAUUAUUAUUGCUAGGUUGAGCAUCACCAUGAACAUUAUCAUUAACAUUAUCACUGGGUUCAUGUUCGUCACCAGAUUGUGUUUCAGCAUCAGAAAUAGAAAUAUCAUUGGGAUUCUCAGGUGUGUCAACAGCAGAUUCAGUAGAAGCAUGCAAAGUCCUAUCUUUUUCUUCUUCUUCUUUUUAGAAGGACUAGGUGCAUCGACAUUAUUUCCCUGAGUAUCUUGCUCCAUUCUCUUAGGGUGGCCCUUAGGAUACAAAGGUUCCCGAGUCAUUCUACCACCUCUAGUCACAACUCUAAUAGCAUUAUCAUUUUUCUUAUCAUUUAAUUCAUUGAGCAAAUCAUUUUGAGCCUUACGCACUUGUUCUACUUGAGUGAUAACCAUAGAAACAUGUUUACUAACAAAUUAAAGUUCACCUUUAACUCUAGACAUAUAAUCACUCAAGUGUUCAAUCAUGUAAGCAUUACGGUUCAAUUGUCUACCAACAUAAGCAUUGAAGUUUUCUUGUUUAAUGAUAAAAUUAUCAAACUCAUCUAAGCAUUGACUAGCAGACUUAUAACGAGGAAUAUCACCUUCAUCAAAUCUAUAGAGAGAAUUUACCUUUACUAUCUGUGUCGGGUUAUCAAGACCAUGUAUUUCUUCAAUAGGCGGUAAAUUCUUAACAUCUUCAGCUUUAAUACCCUUUUCUUUCUUGGAUUUCUUUGCCUCUUGCAUAUCUUCAGGACUGGGAAAUAAAACACCCCUUUUCUUCGGAGUUGGCUUAUGAGUUGGUUCAGGAAGUGUCCAAUUGUUUUCAUUAGUCAACAUAUUAUUCAAUAACAAUUCAGCUUGAUCAACAGUUCUUUCCCUGAAAACACAACCAACACAACUAUCCAGGUGGUCUCUGGAAGCAUCGGUUAGUCCAUUAUAAAAGAUAUCAAGUAUUUCAUUUUUCUUGAGAGGAUGAUCAGGCAAAGCAUUAAGUAAUUGGAGAAGCCUCCCCCAAACUUGUGGGAGACUCUCUUCUUCAAUUUGCACAAAAUUAUAUAUUUCCCUUAAAGCAGCUUGUUUCUUAUGAGCGGGGAAAUAUUUAGCAGAGAAGUAAUAAAUCAUAUCCUGGGGACUACGCACACAACCAGGAUCAAGAGAAUUAAACCAUGUUUUAGCAUCACCCUUUAAUGAGAACGGAAACAACUUAAGGAUAUAGUAGUAGUGAGUUUUCUCAUCAUUAGCGAAUAGGGUGGCUAUAUCAUUCAAUUUAGUAAGAUGUGCCACAACAGUUUCAGAUUCAUAGCCAUAAAAAGGAUCAGAUUCAACCAAAGUAAUUAUCCCAGGAUCGACAGAGAAAUCAUAAUCCUUAUCAGUAAUAAAGAUAGGUGAAGUAGCAAAAGCAGGGUCAUAUUUCAUUCUAGCAUUCAGAGACUUUUCUUUCAGCUUAGCUAAUUACUUCUUAAGAUCAGAUAUAUUGUUGCAAGCAAGAAAAUCUCUAGCAGUUUCUUCAUCCAUAACAUAACCCUCAGGCACAACAGGCAAUUCAUAUUUAAGGGGAGAAUCUUCAUCAUCACUUUCAUCAAUAUUAUCAGUUUCAAUAAUUUCAUUCUCUCUAGCCCUAGCAAGUUGUUCAUCAAGAAAUUCACCUAGUGGCAUAGUAUUAUCAAGCAUAGAAGUAGUUUCAUCAUAAGCAUCAUGCUUAGUAGAAGUGGCAUCAUCAAUAACAUGCGACAUAUCAGAAUUAAUAGCAGAAGCAGGUUUAGGUAUCACAAGUUUACUCAAAACAGAAGGAGAAUCAAGUGCAGAGCUAGAUGGCAGUUCCUUACCUCCCCUCGUAGUUGAGGGAAAAAUCUUAGUUCUUUCGUCUUUCAAGUUCCUCAUAGUGGUCAGCAGAUAUAAAUCCCAAGUGACUCAAUGAAUAGAUCUAUGCUCCCCGGCAACGGUGCCAGAAAAUAGUCUUGAUAACCCACAAGUAUAGGGGAUCGCAACAGUUUUCGAGGGUAGUGUAUUCAACCCAAAUUUAUUGAUUCGACACAAGGGGAGCCAAAGAAUAUUCUCAAGUAUUAACAGUUGAGUUGUCAAUUCAACCGCACCUGGAUAACUUAAUAUCUGCAGCAAAGUAUUUAGUAGCAAAGUAGUAUGGAAGUAAUGGUAACAGUGGCAAAAGUAACAGUAGCUGUUUUGUAGUAAUUGUAACAGUGGCAACGGUAAAGUAAAUAGCAAAGAUAAAUAUGUGAAAAGCUCGUAGGCCCUGGAUUAGUGAUGGAUAAUUAUGUCAGAUGCGAUUCCUCAUGCAAUUGUUAUAACAUAGGGUGACACAGAACUAGCUCCAGUUCAUCAAUGUAAUGUAGGCAUGUAUUCCGAAUAUAGUCAUACGUGCUUAUGGAAAAGAACUUGCAUGACAUCUUUUGUCCUACCCUCUCGUGGCAGCGGGGUCCUAUUGGAAACUAAGGUAAGGCCUCCUUUUAAUAGAGUACCGGACCAAAGCAUUAACACUUAGUGACUACAUGAACUCCUCAAACAACGGUCAUCACCGGGAGUGGUCCUGAUUAUUGUCACUUCAGGGUUGUCGGAUCAUAACACAUAGUAUGUGACUAUAGAAUUGCAAGAUAGGAUCAAGAACUCACAUAUAUUCAUGAAAACAUAAUAGGUUCAGAUCUGAAAUCAUGGCACUCGGGCCCUACUGACAAGCAUUAAGAAUAGCAAAGUCAUAGCAACAUCAAUCUCAUAACAUAAUGGAUACCAGGGAUCAAACCCUAACAAAACUAACUCGAUUACAUGGUAAAUCUCAUCCAACCCAUCACCGUCCAGCAAGCCUACGAUGGAAUUACUCACCCACGGUGGUGAGCAUCAUGAAAUUGGUGAUGGAGGAUGGUUGAUGAUGACGACGGCGACGGAUUCCCCUCUCUAGAUCCUCAAACGGACUCUAGAUCAGCCCUCCCAAGAGAUAUUAGGGCUUGGCGGCGGCUCCGUAUCGUAAAACGCGAUGAAUCCUUCUCUCUGAUUUUUUUCUCCCCGAAUGUGAAUAUAUAGAGUUGGAGUUGAGGUCGGUGGAGCCUCAGGGGGCUGAUACGUCCAUUUUGCAUUAUGCUUUUAUAUCAAUAUUUAUUGCAUUAUGGGCUGUUAUUACAUGUUAUGUCACAAUACUUAUGGCUAUUCUCUCUUAUUUUACAAGGUUUACCAUGAAGAGGGGGGAAUGCCAGCAGCUGGGAU
rnacentral:lncRNA from 1 species